rnacentral:lncRNA from 1 species
UUUCCCUUGAAGAGGAAAGGGUGAUGCAGUAAAGCAGCGUCAGUAUUUCCCUCAGUUUUUGAGAAGCAAGGUAUCAAUCCAGUAGGAGGCCACGCACGAGUCCCUCGCACCUACACAAACAAAUAAAAUCCUCGCAACCAACGCAAUAAAGGGGUUGUCAAUCCCUUCACGGUCACUUACGAAAGUGAGAUCUGAUAGAUUUGAUAAGAUAAUAUUUUUGGUAUUUUUAUGAUAAAGAUGCAACGUAAAGAAAGCAAAAUAAAAACAGCGCUAGAAAUAGCUUGUUGACGGGAGAUUAAAUAUGAUGGAAAAUAGACCGGGGGGCCGUAGGUUUCACUAGUGGCUUCUCUCGAGAGCAUAAGUAUUUCGGUGGGUAGACAAAUUACUGUUGAGCAAUUGACAGAAUUGAGCAUAGUUAUGAGAAUAUCAAGGUAUGAUCAUGUAUAUAGGCAUCACGUCCGAGGCAAGUAGCCCGACUCCUGCCUGCAUCUACUACUAUUACUCCACACAUCGACCGCUAUCCAGCAUGCAUCUAGAGUAUUAAGUUCAAAAGAACAGAGUAACGCUUUAAGUAAGAUGACAUGAUGUAGAGGGAUAAACUCAUGCAGUAUGAUAUAAACCCCAUCUUGUUAUGCUCGAUGGCAACAAUACAAUACGUGCCUUGCUGCCCCUACUGUCACUGGGAAAGGACACCGCAAGAUUGAACCCAAAGCUAAGCACUUCUCCCAUCGCAAGAAAGAUCAAUCUAGUAGGCCAAACCAAACUGAUAAUUUGAAGAGACUUGCAAAGAUAACCAAUCAUACAUAAAAGAAUUCAGACAAGAUUCAAAUAUUGUUCAUAGAUAAACUUGAUCAUAAACCCACAAUUCAUCGGUCUCAACAAACACACCGCAAAAGAAGAUUACAUCGAAUAGAUCUCCACAAGAGAGGGGGAGAACAUUGUAUUGAGAUCCAAAAAGAGAGAAGAAGCCAUCUAGCUAAUAACUAUGGACCCGAAGGUCUGAGGUAAACUACUCACACAUCAUCGGAGAGGCUAUGGUGUUGAUGUAGAAGCCCUCCAUGAUCGAUGCCCCCUCCGGCGGAGCUCCGGAAAAGGCCCCAAGAUGGGAUCUCAUGGGUACAGAAGGUUGCGGCGAUGGAAUUAGGUUUUUGGCUCCGUAUCUGGUAGUUUUGGGGGUACGUAGGUAUAUAUAGGAGGAAGAAGUACGUCGGUGGAGCAACGUGGGCCCCACGAGGGCGCGCCCCCUACCUCAUGCCUUCCUGGUAGAUUUCUUGACGUAGGGUCCAAGUCCUCUAGAUCACGUUCGUUCCCAAAAUCACGUUUCCGAAGGUUUCAUUCCGUUUGGACUCCGUUUGAUAUUCUUUUUCUGUGAAACUCUGAACUAGGCAAAAAACAGCAAUUCUGGGGUGGGCCUCCGGUUAAUAGGUUAGUCCCAAAAAUAAUAUAAAAGUGUAUAAUAAAGCCCAUUAAUGUCUAAAACAGAAUAUAAUAACGUUGGAGACGUAUCAAGCAUCUCCAAGCUUAAUUCCUGCUCGUCCUCGAGUAGGUAAAUGAUAAAAACAGAAUUUUUAAUGUGGAAUGCUACUUGGCAUAAUUUGAAUGUAAUUCUCUUAAUUGUGGUAUGAAUAUUUAGACCCGAAAGAUUCAAGACAAAAGUUUAAUAUUGACAUAAAAAUAAUAAUACUUCAAGCAUACUAACUAAGCAAUUAUGUCUUCUCAAAAUAACAUGGCCAAAGAAAGUUAUCCCUACAAAAUCAUAUAGUCUAGCUAUGCUCUAUCUUCACCACACAAAGUAUUUAAAUUAUGCACAACCCCGAUGACAAGCCAAGCAAUUGUUUCAUACUUUUGAUGUUCUCAAACUUUUUCAAUCUUCACGCAAUACAUGAGCAUGAGCCAUGGACAUAGCACUAUAUGUGGAAUAGAAUGGUGGUUGUGGAGAAGACAAAAAAGGAGAAGAUAGUCUCACAUCAACUAGGCGUAUCAACGGGCUAUGGAGAUGCCCAUUAAUAGAUAUCAAUGUGAGUGAGUAGGAAUUGCCAUGCAACAGAUGCACUAGAGCUAUAAGUAUAUGAAAGCUCAACAAAAGGAACUAAGUGGGUGUGCAUCCAACUCACUUGCUCAUGAAGACCUAGGGCAUUUUGAGGAAGCCCAUCAUUGGAAUAUACAAGCCAAGUUCUAUAAUGAAAAUUUCCCACUAGUACAUGAAAGUGAUAUCAUAGGAGACUCUCUAUCAUGAAGAUCAUGGUGCUACUUUGAAGAACAAGUGUGGUAAAACGAUAGUAACAUUGUCCCUUCUCUCUUUUUCUCUCUUUUUUAUUUGGGUCUUUUAUCCUUUUUUUAUGGCCUCUUUUUUUUUAGUCCGAAGACUCAUCACGACUUGUGGGGGAAUCAUAGUCUCCAUCAUCCUUUCCUCACUUGGGACAAUGCUCUAAAAAAAUGAUGAUCAUCACACUUUUAUUUACUUACAACUCAACAAUUACAACUCAAUACUUAGAACAAAAUAUGACUCUAUGUGAAUGCCUCCGACGGUAUAUCGUGAUAUGCAAUGAAUCAAGAGUGACAUGUAUGAAAGAAUUAUGAACGGUGGCUUUGCCACAAAUACAAUGUCAACUACAUGGUCAUGGAAAGCAAUAUGACAAUGAUGGAGUGUGUCAUAAUAAACUGAACGGUGGUAAGUUGCAUGGCAAUAUAUCUCGGAAUGGCUAUGGAAAUGCCACGGUAGGUAGGUAUGGUGGCUGUUUUGAGGAAGGUAUAUGGUGGGUGUAUGAUACCGGCGAAAAGUGCGCGGUAUUAGAGAGGCUAGCAAUGGUGGAAGGAAGAAAGUGCGUAUAAUCCAUGGACUCAACAUUAGCCAUAAAGAACUCAUAUACUUAUUGCAAAAAUCUACAAGUUAUCGAAGCAAAGUAUUACCCGCAUCAUUCUAGGGGGAUAGAUUGGUAGGAAAAGACAAUCACUCGUCCCCGACCGCCACUCAUAAGGAAGACAAUCAAUAAAUAAAUCAUGCUCCGACUUCAUCACAUAACGGUUCACCAUACGUGCAUGCUAAGGGAAUCACAAACUUUAACACAAGUAUUUCACAAAUUCAAAACUACUCAACUAGCAUGACUCUAAUAUCACCAUCUCCAUAUCUCAAAACAAUUAUCAAGUAUCAAACUUCUCAUAGUAUUCAACACACUCAUAAGAUUUUUUUACUAAUCUUGAGUGCCUAUCAUAAUUAAAGCAAAUUACCACGCUGUUUUGUAGGACUAUCAAAAUAAUCUAAGUGAAUCAUGAGAGAACAAUAGUUUCUAUAAAACAAAACCACCACCGUGCUCUAAAAGAUAUACGUGAAGCACUAGAGCAAAAACUAUAUAGCUCAAAGGAUAUAAGUGAAGCACAUAGAGUAUUCUAACAAUUUCUGAAUCAUGUGUGUCUCUCUCAAAAGGUGUGUACUGCAAGGAUUAUUGUGGCAAACUAACAAAUAAAGACUUCAAAUAAUACAAGACGCUCCAAGCAAAACACAUAUCAUGUGGUGAAUAAAAAUAUAGCUCCAAGUAAAGUUACCGAUGGAAGUAGACGAAAGAGGGGAUGCCUUCCGGGGCAUCCCCAAGCUUUGGGUUUUAGGUGUCCUUAGAUUAUCUUGGUGUGCCAUGGGCAUCCCCAAGCAUAGGCUCUUGCCACUCCUUGUUUCAUAAUCCAUCAAAUCUUUCACCCAAAACUUGAAAACUUCACAACACAAAACUCAGCAGAAAAUCUCGUGAGCUCCGUUAGCAAAAAACAAAACACCACUUCAAGGUACUGUAAUGAACUCAUUCUUUAUUUAUGUUGGUGUUAAACCUACUGUAUUCCAACUUCUGUAUGGUUUAUAAACUAUUUUACUAGCCAUAGAUUCAUCAAAAUAAGCAAACAACACACGAAAAACAGAAUCUGUCAAAAACAGAACAGUCUGUAGUAAUCUGUAACUAACGCAAUUUUCUGGGACUCCAAAAAUUGACCCAAAAUAGGAAGACCUAGACAAUUUUUUUAUUGAUCAGCAGCAAUUGGAAUUAAUAUUUUAUCACGUCCUGGUGAUUUUUAACAAUUAUUUUCGUGAACAGAAAGUUUCUGGAAUUUUCAGCAAGAUCAAAUAACUAUCAUCCAAGAAGAUCCUAUAGGUUAAACUUGGCACAAACACUAAUUAAAACAUAAAAACACAUGUAACCAGAGGCUAGAUCAAAUAUUUAUUCCUAAACAAAAGAAAAAAUCAUAAAAACUAAAAAUAAAAUUGGGUUGCCUACCAACAAGCGCUAUCGUUUAACGCCCCUAGCUAGGCAUAAUAGCAAUGAUAGAUCUAGGUAUUGCCAUCUUUGGUAGGCAAUCCAUAAGUGGCUCUCAUAAUAGAUUCAUAAGGUAAUUUUAUUUUCUUUCUAGGGAAGUGUUCCAUGCCUUUCCUUAAUGGAAAUUGGAAUCUAAUAUUCCCUUCCUUCGUAUCAAUAAUUGCACCAAUCGUUCUAAGGAAAGGUCUACCAAGAAUAAUAGGACAUGAAGGAUUGCAAUCUAUAUCAAGAACAAUAAAAUAUAUGGGCACAUAAUUCCUAUUUGCAACAAUAAGAACAUCAUCAAUUCUUCCCAUAGAUUUCUUAAUGGUGGAAUCCGCAAGGUGCAAGUUUAAAGAGCAAUCAUCAAAAUCACGGAAACCUAGCAAAUCGCACAAAAUCUUUGCAAUCGUGGAAACACUAGCACCCAAAUCACACAAAGCAUAGCAUUCAUGAUCUUUAAUUUUAAUUUUAAUAGUAGGUUCCCACUCAUCAUAAAGUUUUCUAGGGAUAGAAACUUCCAACUCAAGUUUUUCUUCAUAAGAUUGCAUCAAAGCAUCAACGAUAUGUUUAGUAAGGCUUUAUUUUGACUAUAAGCAUGUGGAGAAUUUAGCACGGAUUGCAACAAGGAAAUACAAUCUAUCAAAGAGCAAUUAUCAUAAUUAAAUUCCUAGAAAUCCAAAAUAGUGGGUUCAUUAAUAUCUAGAGUUUUGAUUUCUUCAAUCCCACUUUUACCAUUUUUUGCAUCAAGAUCUAAAAACUCCGAAUUUUUGGAACGCCUUCUAGGUAGAGGUGGAUCAUAUUCAGUCCCAUCAUUAUCAAGAUUCAUAUUGCAAAACAAAGAUUUAAUAGGGGACACAUCAAUAACUUUUAGAUCUUCAUCUUUAUUUUCAUAGAAACUAGAAGAACACGCUUUCACAAAACAAUCUUUCUUAGCACGCAUCCUAGCGGUUCUUUCUUUGCACUCAUCAAUGGAAAUUCUCAUGGCCUUGAGAGACUCAUUGAUAUCAUGCUUAGGAGAAAUUGUAUCAGCGUUCCUAGCCAAUUCAUCAAAUUUAAGCAAUUUUUCUUCAAGCAAAGCAUUGAAAUUGUUUUGCGAAUUCAUAAAUUCUUUAACACUAGUCUCAAAUUCAGAAGGCAUCUUAUUAAAAUUUCCAUAAUAAUUGUUGUAGGAAUUACCAUAAUUAUUAGAGGAAUUACUAGGAUACGACCUUGGAUUAAAGUUUCCUCUAUACGCGUUGUUACCAAAAUUAUUCCGACCAACAAAAUUCACAUCCAUAGAUUCAUUAUUAUUCUCAAUCAAAGUAGACAAAGGCAUAUCAUUAGGAUCAGAAGAAACACUUUUAUUAGCAAAUAAUUUCAUAAGUUCAUCCAUCUUUCCACUCAAAACAUUAAUUUCUUCUAUCGCAUGCACUUUUUUAUUAGUGGAUUUUUCGGUGUGCCAUUGAGAAUAAUUAACUAUAAUAUUAUCUAGGAGUUUAGUAGCUUCUCCUAAAGUGAUUUCCAUAAAAGUGCCUCCCGCGGCCGAAUCUAAAAGAUUUCUAGAAGAAAAAUUCAAUCCGGCAUAAAAUUUUUGUAUAAUCAUCCACAAAUUCAAACCAUGAGUAGGGCAAUUACGUAUCAUUAAUUUCAUCCUCUCGCAAGCUUGUGCAACAUGUUCAUGAUCAAGUUGCUUAAAAUUCAUAAUAUCAUUUCUAAGAGAGAUGAUCUUAGCGGGAGGAAAAUACUUAGAGAUAAAAGCAUCUUUGCACUUAUUUCAAGAAUCACUACUAUUUUUAGGCAAAGACAAAAACCAAGCUUUAGCACGAUCUCUAAGCGAAAAAGGAAAUAGCUUCAAUUUAACAAUAUCUUUGUCCACAUCUUUCUUCUUUUGCAUAUCACACAAAUCAACGAAGUUGCCAUGUCUAGGAAUGCUUGAAGCUUCAAAGAUUUCCUAUAAUACAACAUGCCUCUAACUAUUCACAAUAAGAAAAACAUGUAAAUGCGGAAUCAACCAAAUGAUGGUAAAUUGUAGUUGAUUUUGGCCAAGCAAACGUGAGAUGAAAGAAACAUACAUGAGUGAACAUCACGAUUGGAUGUUUUAUUCAAAUUUAACAGGUUAAACUCACCAAAUCCAUCUGGAUAUUUAGUAUUAAACUUUAACAGAUGGUCAGUUGUAGCUAGAUUCACACCACUGAAGCAAAAUUCCAUCUGCCACGGUUACAUCACACCAUCUUUUCAUCGUUACUAUUUAAAUUCCAAAUGCCUGCAACUCAUUUUUUUGUUAUGAUGUAUGCAUGAUUUUUAACUCAAGAGGAAGAGGGGAAACUAAAUCCAAGAAAAGAACACCAAGGAAGCAUCCAAAAUAGAGAAAGGAAAAAUCCAAAAUAGAGGCAGAAUCGAAGGGAAGAAACCCCAUAAAAAAUAGGAGAUCAAACGGUGAAAAAAAUCUAAGAGUCAAACAAUUCCAGGUAAGACCAAAUCGACGGCAAAAUAGCACAAGAGGGACUCACAUUAACAGGUAUACCAGGUAUACCAAUUCAGAAAGAAGUGUAAAGCGAACAGUGCAAUGGACCACUAGUAUAAAUUGGAUGUACACAAACAUGGGACUUAAACAGGAACUGCGAGAUGCAGGGUUCACGUGCAAACCCAAAAAACGGAAAACUGAAACCCACAACAAGAUUUUAUCUUCAUGUUUGUGUAUUAGUUGCUUCUUCCGAAUCCCCACCUAUCAAGCGUUUUCUCUGAAUAAACAAACAGAAUAGUAUUCUCUGAAUUAUACUGUACAACGGUAUUUAACAAAGCGACUGGAAUUAACAAUAUUAUGAGCUAUUGGCUUUUUAGUCAGGUAAAUAUCAUUCUUAAGACUACGGAAAACAGCAGGCGGCGAAGAAAACAUCUAUUGAUGAGAACUAUACACAUACUUAAGAAGGAAGUGACAUCUAUGGUAGCAGAACAUAUAUCAAGCUGUUGCAGCUACAUUAGCAGUUUAGCACAGUUCCUCCAUAAUACACAGGCUAGUGUAAUUUCACAAAUACAAUAAGCUAACAAUAUAUAUUUGGUAGAUGGAAAUGGCUGGAUCAUGACCAAUAUACCAUUACACAUCCGAUGAUGCAAAUAAAGAAACGAGGCCCAACAAUAGUGGAAAAUAAACCACAAUAGAACAUGUAUUUGGCGAAACCUCCAUACUGCAAUAUCAAACAUGAAUUGAAAUUAACAAUCUAGCAAAAAAACAUGACAGAUGCAGUCUUGGUCAUUUUUCCUUUUGUGACAUCCCCUAAAAAAGUAAAAACAAUGUUGUUCGUAUUUUACCAGAGAUACACUGAGCUGGGACAAUUCGGUCUGAAAUAAAAUAUGAUGGCUUCGGAGGAUUCGGAAGGCAAGAAAUUUGCUUUCUUCCAACAUAUAUGGUCUGCUGAACUAAACUUCGUUUCAACGGGCUUUGGCAAAAAUUUGUAACUGCAAACAUCAACUUGUGUGCCCGUCCUACGUCAAACUUUAACCCUGACGGAUUAAAUAUUUUAGGUUAGGCUGAGAUCAGUGUACUUUAUGAGUGUUAAGUGUACUUUCUAAAUAGCAGAGAAACCAUAACAUCUAAGCACAACCCAGCAACUUGUACAAGCUAACAUCAAAUCUGAAAGAGGAAAUGUCGAGAACAGGUGAAGGUACCAUGAUCCACGACUGAGCAAAGUUAUCUAUAAUCCUCGGUGAAUAUCAUAAAUUAGGAUCAACUACGCUGAAGAACAAACGGGAAAGGAACCUAGAAAGAUCUUCUGCCGGUAGAAUAUAACUGAUACACUAUCCUCAUUCUCGAGAUCAAGGUCGUUUCUUGAAUUGCAGUUUCCUCACUGUAGUAUGGGGUCAUUACACUGCGAAGAACAAAGUGUCAUAUGAAUCAUUUAGAGCCCAAUAUUUUUCACUGAAACUCUUAUGAUCACAUAACGAAUUUAAACAUAAGGUUUAUUAGAUAUUUGUUGUUGUGAACAGAUAAUAUAUUUCUGGUGUUGACAAUGUUUUGAUUAUGGAUGCACUUCAAGAUGGGUGGCACAGAUUCUGUUGUACAGGCCUCCACCUGGAAUUUCAUCACUUGUUAUUUUUGUUUUAGAAUGUCUAGGUGCAUUUUUCCUUUAAGGUGGAAACAGAUGUACUUGUAUAAGCAACAAGAAUACAAAGCGCCACUGCCAUACAUUGUGGAAGUUCAGUGCUUCUGUUUACAAAAUCUGCUUCCCAAAACAGAAGGAUUUAUAAUUUUUUAUUACAAUCAAGCGGACAUGAGCUGAUGAGUACAGAUGUAGACAUGUACUGAGAGCAGCACCCUUUCAAAAGUGGAUCAUUUACAAGUUGGAUAGUUUGAUGGUCUGAAAUUAGUGGUCGUGUUUCAGAAUUGUUAUCGAAUAGUAGGGGAUAUAUAUUAACUUCUGAAAUUAGUGGCUGUUUGUCAGAACUGUUAUCGAAUAACAGAGCACAUAUAUUAACUUCAAUAAGUGGAGUAAUAUUUUUGGAUUCGCUGUGAGGAAAGAUUACCAAAACAAAACAGAAGUGAGUGCGAGGACCCAGAUCAAGGCGCUCUUGAGCCUCUUCCCGACCGACCUAGAUGCAGGAGCAGAACACGGCGGAUCUAAUCAGCCAACGAAUAAAGCUGAGGCAGGUAGAGGAAGUAAGGGAGGAAGAAGACUGACUUUUCCUGGUCGCCCUCGUAGUAGAACCUGUGUUUUGAUUUUCGGCCGAAAAAAGUGGAUUUCGGCCAUCUCGGCCUGGGGCGAAAAGUGUAUUUAGGCCGAAAUUGUUCAAAUUUAGCAAAUUUUGGUCAAAUUUAAGUCAAAUUGCAGUCAAAAUUUGGUCAAAUUUCAGCCGAAAUUUUUGAAAAUGGCCGAAAUUCGGCCAUCUCAGCCUAGGGAGAAAAAAAAGCUCAAACCGAAAAUCAAAACACAGAGUAGAACAUGGCGAACAGGAUGACGAGGAAGACGAGGACAGCGUCGAGGAUGUAGACGACGAGCCAGAGCGUGUUCAUGGGCAGGAUCAAGCAUGGGCAGGAUAAGGGCGCAGGCCCCGUUGUAGGCGGCGUGCUUGCAGGCCUGGCGGUUGGCGACGUCGGCGGGGAGCAUGAGGAUGGCGAGGACGGCGACGGUGAUGCCGAGCACGACGACGAGCUUGAGGAAGUAGGCCUGGUUGGCAUCAUCCGGCUGCUGGUAGUUGACGAGCAGGUAGACGCUGACGAGGAGCACCAGGAUGCUGACCACCGCCGCCACGAUCACUAGCGCCACGUUAAAAACCCCAUCUCCUCGGGGCUCCGGUCCCGGUUCCGGCCCGCCGCCUCGCCCCCAUUGGUCGGUCAGAUCUCUCUGUCCCUAGAGGCGGGGGGACACAGGCUAGGGUUUGGGCGUGGGCGGGGAAUAGGCUGCUAUGGUGCCGGCAGCGGGGCGUGUAGGAGAGAAGGAUUAGGAGGAAUAAUUCACCACACUUUGCUUAAGCUCUCGGCUGGUUCUUAUGUAUAGAUUACAGGGCCAGCCAGGGAGAUCAUGGGGUGAUCCACUACCUGGGAUCGUGCGCCACGAUCACUACAUGCGUGCGCCACGAUCAUAUACACACACGCUACACCUAGUGUCUACGCAACUACGGUAUAGCAGUACAGUACAGUCUAACACCCCCCCGCAGUCGUGACGUCGUCGGCGGCGACGCAAAGACUGGACCGGAACUCAGAGAAAACAUCCGAUGGCAGGCCUUUGGUCAUGAUGUCCGCGAGUUGUUGGCGCAUGGGGAUGUGAAGAACACGGAAGUGGCCGAGGGCGACGCGCUCCCGCACGAAAUGGAUGUCCAGCUCCACAUGCUUAGUGCGGCGAUGAUGCACCGAAUUGGCUGACAGGUAGACUGCGGACACAUUGUCAUAGUACACCAGUGCCGCCUUGGUCACUGGAGCGGAGAGCUCGCCGAGAAACUGGCGGAGCCAGAUGCAUUCAGCGACCGCGUUGGCAACGCCGUGGUAUUCAGCUUCGGCACUGGAGCGCGAUACGGUCGCCUGGCGCUUGGAGGACCAGGAGAUGAGAGCAUCGCCGAGGAAGACGCAGAAGCCCGACGUGGAGCGUCGGGUGUCGGGGCAGCCGGCCCAGUCCGCGUCGGUGAACGCACGGACGUCGAGCGUGGUCGAGGCGCGAAGAUGAAGCCCGAGUGUGCAGGUGCCCUUCACGUACCGGAGCACGCGCUUGACGAGCGCGAGGUGACAUUCGCGCGGGUCAUGCAUGUGCAAGCAGAUUUGCUGGACGGCGUAGGCGAUCUCUGGGCGCGUGAUGGUGAGGUAGUGCAGGGCCCCGGCGAUGCUCCGAUAGGCUGAGGGGUCGUCGACGCAGGGCCCAUCGGCUGAGGGGAGUUUGCUCUUCGUGUCGAUGGGUGUCGGGGAAGGGUGGCAGGUGUCCAUGCCGGCGCGUUCCAGGAGUUCGUCGGCAUAUUGUUGUUGCGACAGGAAGAAGCCAGCUCGGGUGCGGGUCACGCGGAUGCCGAGGAAGAAGGCGAGCGAGCCCAGGUCCUUCAUGGUGAAUUCGCCUGUGAGGCGUUGGAUGACAUGGUGAAGCACGCGUGACGAGGACGCGGUGAGCACGAUGUCGUCGACGUAGAGGAGGAGGAACGCCAUGUCGUUGCCGUGCCGGAAGGUGAACAGCGACGAGUCCGAACGCGUAGCUGCGAAGCCAAUGGAGCGGACGAAGCCGGCGAAGUGGAGGAACCAGGCACGGGGCGCCUGCUUGAGCCCGUACAAGGACUUGGAGAGGCGGCGAACGUGCUCUGGUUUGUCGGGGUCGACGAAUCCGGCGGGCUGGAGGCAGUAGACUUCCUCCUCCUAGUUGCCGUGGAGGAAGGCGUUGGAGACGUCGAGGUGGUGCACCGGCCAGCCGCGUGACGCGGCCAGAGUGAGCACCGUGUGGAUCGUCGCUGGCUUGACGACGGGGGAGAACAUCUCGCCGUAGUCGACGCCGGCACGCUGAUGAAAGCCCCGCACGACCCAGUGUGCUUUGUAGCGGGCCAGCGCGCCGUCGGCGUCGUUUUUGUGCUUGAAGAUCCACUUCCCUGUGAUCAGGUUGGCGCCCGGGGGGCGGGCACCAGCUCCCACGUGCGAUUGCGCACGAGCGCAUGGCACCGAGCCAGUUCGGGUCGCGAACAGCAGCGCGAAGCGAACGUGGCACCGGCGACACCGAUGAUGAGGUAGAGGCGGUGGCCGCGUCGUAGUAGCGUGGGUUGGGGCGGAAGAUGCCGCGCUGGGCACGCGUGACCAUGGGCACAGGAGGCGCCGGUGCGCGGCGCGCCGCUGGUGGCGCGCUCGGAGACGAGCUGUCGGAGGAGCCGCUGGCGGAGUUGUCGGAGGAGCCGCUGGCGGAGGCGAAGACAGGCGGACCAGGCGCGGAUGGGCACGUCGAGGAUGGAGCCGAGCCGCCAUCGGAAGCGCCCGCAGCGUACCGCGAGCUGACGCGGCGCGCCUCGCUGGUUGGCGAGGAUGAGCGGGGCAGGCCGGUGAUGGAGAUCGGGCGCGCCGGCAGCACGGGUGACAUGCUGCUGUCAGGCACCAGUGGAAGCGCGGGCAGCGCAGGAGGCCGGACGACGAGCGGGAUCUGCAGGGUAGAGGGUAUGACGGGUGGCGUAGGCGACGGGGAAGAGGAUGCGAACGGGAAAACGUGUUCGUGGAAGAGAACGUGGCGAGACGUGAGGACGCGGCGAGAGGUGAGGUCAAAGCAGCGAAAACCACGAUGAUCGGGAGGGUACCCGAGGAAGACGCAGGCGAUAGAACGUGGCUCGAGCUUAUGGCGGGUGGUGGCGGUGACGUUCGGAUAGCAGAGGCAUCCAAAGACGCGGAGCUGCGAGUAAUCUGGGGCGACGCCGAGCAGGAGUUCAUGCGGAGUGCAGGGCGCCGAGGCGCGGUAGGGCCGACGAUUGAGCAGGUAGGUCGAGGUGUUGAGAGCCUCUGCCCAGAAGCGAGCGGGCAUGUGCGCAUGACAGAGAAGCACACGAACGCCGUCGUUGAUCGUGCGGAGAACUCGCUCGUCCUUGCCGUUCUGCUGACUGGUGUAUGGGCAGGUGAGACGGAAGUGUGUGCCGUGGCGAGCAAGCAGAGAGCGCACGGCUGCGCUGUCGAAUUCACGACCAUUGCCCAUUUGCAGUGCAAGUAUGGGUAACUGAAACUGAGUCUGAACAUAGGCAAAGAAAUCAACAAGUAUGGGAAGAACUUCAGACAUGUGUUUCAGAGGGAAAGUCCAGACAUAGUGACUGAAAUCAUCUAGUAUAACUAAGUAAAACUGAUAGCCGGAUAUGCUUACAACGGGAGCGGUCCAUACAUCAAGGUGUAAAAGCUGGAAAGAACUAGCAGUGGUGGAUGUCUGAAACGGGAGCCAGGUGUGUUUGCCAACACGACAGGCAUGACAGACAGGCGGAUCACGGCAGAACUCCAGGGACUGAUCAACAGCAACAGUGCGGAGUGCGGCAGCCCCUGGGUGGCCAUGCGUUGGUGCCGGGUGCAGGCGUGGGGUACGCCGGGGGAGGGCGGGGAGCCUGGGAGGACGGCGUGGGCGGGCCACCAAUGCCGUUGCCACGUCUGCGGCGGCGUCCGCGCCCACGCCCUUGGUUGGUGUUGCUGGGCGGGGGUGUGGGUGGUGUAGGAGAGCCGCCACGCCCGGCGACGAGAGCGUGCGCAGACUGCUGGCGAGUGGUCGACUGCUCUGCUCGGUGUUCCUCAAGCAGGACGAAGGAGCGCACCUGCAGGAACGACGGGAGCGGGACCUGCGAGGUGAUGUGAGGGAUGGCGGAGUGGAACUGCUGGUUCAGACCGCGGAGCAGGUUGAAGACCUGCCGCGAGUCGGUUACCGGCUGCCCGAGGUCGCGGAGUCGAUCCGUGAACGACUUCAUCUUGGUGCAGUACGCCAUGAUCGACAUGUCGCCCUGAACGACAUAGUGGUACUCGGCGUCGAGGUAGACAGCGCGAGCGAGGUGGUUGUCGCGGAAGAUUCCAUCGACCGCAGUCCAGAUGGCCAGAGCAGUGUCGUCCGGCUGCAUGACGACGUCGAGCAGGUCCGGCGAUAUGGUAGUGUAGAACCAGUGGACGACGACGUGAUCAGCCAUGCCCCACUCGGGAUCAUCGUGGCGGUGGAUGGCCAUGGCGUCGACGUGAGUGCGGAGGCCGAACAUGCCGAUGACGGUGUCGAAGUGGCGGCGCCACUGCGUGUAGUUGCCGGCGAGAAGGUCGAGGGUGACCGGGACAUGACGACGGAUGUCCACGGUCUGCAGGAUCGCGGAGGCGACAGGUGCUGUAGGAGGAGGAGGAGGGAUGACGGGCACCGCGGGCGCGACAGGUGCUGGAGCCGGCGGUGCGUUGGCCAGGGGGACAGCGUUGAGGACGCCGUCGGCGCCGUGCUGCGAGGAGCGAGGGGACACGACGGGGUUGUCAUCCAUGGCGGUGGAAGCGGGACUGGCGACCUGCGCGAAGGGAUUGAGCAGGUCGGGGGAGUCUGAUACCAUAUAGGAAAGAAGGAUUAGGAGGAAUAAUUCACCACACUUUGAUUGAGCUCUCGGUUGGGUCUUAUGUACAGAUUACAGGGCCAGGGAGAUCAUGGGGUGAUCCACUACCUGGGAUCGUGCGCCACGAUCACUAUAUGCGUGCGCCACGAUUAUAUACACACAUGCUACAACUAGUGUCUACGCAACUACGGUAUAGCAGUACAAUAAAGUCUAACAGGGCGGCCACCGGCGGGGAGGGCGGGAUCCGUGCGGGGUGGCGGGAUUUGGGCAGGCGGUGGGCUCGGGGGAGGGCGAUGGCAGCGAAGCAGCAAGGAGGGGCUGGAGGAGAUGAAACGAAAGAGGUCGCGUGACACAGCGACAGCGUAGUCCAAUCCCCUCGCUGCUGAUUUAAAAAAAAGGUAAUGAUAACUCCCGAACGUUCGGGAGUUAAGCAUGGCAACCCGAACGGGUUUAGAUGGCAAGUUUAGUUUGCGUGAGAUUAGGGAAACAUGGCAAUUUUCUGACAAAAGAAAUGAAAAAGGACGAAGUUGCCAUCCCCUAUCAACUAAAGUUGCCAUCCCCUAUAAAUUAAAGUUGCCAUGUAAAAACGUUCGGGACGAAAUGCUCAAAAUCCGAACGUUCGGAAGUUACUGGAUUCAAAAAAAUCCCCUUGCUGCCAAUCGCUGGCCCGUUUCUUUUUUCGCCCAAUCGCUAGGUGAUGACGUGGCUAUCGCGGGAAGGCGCCCUUGAUGCGUAGUCGAAUGGUUUUAAUUAAUAGGAAACGAGUGCUUACUCUAGUUACUGAAUCAUGUACACCAAAUAAAGCCAUUUACACGUAGUUAAUGACAAAAAAAGUUGAUGUUUGCUACGCAAAUGUGUAGUACAAAUUAAGAAGUGCAAGAUUAAAAAAAAAUGCUGGUCCUUGAUUCGUUGUUGAUCGUCAGCAUGCCAUCAUCAAUUUGUAGUUAAUUAUCAUACAAAUUGGCUCUUUCAUAGAGUUGGAGGCUAGCUCCUUUGAUCAGCACGCGCUUAAACACAAACAGCACGUAUAUGUUUUGUCUCCGGAGUUCAAUUCUUCAUCGGCCAGCAAAAAUGGCCCGACCGGGUAGAGGAAAAGGCAUGUUUGUUAGUACGCCUGGAGGAAAUGCCUUUGAUUACGGCAUCUUCAACAGCGACCAGUAAAUUUCCUUCCGCGUUCGUUCACGGAUAGGGGAUCAGUCUGCGGAUACGAAUACAGGAAUCAUCCAUCCAACGCUGUCCGCGUAUAUUUCAAACACAUUUUUUUUUUAAAAUAGGAUGAAAUUCAUGCAAACACAAUGGAUUUCAUACAAACCGGACAAAAAUGUUUACAUUUUGGACAUAUUUUUUUACUAAAAACUCUACAGCCGGCGCCGGCGAAUAUCCACCCCGGCGACAUGGAUACCCUUGACUAGUCUACUGCCGGCCGCAGCGGAUCUCCAAUGUCGUCCCCAUAUCCGGCAGCUAUGAGCCCUAGAGGUAUAUGCUUCAGCGCAAAGAGCGGCUCGCCUCCCUACCGCUCAUCGGAGUGGAACAACCAGCUGAUGCUUCUGCCGAUGGAAAGGGUCCCUACGCUACACGGAUUAGAGUUGGUUUUCGGCUGGGAACGGCGGUGGCCUGCCAGAGGGCAAGACACCGACUGUGUAUGCUGGUGUCACCUGGUGUGGCAUUCGUGGGACCCAAGCGGCAGCGCCUCCUCGAUGAUGGCGGCGAGCGCGGACGUGUUUGACACCACCUCGUCGAUGUCCGUGCAGCCGGCUUCUUUCUCUGUAGGAAGGACGCGGUUACGCUUGCGUUGACAUCGGAUGACUCGGUCACAUGCACGGGAGGGGCGGUACGACAUGGCACCGCCAAUGGCAGCCAUGAUGCCCACGCCACCGUGCUCCCUCCCAGUGCCGAUCUAGAGCAACUUGCCACUCCUCUGCUCGUGACCGGUGGGCUUGACGGGCCACCUAGCCAUUUUUUAUGCCAGACAACUCUUCUUCCUGCUCGUCAGAUGUCAUGGAUAAAACUGUUUAAGGAGGAAAAUGAUGAGUGGACGUGUGAUGCGGUUCUUGCCCAACAUCUGACAUUGUUUAAAUAGCGAGGGGAGACGAGAGGAGCCAACCGGCGUACUGUUUAAUGCCAACCGGCUCGCGAACGAACAUGUGGCCGGAGUAAUUAUCCUAGCACACACGCGGGUUUAAUGGUGGAAGGCGGGCAGUCUGCAGGAAUGAGGCGAGGAUGUGUGCUUAGCCGGCGUGCAGCAGGCGGCGCCCUCGGCCGGCGUGCUGCUUCCAUUGCGGAGGCAGUGAGAGGUCGCGUCCGCUCUGCAGCGCAUGAAUGCGGGCAGCUGGCGCAGAGCGGGAACGCGUGCGGGCGAGGGAGGAGGGGGUUUGGGCGGGUGGUCAGAAGAGGUCGUGGGUGUUGUCCGAACGCCUGCAAAGCCCCCCUCCAUGUUUGUCUCCAGUUUGCGGGAGAAAGUACGUCCGGACCGUCUCCAAUGGACCAAUACAGGCCCGCAUUGGAUAGCACAACACGUCCGGACCAUGUGGUCCGGAUGGUUGUGGACAGUUUAAUUGAGGGUCGGCGUUGGAGAUGCCUUAGAGUUUAUGAAUCCAUUGUGUUUUUCUAAUCAUAAAAAAUCACUUACAAUAAGUUAUAAGGAAAGACACGUUUAUAUGUUAGGUUCAGACUCCAGCUUUCGUUUUACAUAUGCUUUAUUCAUCCGACUGAUUCCAAUAGAGUGAGCCUAGCGUUGUUUUUCUGGAAACUCGCGGGAUAAGGAGACAUGCAUACACAUUCUUUCAAGCAAAUCACAUCCAUUUUUUUUAACUCAUUUUUCUUCUUUUAAUAAUAUAAUAGAUCAUUUAUAUUUUUUAUCUGAAACAGUUGACGUGUAAUUUAUAUUGUAAUCUGAGGAUAAUGUUUGGAUUUUACUUUCAAAUAUAUUUGAAAUGGCCAUGAUGGAAUCACAUCCAUUUAUUUUAUUAUUAUUUGAAUUUGAUCCAAAAGAUAAAUAAUGAGUAGAGGUCAUGUCAACUUUUCUGAGAACUUUGCUAAUCAAAAUAUAAAUUGUAUUUAAAAACAUCUAUUUUUUAGCACGCAUGAAAAACAUAACACGUAUCUUUUCACACAUAAUGAACGGUUGUCAUAAGAACUCAUGCCAUGCCACAACCUCCCUCCGACCCUGCCAACAUUGUUGCAGCUGCACUCGCAAGCCUUAGCGUAGAUGAUAAUUUAUACAAUUUGCGUAAAACAAAAUAAGAUCUACAAAUGAAUAGAAGCUAGAACGUACAUUGGCAUGCACACACAUUGCAAGCCAUACUAAGCUGAUAAGUGUUAAUAACUUGUACAACAUAUACAACACUUAAGACAAGUAAAAGCAAUUUGAUGAGUCAUGGUCUAUCAAAGCCACAUUACUAGUCUAAUCCAUCUUAACAGGUCACACAUGAUUAAAAUCUUGUUUGUGUGCAAGUCAAGCUUAUCUAGUUUACAUGUAACAACUUGUAGAACAUUACAAAAUUUAUGUUUGCUAAUAACUUCUAGAACACUACAACACUUGACAUGUAAAAGGAAUUUGAUGAGUCAUGGCCUACUAAAGCAAGUUAUAUUACUAGUCUUAUCUACCAUAACAGGCCACACAAGAUUACAAACCAAGUUCUGUGCCAGCCAUGCUUAUCUAGUUUAUGCGUAACAAUUUGCAGAAAAUUACAAACUUAGUUUCAGAAAAAUAGGCAAUCUAGAUUAGUGUUUGAGCUGUAAAGUGAAUAAAAUGAGUCAUGCGUGUUAUCACACCUUUUUGGUUGUGGAAUGAUAGUGCAACAACAAGGAACUUUAAUGACCAGUUCAAGAAUACACUUGUAAGUAGUGCCACCGAACACAACAUACCAAAUUAUGAUUUUGAGAAGCAUCCAAGCACAUCCACACAAGCAAAUGCCAAUUGUGAAAGAGAUCAUGCCAUGGCAGCUAUAAAUAGGCCCGUAGCAUGACGAUCAUCCUUCCUCAUCCAUCAUUCUCAUAAGUAGAGCGCAUCAUUUAAGCCAAGCAAGCAGUGCUCAAUACAAAUCCACCAUGAAGACCUUUCUCAUCCUUGCCCUCCUUGCUAUUGUAGCAACCACCGCCACAAUUGCAGUUAGAGUUCCAGUGCCACAAUUGCAGCCACAAAAUCCAUCUCAGCAACAACCACAAGAGCAAGUUCCAUUGGUACAACAACAGCAAUUUCCAGGGCAGCAACAACCAUUUCCACCACAACAGCCAUAUCCGCAGCCGCAACCAUUUCCAUCACAACAACCAUAUCUGCAGCUGCAACCAUUUCCGCAGCCGCAACUACCAUAUCCGCAGCCGCAACCAUUUCGACCACAACAACCAUAUCCACAACCGCAACCACAGUAUUCGCAACCACAACAACCAAUUUCACAGCAGCAGCAGCAGCAGCAACAACAACAACAACAACAACAACAGAUCCUUCAACAAAUUUUGCAACAAUAACUGAUUCCAUGCAGGGAUGUUGUAUUGCAACAACACAGCAUAGCGCAUGGAAGCUCACAAGUUUUGCAACAAAGUACUUACCAGCUGGUGCAACAAUUGUGUUGUCAACAGCUGUGGCAGAUCCCCGAGCAGUCGCGGUGCCAAGCCAUCCACAAUGUUGUUCAUGCUAUUAUUCUGCAUCAACAACAACAACAACAACAACAACCGUUGAGCCAGGUCUGCUUCCAACAGCCUCAACAACAAUAUCCAUCAGGCCAGGGCUCCUUCCAGCCAUCUUAGCAAAACCCACAGGCCCAGGGCUCUGUCCAGCCUCAACAACUGCCCCAGUUUGAGGAAAUAAGGAACCUAGCGCUAGAGACGCUACCUGCAAUGUGCAAUGUCUAUAUCCCUCCAUAUUGCACCAUUGCUCCAGUUGGCAUCUUCGGUACUAACUGAGAAUAGAAUAACUCUAGUAGUAGAUAUAUGAUACACCGUUUUCUUAGUCCAUGGUUUGGUCGUUGUAGCGGUGAAAAAAUAAAGUGACAUGCACUAUCAUGUAAGAACCCGAACUAUACUAUUUCAAACAUGGGAAUAAAAGACAAACACAUGUCUUGUCUACAUAUGAUUGUUUGUUUGAGUUCCACUCAUGUGCCCACUCACAAGUUCACCCCUAAUUAUAUAUAUUAUGCAUUAAGUAGAUAUUUAUGUUGCAUUAAUCUAAAGAUAACAAAAUGAGUCUGAAAUUUGAAUUAAAUUGAAGUAUUUCCUUGGACUUUCAAAUGGAGUAUUAUUAAAGUAGUAAGGACUAUCCACAUCCUUGGCUUGCCCUUGAUCAAUUAUUUCCAGAGAAGCAUUCAAUUCAUCAAUCAAUUACAUUGAUUUUUGUGGCUGGUACUUCUCCUCAACAUGAGUAUAUUCAUCGCGGCUACUCCAAAUAGCCAUGAAUGAGGUACCGGUGCUCUGGAGCACUGGUACCUAACUGCUUCUCAUGUGAAGGGGUGCGGGCGCGGGAGAGGUGUUUUUGGUGGGCCAGGGGAGUAAGAAGCGGCCGUGGCAGCGGUCCAGACGCCCACAAAGCCCCGUAGUUUGUUUUUGGUUUACAGGAAAAUGCACAUCCAGACUGGCCUGCGGGCCGAUAUAGGACCGUAUUGGAUGGCAAAACAUGUCCGGAUGGUCGCGAGCGGUUUAAGGGUUAGCUUUUGUAACACCCGGUUAGUUAUGCUAUGGUAAUUCCCUGCUAAUGAUGUCACGUCAGCACGAUUACUGUUGUUAACCUCACAAUGAUUCAAUCCCAUUCAAAUUCAAAUUUAAAAUAAAGGCAAACAUCAAAAGUUUCAAACAUUAAAACUAAAAUCUUCGAGAGGUGAAAAAUAAUGCAUAAGUAAUUAUGGUGGAGAAACCACACUUUUAUAAAAUGUUUAAAUACUCUAAAAAUAAUAAAACAGUGGCUUAAACUAUUAUUUAAAUGCUUUUAAAAUAGUAAAAAUGUUCUAACUAAAUUAAUUGGGUACCAAACUUUUGGUGGCAGUGGUAUAUUUAGUAGAACUAAUUUAGAUGCUAAUAAAACAUAAAAGGAAAGACAAAACAAAUAAAAGUAAAAGGGGGCAACCCUUGGCUGGGCCUCGGCCAAGCUGGGCACUUGGCUAGCUAGGUUGGCCCAACCGCCUCCCUUAACCCCCCACUCCCCAUCGAACCCUAGACCGAUCGCCCCACUUCCCCCCCACCCCCUCGUCAGCCUCCCCACCUCUCGAUCCCAUCUGGAUCGGGGAGGGGAUCGCCUUCAUCGACCCCGUCGCGGUCGCUGGAUCGCCCGCUCGCCCAUCGCCCGCCGGCGUCGCCGGACCUCCUCCCCGUCGCAUGUCUCCGGCUCUCCUCCCCUCUCGCUCCUCUUCCCCGACCCGAUCUAGAUCGGGAAGGGCCAAUGAGCCCAACGCCCCCCUCCAUCGACGCUGUGCUCCAGCACCGCCGCCCGAAGACCUCGCCAUCGCCGGACCUCGCGUCGCCUCCUCGUAUCCCUCCCCGACUCGCCUCCUCAAGCCACGCCGACCCCCUCUCGGCAACGCCGUGAGCCGCACCCGUUUCCCUCCUUCUCUUUCCACCGUGUUCACCGCGCCGCCUGCCGUGCCCCUCGCCGCGCGCACGCCCACCACCGCGCCAGCCCCCGCUCCCGCCCUCUCCUGCACGCUUGUGCGCGCAUGACCCUAGCCGCGCCCACGCCGUGAUCCCCUUGUCCCGCCCGCCUUCGUCCCGCGCUCGCCGCGGCCCCCAUGCUCCCCUGCGCCCUCUUUUGGGGCCGUCGGCUGCCCCUGUCCCGCAGCUCGCUGGCAUGCGUCCCCGCCUGCGCCUCGCCACCGCUCUACUGCUACGCUACUAUUGCGCUGUGGCCGCCGCCGCUUCCCGCUGCUCUGCCAGCGCCAAAGCUCCUGGUUGGCCCUGCCGCUGCUCGCGUUUAACCGCCGGCCUAAGCGGCCUAACCUCCCCCCUCGCUAAUGAACCCCCACCGACCCGCUGACACCGGGACCCACAUCCCCUAAUUAACCAUUUAAUAAAUUAAAACUCUUAAAUUAACAUUAGUGUAUGACAUGUGGGUCCCCUAUUAAUUAAACUGAUUUAAUUAAAAUCUAUUAACUUUGAGUCUAUGACAUAUGGGCCCCACUAAACAUUUGACCAAUCAACGGUCCAGUCAAAUGCUGACCGGACAGUUGACCAGAGGGCCCCGCCAGUCAGCCAAUGUGCUGUUCUGCUGGGUACCUUUCUAAGUACACCUAGCAUUUUGCAUUUACAAUAUUUGUUUUAAAAUAAAUUAGAAUAAUUUCAAAAAAAUAUUAAAACUUUUAAAAUUAAAAUAAAAUAAUCCGUAACUCGGAUGAAAUUACUUUAUACAUGGAAGUUGCUCAAAAAAUGAGACGAAUCCGAAUACACAGUCCGUUCGUCUGCCACGCGUCCCUAGCAUAGCGAACAUGCAACCAUCCCCCUCCGGUUCGACUGUCCGAAAAAUUAUUAUUGCACAUGCCCGCUAAGAGGUUGGCUGUAUAUGACAUGACAACUUCUUAUAGCCGAGCCUUGGCUGUAUUAUUAACCAUGCUCUUAGUGAGGUAGCUAGUAUAUCAUAGACGACUAGCUAGUAUCAGACUAGCCAAAGUGGGAGUAACUUCAGCAGUAACAUCGACUCCAACUCAGCAAACUUCCUUAUGUGGGAGUAAACCGUGCCCAAUGCAAAAUACAAUCCCAGUCGUAAUUUUUUCAGGAAACGUGUGGGAUCCCAAACGAAAAGCACACGUCACUCUUGCGGCAACCGUCGGUGACACCCAAUAAAUCACAAACGGUCUGCAGCAGCUGUAUGUGUGCAAAGGGGCUCCUGAACCGUUUGUGAUAGAACAUUAUCGCAGACGGUAAUUGUUGGCAAACGUGUGCGAUGGAGUCUAGCAUGGCAGACGGGUUACGCAGAAAACUCGUGUGUGAUGGGGCACAAAUCGCACACAGUUCAUAUGUUGGUCCAUGUGCCUUACAUACUAUUUCCCAAAUGGUUUGUUACGACAGACCGUAUCGUUUCAGUGCGUCAUUAGAAACGCUUAAUCACUGAUACCACACGUGCGAAAGAAAUUAGUGCGUGAUGCAUCGCACACGAUUACAUUUUGGAAGGCCUCUGGAUCACUGCUCCAUAUCCCCGACGGUUUCUGGGCCGUGUGGGAAGGACACCCUAUCGCACACACUCACUUGGCGAUGGUUCCAAAUGCUGUCGCAGAAAAGGGUUAAAAACAGUUUGUUUAGGACCGACGCGUACCAGUGUCUAUCUAUCUAUCUAUCUAUCUAUCUAUGUAUCUAUCUAUCUAUCCAUCUAUCUAUCUAUCUAUCUAUCUAUCUAUCUAUCUAUCUAUCUAUCUAUCUCAAUCCACCUAUCUAUCUAUCCAUCUAUCUAUCUCUCCAUCUAUCCAUCUAUCUAUCCAUCUAUCCAUCCAUCUACUAUCCAUCUAUCUAUCCAUCCAUCCAUCUAUCUAUCCAUCCAUCCAUCUAUCUAUCUAUNNNNNNNNNNNNNNNNNNNNNNNNNNNNNNNNNNNNNNNNNNNNNNNNNNNNNNNNNNNNNNNNNNNNNNNNNNNNNNNNNNNNNNNNNNNNNNNNNNNNNNNNNNNNNNNNNNNNNNNNNNNNNNNNNNNNNNNNNNNNNNNNNNNNNNNNNNNNNNNNNNNNNNNNNNNNNNNNNNNNNNNNNNNNNNNNNNNNNNNNNNNNNNNNNNNNNNNNNNNNNNNNNNNNNNNNNNNNNNNNNNNNNNNNNNNNNNNUCUAUGUAUCCAUUUAUCCAUUGAUCCAUCUAUCGAUCCAUCCAUCCAUCCAUCUAUCCAUCAAUCUAUCUAUCCAUGUAUCCAUGUAUCCAUCUAUCCAUCUAUCGAUCUAUCCAUCCAUCUAUCUAUCUAUCUAUCCAUCUAUCCAUCUAUCGAUCUAUCCAUCUAUCUAUCUAUCCAUCCAUCUAUCGAUCUAUCGGUCUAUCCAUCUAUCGAUCUAUCCAUCUCUCCAUCUACCCAACUAUCCAUCUAUCCAUCUAUUCAUCUACCGAUCUAUCUAUCCAUCUAUCUAUCUAGCUAUCUAGCUAUCUAGCUAUCUAUCUAUCUAUCUAUCUAGCUAUCUAGCUAUCUAUCUAUCUAGUUAUCUAGCUAUCUAUCUAUCUACCUACCUACCUACCUACCUACCUACCUAUCUAUCUAUCUAUCUAUCUAUCUAUCUAUCUAUCUAUCUAUCUAUCUAUCUAUCUAUCUAUCUAUCUAUCUAUCUAAAGGAAAUAUGCCCUAGAUGCAAUAAUAAAGUUGUCAUUUAUAGUUCGUUAUAUCAUGAUAAACUAGCGGAGUCACCCGCGCAUUUGCGCGGCUAGAUUGACUACAUAUAUUGUUAUAUUUGGGAUUAUUUUUCUAUGCCAAUUUUAUGGCCUCUUACUCAGAUAUUAUCUAAUUGAAUUUACCACCACCAUAUGUUAUAUCCAUAGAUUAUAAUGAAAAGGCAACUUCCGACGAAACAUGGACAGAUUAUUGAGUGCUCAGAAGACGGACGCAAUAUCAUAUAUAGACUUCUAUACCAAUCUUCAUGGUUCCCAUCUUUGAUCCUCUCCUCGUCCCUUGGUAUCUAUCUUUGCACCCAAUAUGUCUUUGGAGUUCCAAGAAUUGAAUCUUAGCAUGAAUGGCUUCAAUGUGUACCAAAUGUUCUCUUGUUCCUCCCAAAUUAAUUACUGGUUGCAUUCUUAGUUGCUUUGACAUUCUUGGUUAAUGCAAUUUCUUGCCUACCAAUAUAUGCAUCCACACACGAUCAUAUUUAUAUGACCACUUACCUCUGUAUUCUGGUAUUUGUGCUUCAGAAUUUUUCUCUCAUUCAGUUUAUUCAUAGAUUAAAAACGUCGAUCGUUUCUUUAUUGGUUUGCAUUAUCUUGUUUGCCGAACGUAAGCAUCCACACAUGCUCGUCAUGAUAUGAUUGGUCAUCAUUGUAUAUUUGUAUUUGUGUGUUGAUAGCUUAAGGAUUUUCUCGGAUUCACUUCAUAGUUUAAGGAUUUUCUCGCGUUCAAUUUAUUCUACCUUAUUCAUUUUCAUGUUUCUUUAUUGCAUUUAUAUCAAUUCUUACAAUAUAUUUUCCAAGAUAUGAACUCAACUACUAAUUACGUAGUUUUUCAUCAAAAAUUACAUGUAAAAAUGUUACAAAUGCAUAAACAUGAUAAAAAUAUAUAUCAUAUUCCAUUGAGAGAUCGCCCAUUUAAAAAAAACACGUUGACUUACAAAAAGGACAAUUCAAGCUGCAUGUACGUCCGACUCAUGUUUACCUGACAAUGUCGAUGUUGAUUUCAGCAGUAAAUGAGCUGUGUGUGACCUUUGCGCUUUCCGGUAUUCUUCUAACCUGUGUGCUUUAUGAUCAGUUUGUUGUGCUUAGUACUGGACACUUGAGUAUACUAUCAUAUUUGGUACAAAUAAAUCUGAACUACUAUAGUUAUGAUCCACUGUAUAGUUAAUGGUGGUGGUAAUUAAUAUAUGUGGUUAAAUACUUGCGCUCCUUAGGUGGGGAGUUGGAUUUGUAUUUCCCUAAAAUAAAUUUCAGAUUUCGUAAUAGUGGUGAAGCCAGCCGGAAGAACCUCUGCGUCAUUAUUAAUUUUGGUGAUAUUUUUCUUCAUAGUGUAGAAUAAUUUUAGUGCUUAUUCCGCAAAAAAUAUGGCCUCAACUGACCCCAUAGCUUGUAUGUUGCGCCACCACUGUUUCCUAUAUCCUAUUACAUCCGUUGUUUUUAGAUCUUGAUGCAUAACUUUGACAAUAUUUAAUAGAUAUGUGUCUGUAUAAAAAAUUAUAAAUGCUAUGAUAAUUUGAUUAAUUAUGAUGAAUAAAAUGUUAUUGCUCUGACUUGAUCCCUCUAGAAUUUUCCAAAAUUUCACAUUACAGUUGUAGUAGUGCAUGCUACCUCUUGAGCACUGCGUUAGUUUUCCCUUGAAGAGGAAAGGGUGAUGCAGUAAAGUAGCGUCAGUAUUUCCCUCGGUUUUUGAGAACCAAGGUAUCAAUCCAGUAGGAGGCCACGCAUGAGUCCCUCGCACCUACACAAACAAAUAAAAUCCUCGCAACCAACGCAAUAAAGGGGUUGUCAAUCCCUUCACGGUCACUUACGAAAGUGAGAUCUGAUAGAUUUGAUAAGAUAAUAUUUUUGGUAUUUUUAUGAUAAAGAUGCAACGUAAAGAAAGCAAAAUAAAAAAAGCGCCAGAAAUAGCUUGUUGACGGGAGAUUAAAAUAGACCGGGGGGCCAUAGGUUUCACUAGUGGCUUCUCUCGAGAGCAUAAGUAUUUUGGUGGGUAGACAAAUUACUGUUGAGCAAUUGACAGAAUUGAGCAUAGUUAUGGGAAUAUCAAGGUAUGAUCAUGUAUAUAGGCAUCACGUCCGAGGCAAGUAGCCCGACUCCUGCCUGCAUCUACUACUAUUACUCCACACAUCGACUGCUAUCCAGCAUGCAUCUAGAGUAUUAAUUUCAAAAGAACAGAGUAACGCUUUAAGUAAGAUGACAUGAUGUAGAGGGAUAAACUCAUGCAGUAUGAUAUAAACCCCAUCUUGUUAUCCUCGAUGGCAACAAUACAAUACGUGCCUUGCUGCCCCUACUGUCACUGGGAAAGGACACCGCAAGAUUGAACCCAAGCUAAGCACUUCUCCCAUCGCAAGAAAGAUCAAUCUAGUAGGCCAAACCAAACUGAUAAUUCGAAGAGACUUGCAAAGAUAACCAAUCAUACAUAAAAGAAUUCAGACAAGAUUCAAAUAUUGUUCAUAGAUAAACUUGAUCAUAAACCCACAAUUCAUCGGUCUCAACAAACACACCGCAAAAGAAGAUUACAUCGAAUAGAUCUCCACAAGAGAGGCGGAGAACAUUGUAUUGAGAUCCAAAAAGAGAGAGGAAGCCAUCUAGCUAAUAACUAUGGACCCGAAGGUCUGAGGUAAACUACUCACACAUCAUCGGAGAGGCUAUGGUGUUGAUGUAGAAGCCCUCCAUGAUCGAUGCCCCCUCCGGCGGAGCUCCGGAAAAGGCCCCAAGAUGGGAUCUCACGGGUACAGAAGGUUGCGGCGAUGGAAUUAGGUUUUUGGCUCCGUAUCUGGUAGUUUGGGGGUACGUAGGUAUAUAUAGGAGGAAGAAGUACGUCGGUGGAGCAACGUGGGCCCCACGAGGGCGCGCCCCCCUACCUCGUGCCUUCCUGGUAGAUUUCUUGACGUAGGGAACAAGUCCUCUAGAUAACGUUCGUUCCCAAAAUCACGUUUCCGAAGGUUUCAUUCCGUUUGGACUCGGUUUGAUAUUCUUUUUCUGUGAAACUCUGAACUAGGCAAAAAACAGCAAUUCUGGGGUGGGCCUCCGAUUAAUAGGUUAGUCCCAAAAAUAAUAUAAAAGUGUAUAAUAAAGCCCAUUAAUGUCUAAAACAGAAUAUAAUAUAGCAUGGAACAAUAAAAAAUUAUAUAUACGUUGGAGACGUAUCAAGCAUCCCCAAGCUUAAUUCUUGCUCGUCCUCGAGUAGGUAAAUGAUAAAAACAGAAUUUUUAAUGUGGAAUGCUACUUGGCAUAAUUUCAAUGUAAUUCUCUUAAUUGUGGUAUGAAUAUUCAGACCCGAAAGAUUCAAGACAAAAGUUUAAUAUUGACAUAAAAAUAAUAAUACUUCAAGCAUACUAACUAAGCAAUUAUGUCUUCUCAAAAUAACAUGGCCAAAGAAAGUUAUCCCUACAAAAUCAUAUAGUCUAGCUAUGCUCUAUCUUCACCACACAAAGUAUUUAAAUUAUGCACAACCCGGAUGACAAGCCAAGCAAUUGUUUCAUACUUUUGAUGUUCUCAAACUUUUUCAAUCUUCACGCAAUACAUGAGCAUGAGCCAUGGACAUAGCACUAUAUGUGGAAUAGAAUGGUGGUUGUGGAGAAGACAAAAAAGGAGAAGAUAGUCUCACAUCAACUAGGCGUAUCAACGGGCUAUGGAGAUGCCCAUUAAUAGAUAUCAAUGUGAGUGAGUAGGAAUUGCCAUGCAACGGAUGCACUAGAGCUAUAAGUAUAUGAAAGCUCAACAAAAGGAACUAAGUGGGUGUGCAUCCAACUCGCUUGCUCAUGAAGACCUAGGGCAUUUUGAGGAAGCCCAUCAUUGGAAUAUACAAGCCAAGUUCUAUAAUGAAAAUUUGCCACUAGUACAUGAAAGUGAUAUCAUAGGAGACUCUCUAUCAUGAAGAUCAUGGUGCUACUUUGAAGAACAAGUGUGGUAAAAGGAUAGUAACAUUGUCCCUUCUCUCUUUUUCUCUCAUUUUUUUAUUUGGGUCUUUUAUCCUUUUUUAUGGCCUCUUUUUUUUAGUCCGAAGUCUCAUCCCGACUUGUUGGGGAAUCAUAGUCUCCAUCAUCCUUUCCUCACUUGGGACAAUGCUCUAAAAAAUGAUGAUCAUCACACUUUUAUUUACUUACAACUCAACAAUUACAACUCAAUACUUAGAACAAAAUAUGACUCCAUGUGAAUGCCUCCGGCGGUAUACCGUGAUAUGCAAUGAAUCAAGAGUGACAUGUAUGAAAGAAUUAUGAACGGUGGCUUUGCCACGAAUACAAUGUCAACUACAUGAUCAUGGAAAGCAAUAUGACAAUGAUGGAGUGUGUCAUAAUAAACUGAACGGUGGUAAGUUGCAUGGCAAUAUAUCUCGGAAUGGCUAUGGAAAUCCUAUGGUAGGUAGGUAUGGUGGCUGUUUUGAGGAAGGUAUAUGGUGGGUGUAUGAUACCGGCGAAAAGUGCGCGGUAUUAGAGAGGCUAGCAAUGGUGGAAGGAAGAAAGUGCGUAUAAUCCAUGGACUCAACAUUAGCCAUAAAGAACUCAUAUACUUAUUGCAAAAAUCUACAAGUUAUCGAAGCAAAGUAUUACCCGCAUCAUCCUAGGGGGAUAGAUUGGUAUGAAAAGACCAUCGCUCAUCCCAGACCGCCACUCAUAAGGAAGACAAUCAAUAAAUAAAUCAUGCUCCGACUUCAUCACAUAACGGUUCACCAUACGCGCAUGCUAAGGGAAUCACAAACUUUAACACAAAUAUUUCGCAAAUUCAAAACUACUCAACUAGCAUGACUCUAAUAUCACCAUCUCCAUAUCUCAAAACAAUUAUCAAGUAUCAAACUUCUCAUAGUAUUCAACACACUCAUAAGAUUUUUUUACUAAUCUUGAGUGCCUAUCAUAAUUAAAGCAAAUUACCACGCUGUUUUGUAGGACUAUCAAAAUAAUCUAAGUGAAUCAUGAGAGAACAAUAGUUUCUAUAAAACAAAACCACCACCGUGCUCUAAAAGACAUACGUGAAGCACUAGAGCAAAAACUAUAUAGCUCAAAAGAUAUAAGUGAAGCACAUAGAGUAUUCUAACAAUUUCCGAAUCAUGUGUGUCUCUCUCAAAAGGUGUGUACUGCAAGGAUUAUUGUGGCAAACUAACAAAUAAAUACUUCAAAUAAUACAAGACGCUCCAAGAAAAACACAUAUCAUGUGGUGAAUAAAAAUAUAGCUCCAAGUAAAGUUACCGAUGGAAGUAGACGAAAGAGGGGAUGCCUUCCGGGGCAUCCCCAAGCUUUGGCUUUUAGGUGUCCUUAGAUUAACUUGGGGUGCCAUGGGCAUCCCCAAGCUUAGGCUCUUGCCACUCCUUGUUUCAUAAUCCAUCAAAUCUUUCACCCAAAACUUGAAAACUUCACAACACAAAACUCAGCAGAAAAUCUCGUGAGCUCCGUUAGCAAAAGAAAACAAAACACCACUUCAAGGUACUGUAAUGAACUCAUUCUUUAUUUAUAUUGGUGUUAAACCUACUGUAUUCCAACUUCUCUAUGGUUUAUAAACUAUUUUACUAGCCAUAGAUUCAUCAAAAUAAGCAAACAACACACGAAAAACAUAAUCUGUCAAAAACAGAACAGUCUGUAGUAAUCUGUAACUAACGCAAUUUUCUGGGACACCAAAAAUUGACCCAAAAUAGGAAGACCUAGACAAUUUUUUUAUUGAUCAGCAGCAAUUGGGAUCAAUAUUUUAUCACGUCCUGGUGAUUUUUAACAAUUAUUUUCGUGAACAGAAAGUUUCUAGAAUUUUCAGCAAGAUCAAAUAACUAUCAUCCAAGAAGAUCCUAUAGGUUAAACUUGGCACAAACACUAAUUAAAACAUAAAAACACAUGUAACCAGAGGCUAGAUCAAAUAUUUAUUCCUAAACAAAAGAAAAAAUCAUAAAAAACUAAAAAUAAAAUUGGGUUGCCUCCCAACAAGCGCUAUCGUUUAAUGCCCCUAGCUAGGCAUAAUAGCAAUGAUAGAUCUAGGUAUUGCCAUCUUUGGUAGGCAAUCCAUAAGUGGCUCUCAUAAUAGAUUCAUAAGGUAAUUUUAUUUUCUUUCUAGGGAAGUGUUCCAUGCCUUUCCUUAAUGGAAAUUGGAAUCUAAUAUUCCCUUCCUUCGUAUCAAUAAUUGCACCAAUCGUUCUAAGGAACGGUCUACCAAGAAUAAUAGGACAUGAAGGAUUGCAAUCUAUAUCAAGAACAAUAAAAUCUACUGGCACAUAAUUCCUAUUUGCAACAAUAAGAACAUCAUCAAUUCUUCCCAUAGGUUUCUUAAUGGUGGAAUCCGCAAGGUGCAAGUUUAAAGAGCAAUCAUCAAAAUCACGGAAACCUAGCAAAUCGCAUAGAAUCUUUGGAAUCGUGGAAACACUAGCACCCAAAUCACACAAAGCAUAGCAUUCAUGAUCUUUAAUUUUAAUUUUAAUAGUAGGUUCCCACUCAUCAUAAAGUUUUCUAGGGAUAGAAACUUCCAACUCAAGUUUUUCUUCAUAAGAUUGCAUCAAAGCAUCAACGAUAUGUUUAGUAAGGCUUUAUUUUGACUAUAAGCAUGUGGAGAAUUUAGCACGGAUUGCAACAAGGAAAUACAAUCUAUCAAAGAGCAAUUAUCAUAAUUAAAUUCCUUGAAAUCCAAAAUAGUGGGUUCAUUAAUAUCUAGAGUUUUGAUUUCUUCAAUCCCACUUUUACCAUUUUUUGCAUCAAGAUCUAAAAACUCCGAAUUUUUGGAACGCCUUCUAGGUAGAGGUGGAUUAUAUUCAGUCCCAUCAUUAUCAAGAUUCAUAUUGCAAAACAAAGAUUUAAUAGGGGACACAUCAAUAACUUUUAGAUCUUCAUCUUUAUUUUCAUAGAAACUAGAAGAACACGCUUUCACAAAACAAUCUUUCUUAGCACGCAUCCUAGCGGUUCUUUCUUUGCACUCAUCAAUGGAAAUUCUCAUGGCCUUGAGAGACUCAUUGAUAUCAUGCUUAGGAGAAAUUCUAUCAGCGUUCCUAGCCAAUUCAUCAACUUUAAGCAAUUUUUCUUCAAGCAAAGCAUUGAAAUUGUUUUGCGAAUUCAUAAAUUCUUUAACACUAGUCUCAAAUUCAGAAGGCAUCUUAUUAAAAUUUCCAUAAUAAUUGUUGUAGGAAUUACCAUAAUUAUUAGAGGAAUUACUAGGAUACGGCCUUGGAUUAAAGUUUCCUCUAUACGCGUUGUUACCAAAAUUAUUCCGACCAACAAAAUUCACAUCCAUAGAUUCAUUAUUAUUCUCAAUCAAAGUAGACAAAGGCAUAUCAUUAGGAUCAGAAGAAACACUUUUAUUAGCAAAUAAUUUCAUAAGUUCAUCCAUCUUUCCACUCAAAACAUUAAUUUCUUCUAUCAUGCACUUUUUAUUAGUGGUUUUUUCGGUGUGCCAUUGAGAAUAAUUAACCAUAAUAUUAUCUAGGAGUUUAGUAGCUUCUCCUAAAGUGAUUUCCAUAAAAGUGCCUCCCGCGGCCGAAUCUAAAAGAUUUCUAGAAGAAAAAUUCAAUCCGGCAUAAAUUUUUUGUAUAAUCAUCCACAAAUUCAAACCAUGAAUAGGGCAAUUACGUAUCAUUAAUUUCAUCCUCUCGCAAGCUUGUGCAACAUGUUCAUGAUCAAGUUGCUUAAAAUUCAUAAUAUCGUUUCUAAGAGAGAUGAUCUUAGCGGGAGGAAAAUACUUAGAGAUAAAAGCAUCUUUGCACUUAUUUCAAGAAUCACUACUAUUUUUAGGCAAAGACAAAAACCAAGCUUUAGCACGAUCUCUAAGCGAAAAAGGAAAUAGCUUCAAUUUAACAAUAUCAUUGUCCACAUCUUUCUUCUUUUGCAUAUCACACAAAUCAACGAAGUUGCCAUGUCUAGGAAUGCUUGAAGCUUCAAAGAUUUCCUAUAAUACAACAUGCCUCUAACUAUUCACAAUAAGAAAAACAUGUAAAUGCGGAAUCAACCAAAUGUUGGUAAAUUGUAGUUGAUUUUGGCCAAGCAAACGUCAGAUGAAAGAAACAUACAUGAGUGAACAUCACGAUUGGAUGUUUUAUUCAAAUUUAACAGGUUAAACUCACCAAAUCCAUCUGGAUAUUUAGUAUUAAACUUCAACAGAUGGUGAGUUGUAGCUAGAUUCACAACACUGAAGCAAAAUUCCAUCUGCCACGGUUACAUCACACCAUCUUUUCAUCGUUACUAUUUAAAUUCCAAAUGCCUGCAACUCAUUUUUUUGUUACGAUGUAUGCAUGAUUUUUAACUCAAGAGGAAGAGGGGAAACUAAAUCCAAGAAAAGAACACCAAGGAAGCAUCCAAAAUAGAGAAAGGAAAAAUCCAAAAUAGAGGCAGAAUCGAAGGGAAGAAACCCCAUAAAAAAUAGGAGAUCAAACGGUGAAAAAAAUCUAAGAGUCAAACAAUUCCAGGUAAGACCAAAUCGACGACAAAAUAGCACAAGAGGGACUCACAUUAACAGGUAUACCAAUUCAGAAAGAAGUGUAAAGCGAACAGUGCAAUGGACCACUAGUAUAAAUUGGCUGUACACAAACAUGGGACUUAAACAGGAACUGCGAGAUGCAGGGUUCACGUGCAAACCCAAAAAACGGAAAACUGAAACGCACAACAAGAUUUUAUCUUCAUAUAUAUAUAUUAUGAGCUAUUGGCUUUUUAGUCAGGUAAAUAUCAUUCUUAAGACUACGGAAAACAGCAGGCGGCGAAGAAAACAUCUAUUGAUGAGAACUAUACACAUACUUAAGAAGGAAGUGACAUCUAUGGUAGCAGAACAUAUAUCAAGCUGUUGCAGCUACAUUAGCAGUUUAGCACAGUUCCUCCAUAAUACACAGGCUAGUGUAAUUUCACAAAUACAAUAAGCUAACAAUAUAUAUUUGGUAGAUGGAAAUGGCUGGAUCAUGACCAAUAUACCAUUACACAUCCGAUGAUGCAAAUAAACCACAAUAGAACAUGUAUUUGGCGAAACCUCCAUACUGCAAUAUCAAACAUGAAUUGAAAUUAACAAUCUAGCAAAAAAACAUGACAGAUGCAGUCUUGGUCAUUUUUCCUUUUGUGACAUCCCCUAAAAAAAGUAAAAACAAUGUUGUUCGUAUUUUACCAGAGAUACACUGAGCUGGGACAAAUUGGUCUGAAAUAAAAUAUGAUGGCUUCGGAGGAUUCGGAAGGGAAGAAAUUUGCUUUCUUCCAACAUAUAUGGUCUGCUGAACUAAACUUCGUUUCAGCGGGCUUUGCCAAAAAUCUGUAACUGCAAACAUCAACUUGUGUGCCCUUCCUACGUCAAACUUUAAACCUGAGCUCAGUGUACUUUAUGAGUGUUAAGUGUACUUUCUAAAUAGCAGAGAAACCAUAACAUCUAAGCACAACCCAGCAACUUGUACAAGCUAACAUCAAAUCUGAAAGAAGAAAUGUCGAGAACAGGUGAAGGUACCAUGAUCCACGACUGAGCAAAGUUAUCUAUUAUCCUCGGUGAAUAUCAUAAAUUAGGAUCAACUACGCUGAAGAACAAACGGGAAAGGAACCUAGAAAGAUCUUUUGCCGGUAGAAUAUAACUGAUACACUAUCCUCAUUCUCGAGAUCAAGGUCGUUUCUUGAAUUGCAGUUUCCUCACUGUAGUAUGGGGUCAUUACACUGCGAAGAACAAAGUGUCAUAUGAAUCAUUUAGAGCCCAAUCUUUUUCACUGAAACUCUUAUGAUCACAUAACGAAUUUAAACAUAAGGUUUAUUAGAUAUUUGUUGUUGUGAAUAGAUAAUAUAUUUCUGGUGUUGACAAUGUUUUGAUUAUGGAUGCACUUCAAGAUGGGUGGCACAGAUUCUGUUGUACAGGCCUCCACCUGGAAUUUCAUCACUUGUUAUUUUUGUUUUAGAAUGUCUAGGUGCAUUUUUCCUUUAAGGUGGAAACAGAUGUACUUGUAUAAGCAACAAGAAUACAAAGCGCCACUGCCAUACAUUGUGGAAGUUCAGUGCUUCUGUUUACAAAAUCUGCUUCCCAAAACAGAAGGUUUAUAAUUUUUUAUUACAAUCAAGCGGACAUGAGCUGAUGAGUACAGAUGUAGACAUGUACUGAGAGCAGCACCCUUUCAAAAGUGGAUCAUUUACAUGUUGGAUAGUUUGAUGGUCUGAAAUUAAUGGUCGUGUUUCAGAAUUGUUAUCGAAUAGUAGGGGAUAUAUAUUAACUUCUGAAAUUAGUGGCUGUUUGUCAGAACUGUUAUCGAAUAGUAGGGCACAUAUAUUAACUUCAAUAAGUGGACUAAUAUCUUUGGAUUCGCUGUGAGGAAAGAUUACCAAAACAAAACAGAAGUGAGUGCGACGACCCAGAUGAGGGCGCUCUUGAGCCUCUUCCCGACCGACCUAGAUGCAGGAGCAGAACACGGCGGAUCUAAUCAGCCAACCAAUAAAGCCGAGGAAGUAAGGGAGGAAGAAGACUGACUUGUCCUGGUCGCCCUCGUAGUUAGAACAUGGCGAACAGGAUGACGAGGAAGACGAGGACAGCGUCGAGGAUGUAGACGACGAGCCAGAGCAUGUUCAUGGGCAGGAUCAAGCAUGGGCAGGAUAAGGGCGCAGGCCCCGUUGUAGGCGGCGUGCUUGCAGGCCUGGCGGUUGGCGACGUCGGCGGGGAGCAUGAGGAUGGAGAGGACGGCGACGGUGAUGCCGAGCACGAUGACGAGCUUGAGGAAGUAGGCCUGGUUGGCAUCAUCCGGGUGCUGGUAGUUGACGAGCAGGCAGACGCUGACGAGGAGCACCAGGAUGCUGACCACCGCCGCCACGAUCACUAGCGCCACGUUAAAAAACCCAUAUCCUCGGGGCUCCGGUCCCGGUUCCGGCCCGCCGCCUCGCCCCCGUUGGUCGGUCAGAUCUCUCUGUCCCUAGAGGCGGGGGAUACAGGCUAGGGUUUGGGCGUGGGCGGGGAAUAGGCUGCUAUGGUGCCGGCAGCGGGGCGUGGAGGAGAGAAGGAUUAGGAGGAAUAAUUCACCACACUUUGAUUAACCUCUCGGCUGGGUCUUAUGUACAGAUUACAGGGCCAGCCAGGGAGAUCAUGAGGUGAUCCACUACCUGGGAUCGUGCGCCACGAUCACUACAUGCGUGCGCCACGAUCAUAUACACACACGCUACACCUAGUGUCUACGCAACUACGGUAUAGCAGUACGGUACAGUCUAACACCCCCCCCCCCCCGCAGUCGUGACGUCGUCGGCGGCGACGCAAAGACUGGACCGGAACUCAGAGAAAACAUCCGAUGGCAGGCCUUUGGUCAUGAUGUCCGCGAGUUGUUGGCGCGUGGGGAUGUGAAGAACACGGAAGUGGCCGAGGGCGACGCGCGCCCGCACGAAAUGGAUGUCCAGCUCCACAUGCUUAGUGCGGCGAUGAUGCAUCGGAUUGGCUGACAGGUAGACUGCGGACACAUUGUCACAGUACACCAGUGCUGCCUUGGUCACUGGAGCGGAGAGCUCGCCGAGAAGCUGGCGGAGCCAGAUGCAUUCAGCGACCGCGUUGGCGACGCCGCGGUAUUCAGCUUCGGCGCUGGAGCGCGAUACGGUCGCCUGGCGCUUGGAGGACCAGGAGACGAGAGCAUCGCCGAGGAAGACGCAGAAGCUCGACGUGGAGCGUCGGGUGUCGGGGCAGCCGGCCCAGUCCGCGUCGGUGAACGCAAGGACGUCGAGCGUGGUCGAGGCGUGAAGAUGAAGCCCGAGUGCGCAGGUGCCCUUCACGUACCGGAGCACGCGCUUGACGAGCGCGAGGUGGCAUUCGCGCGGGUCAUGCAUGUGCAAGCAGAUUUGCUGGACGGCGUAGGCGAUCUCUGGACGCGUGAUGGUGAGGUACUGCAGGGCCCCGGCGAUGCUCCGAUAGGCCGAGGGGUCGUCGACGCAGGGCCCAUCGGCUGAGAGGAGUUUGCUCUUCGUGUCGAUGAGUGUCGGGGAAGGGCGGCAGGUGUCCAUGCCGGCGCGUUCCAGGAGUUCGUCGGCAUAUUGUUGUUGCGACAGGAAGAAGCCAGCUCGGGUGCGGGUGACGCGGAUGCCGAGGAAGAAGGCGAGCGAGCCCAGGUCCUUCAUGGCGAAUUCGCCUGUGAGGCGCUGGAUGACAUGGUGAAGCACGCGUGACGAGGACGCGGUGAGCACGAUGUCGUGGAUGUAGAUGAGGAGGAACGCCAUGUCGUUGCCGUGCCGGAAGGUGAACAGCGACGAGUCCGAACGCGUAGCUGCGAAGCCAAUGGAGCGGACGAAGCCGGCGAAGCGGAGGAACCAGGCACGGGGCGCCUGCUUGAGCCCGUACAAGGACUUGGAGAGGCGGCAGACGUGCUCUGGUUUGUCGGGGUCGACGAAUCCGGCGGGCUGGAGGCAGUAGACUUCCUCCUCCAAGUUGCCGUGGAGGAAGGCGUUGGAGACGUCGAGGUGGUGCACCGGCCAGCCGCGCGACGCGGCCAUAGUGAGCACAGUGUGGAUCGUCGCUGGCUUGACGACGGGGGAGAACGUCUCGCCGUAGUCGACGCCGGCACGCUGAUGAAAGCCCCGCACGACCCAGCGUGCUUGCUAGCGGGCCAGCGCACCGUCGGCGUCGUUUUUGUGCUUGAAGAUCCACUUCCCUGUGAUCAGGUUGGCGCCGGGGGGGCGGGGCACCAGCUCCCAUGUGCGAUUGCGCACGAGCGCAUCGUACUCAGCACGCAUGGCACCGAGCCAGUUCGGGUCGUGAACAGCAGCGCGAACCGAACGCGGCACCGGCGACACCGAUGAUGAGGUAGAGGCGGUGGCCGCGUCGUAGUAGCGCGGGUUGGGGCGGAAGAUGCCGCGCUGGGCACGCAUGACCAUGGGCACAGGAGGCGCCGGUGCGCGGGGCGCCGUUGGUCGCGCGCUCGGAGACGAGCUGUCGGAGGAGCCACUGGCGGAGUUGUCGGAGGAGCCGCUGGCGGAGGCGAAGACAGGCGGACCUGGCGCGGAUGGGCACGUCGAGGACGGAGCAGAGCCGCCAUCGGAAGCGCCCGCAGCGCACCGCGAGCUAACGCGGCGCGCCCCGCUGGUUGGCGAUGAUGAGCGGGGCAGGCUGGUGAUGGAGAUCGGGCGCGCCGGCAGGACGGGUGACAUGCUGCUGUCAGGCACCGGUGGAAGCGCAGGCAGCGCAGGAGGCCGGACGGCGAGCGGGAUCUGCAGGGUAGAGGGUACGACGGGUGGCGUAGGCGACGGGGAAGAGGAUGCGAACGGGAAAACGUGGUCGUGGAAGAGAACGUGGCGAGACGUGAGGACACAGCGAGAGGUGAGGUCAAAGCAGCGAAAACCACGAUGAUCGGGAGGGUACCCGAGGAAGACGCAGGCGAUAGAACGUGGCUCGAGCUUAUGGCGGGUGGUGGCGGUGACGUUCGGAUAGAUGCGGAGUAAUUUGUGCGACGCCGAGCAGGAGUUCAUGCGGAGUGCAGGGCGCCGAGGCGCGGCAGGGCCGAUGAUUGAGCAGGUAGGUCGAGGUGUUGAGAGCCUCUGCCCAGAAGCGAGCGGGCAUGUGCGCAUGACAGAGAAGCACACGAACGCCGUCGUUGAUCGUGCGGAGAACUCGCUCGUCCUUGCCGUUCUGCUGACUGGUGUAUGGGCAGGUGAGACGGAAGUGUGUGCCGUGGCGAGCAAGCAGAGAGCGCACAGCUGCGCUGUCGAAUUCACGACCAUUGCCCGUUUGCAGUGCAAGUAUGGGUAACUGAAACUGAGUCUGAACAUAGGCAAAGAAAUCAACAAGUAUGGGAAGAACUUCAGACAUGUGUUUCAGAGGGAAAGUCCAGACAUAGUGACUGAAAUCAUCUAGUACAACUAAGUAAAACUGAUAGCCGGAUAUGCUUACAACGGGAGCGGUCCAUACAUCAAGGUGUAAAAGCUGGAAAGGAAAGAAACUAGCAGUGGUGGAUGUCUGAAACGGGAGCCAGGUGUGUUUGCCAACACGACAGGCAUGACAGACAGGCGGAUCACGGCAGAACUCCAGGGACUGAUCGGCAGCAACGGUGCGGAGUGCGGCAGCCCCUGGGUGGCCGAGACGUUGAUGCCACAGGUCGGUCGUGGCGGCGCCGGCGAAGAUGCCCGGGGAAUGGACGGAUGGCCGCACCACGGGAUAGAGAUCGCCGUCGGAGUCACAUCGGAGAAUCACUACCCUGGUUCGUAGGUCCUUGACAGAGAAACCACGAGCGUCAAAUUCAACAGAAACGGGGUAGGAACGACAAAGCUGCCGAACUGAAAGUAGGUUUUUGACGAGAGAUGGAGAGACGAGAACGUUGCGGAGAGGAAUGGGGGAAGUGCUGGUGAUCAGCGCGCCCGUGCCAACGUGGGUGAUGGGCAGGCGGUCACCACUGCCCACGAUGAUAGAUGCAGUAGUAGAGGACGGGCGAGUGGAGAGGAGAUUACCAGGGGAGGACGUCAUGUGCGCCGCGGCGCCGGAGUCGAGGUACCACUCCGGUGCGCUGCCAGAGGAGGAAGGGCUGGCCGAGGCGCUGUGGAGGGCGGCCUGGAGCGAGGCCAUGUCCCAUGGCUGGUGGGUUGCAGUCGACGAGCUGGCGCCGGGGUGCCCGUAGCCUGACAGGACGUCGGAGACGGGUGGAGUGACGCCGUAGCCGGGGAGGGUAGCGCCGUAGCCGUAUGGUGCAGCCGGCGACGGGGCGGCGAACAUGGCCUGCUGGUACGGCGUACCAGGGCGGGGGCCGAGCACUUCAGCUCCAGCCGCGCGCCAAGGCAUCGGCCAAGCCUGGACCAUGCCGGUCCAUGCGUUUGUACCGGGUGCAGGCGUGGGGUACGCUGGGGGAGGGCGGGGAGCCUGGGAGGACGGCGUGGGCGGGCCACCAAUGCCGUUGCCACGUCUGGGGCGGCGUCCGCGCCCACGCCCUUGGUUGGUGUUGCUGGGCGGGGGUGUGGGUGGUGUAGGAGAGCCGCCACGCCCGGCGACGAGAGCGUGCGCAGACUGCUGGCGAGUGGUCGACUGCUCUGCUCGGUGUUCCUCAAGCAGGACGAAGGAGCGCACCUGCAGGAACGACGGGAGCGGGACCUGCGAGGUGAUGUGAGGGAUGGCGGAGUGGAACUGCCGGUUCAGACCGCGGAGCAGGUUGAAGACCUGCCGCGAGUCGGUUACCGGCUGCCCGAGGUGGCGGAGUUGAUCCGUGAACGACUUCAUCUUGGUGCAGUACACCAUGAUCGACAUGUCGCCCUGAACGAUAGCGUGGUACUCGGCGUCGAGGUAGACAGCGCGAGCGAGGUGGUUGUCGCGGAAGAUUCCAUCGACCGCAGUCCAGACGGCCAGAGCAGUGUCGUCCGGCUGCAUGACGGCGUCGAGCAGGUCCGGCGAUAUGGUGGUGUAGAACCAGUGGACGACGACGUGAUCAGCCAUGCCCCACUCGGGAUCAUCGUGGCGGUGGAUGGCCGUGGCGCCGAACAUGCCGAUGACGGUGUCGAAGUGGCGGCGCCACUGCGUGUAGUUGCCGGCGAGAAGGUCGAGGGUGACCGGGACAUGACGACGGAUGUCCACGGUCUGCAGGAUCGCGGAGGCGACAGGUGCUGUAGCAGGAGGAGGAGGGAUGACGGGCACCGCGGGCGCGACAGGUGCUGGAGCCGGCGGUGCCUUGGCCAGGGGGACAGCGUUAAGGACGCCGUCGGCGCCGUGCUGCGAGGAGCGAGGGGACACGAUGGGGUUGUCAUCCAUGGCGGCGGAAGCGGGACUGGCGACCUGCGCGAAGGGAUUGAGCAGGUCGGGGGAAUCUGGUACCAUAGAGGAGAGAAGGAUUAGGAGGAAUAAUUCACCACACUUUGAUUAAGCUCUCGGUUGGGUCUUAUGUAUAGAUUACAGGGCCAGGGAGAUCACGGGGUGAUCCACUACCUGGGAUCGUGCGCCAGGAUCACUAUAUGCGUGCGCCACGAUUAUAUACACACAUGCUACAACUAGUGUCUACGCAACUACGGUAUAGCAGUACAAUACAGUCUAACAGGGCAGCCACCGGCGGGGAGGGCGGGAUCCACGCGGGGUGGCGGGAUUUGGGCAGGCGGUGGGCUCGGGGGAGGGCGGUGGCAGCGAAGCAGCAAGGAGGGGCUGGAGGAGAUGAAACGAAAGAGGUCGCGUGACACAGCGACAGCGUUGUCCAAUCCCCGCGCUGCCGAUUUAAAAAAAAGGUAAUGAUAACUCCCGAACGUUCGGGAGUUAAGCAUGGAAACCCGAACGGGUUUAGAUGGCAAGUUUAGUUUGCGUGAGAUUAGGAAAACAUGGCAAUUUUCUGACAAAAGAAAUGAAAAAGGAUGAAGUUGCCAUCCCUAUCAACUAAAGUUGCCAUCCCCUAUGAACUAAAGUUGCCAUGUAAAAACGUUCGGGACGAAAUGCUCAAAAUCCGAACGUUCGGAAGUUACUGGAUUCAAAAAAAUCCCCUUGCUGCCAAUCGCUGGUCCGUUUCUUUUUUCGCCCAAUCGCUAGGUGAUGACGUGGCUAUCGCGGGAAGGCGCCCUUGAUGCGUAGUCGAAUGGUUUUAAUUAAUAGGAAGCGAGUGCUUACUCUAGUUACUGAAUUAUGUACACCAAAUAAAGCCAUUUACACGUAGUUAAUGACAAAAAAAGUUGAUGUUUGCUACGCAAAUGUGUAGUACAAAUUAAGAAGUGCAAGAUAAAAAAAAAUGCUGGUCCUUGAUUCGUUGUUGAUCGUCAGCAUGCCAUCAUCAAUUUGUAGUUAAUUAUCAUACAAAUUGGCUCUUUCAUAGAGUUGGAGACUAGCUCCUUUGAUCAGCACGCGCUUAAACACAAACAGCACGUAUAUGUUUUGUCUCCGGAGUUCAAUUCUUCAUCGGCCAGUAAAAAUGGCCCGACCAGGUAGAGGAAAAGGCAUGUUUGUUAGUACGCCUGGAGGAAAUGCCUUUGAUUAGGGCAUCUUCAACAGCGACCAGUAAAUUUCCUCCCGCGUUCGUCCACGGAUAGGGGAUCAGUCCGCGGAUACGAAUACAGGAAUCAUCCAUCCAACGCUGUCCGCGUAUAUUUCAAACACAUUUUUUUUAAAAAUAGGAUGAAAUUCAUGCAAACACAAUGGAUUUCAUACAAACCGGACAAAAAUGUUUACAUUUUGGACAUUUUUUUUUACUAAAAACUCUACAGCCGGCGCCGGCGAAUAUCCACUCCGGCGACAUGGAUACCCUUGACUAGUCUACUGCCGGCCGCAGCGGAUCUCCGAUGUCGUCCCCAUGUCCGGCAGCUAUGAGCCCUAGAGGUAUAUGCUUCAGCGCAAAGAGCGGCUCGCCUCCCUACCGCUCAUCGGAGUGGAACAACCAGCUGAUGCUUCUGCCGAUGGAAAGGGUCCCUACGCUACACGGAUUAGAGUUGGUUUUGGGCUGGGAACGGCGGUGGCCUGCCAGAGGGCAAGACACCGACUGUGUAUGCUGGUGUCACCUGGUGUGGCAUUCGUGGGACCCAAGCGGCAGCGCCUCCUCGAUGAUGGCGGCGAGCGCGGACGUGUUGGACACCACCUCGUCGAUGUCCGUGCAGCCCGCUUCUUUCUCUAUAGGAAGGACGCGGUUACGCUCGCGUUGACAUCGGAUGACUCGGUCACAUGCACGGGAGGGGCGGUACGACAUGGCAUCGCCAAUGGCAGCCAUGAUGCCCGCGCCACCGUGCUCCCUCCCAGUGCCGACCUGGAGCAACUUGCCACUCCUCGGCUCGUGACCGGUGGGCUUGACGGGCCACCUAGCCAUUUUUUAUGCCAGACAACUCUUCUUCCUGCUCGUCAGAUGUCAUGGAUAAAACUGUUUAAGGAGGAAAAUGAUGAGUGGACGUGUGAUGCGGUUCUUGCCCAACAUCUGACAUUGUUUAAAUAGUGAGGGGACACGAGAGGAGCCAACCGGCGUUCUGUUUAAUGCCAACCGGCUCGCGAACGAACAUGUGGCCGGAGUAAUUAUCCUGGCACACACGAGGGUUUUAUGGUGGAAGGCGGGCAGUCUGCAGGAAUGAGGCGAGGAUGUGUGCUUAGCCGGCGUGCAGCAGGCGGUGCCCUCGGCCGGCGUGCUGCUUCCAUUGCGGAGGCAGUGAAAGGUCGCGUCCGCUCUGCAGCGCAUGAAUGCGGGCAGCUGGCGCAGAGCGGGAACGCGUGUGGGCGAGGGAGGAGGGGGUUUGGGCGGGUGGUCAGAAGAGGUCGUGGGUGUUGUCCGAACGCCUGCAAAGCCCCCCUCCAUGUUUGUCUCCAGUUUGCGGGAGAAAGUACGUCCGGACCGUCUCCAAUGGACCAAUACAGGCCCGCAUUGGAUGGCACAACACGUCCGGACGAUGUGGUCCGGAUGGUUGUGGACAGUUUAAUUGAGGGUCGGCGUUGGAGAUGCCUUAGAGUUUAUGAAUCCAUUGUGUUUUUCUAAUCAUAAAAAAGCACUUACAAUAAGUUAUAAGGAAAGACACGAUUAUAUGUUAGGUUCAGACUCCAGCUUUCGUUUUACAUAUGCUUUAUUCAUCCGACUGAUUCCAAUAGAGUGAGCCUAGCGUUGUUUUUCUGGAAACUCGCGGGAUAAGGAGACAUGCAUACACAUUCUUUCAAGCAAAUCACAUCCAUUUUUUUUAACUCAUUUUUCUUCUUUUAAUAAUAUAAUAGAUCAUUUAUAUUUUUUAUCUGAAACAGUUGACGUGUAAUUUAUAUUGUAAUCUGAGGAUAAUGUUUGGAUUUUACUUUCAAAUAUAUUUGAAAUGGCCAUGAUGGAAUCACAUCCAUUUAUUUUAUUAUUAUUUGAAUUUGAUCCAAAAGAUAAAUAAUGAGUAGAGGUCAUGUCAACUUUUCUGAGAACUUUGCUAAUCAAAAUAUAAAUUGUAUUUAAAAACAUCUAUUUUUUAGCACGCAUGAAAAACAUAACACGUAUCUUUUCACACAUAAUGAACGGUUGUCAUAAGAACUCAUGCCAUGCCACAACCUCCCUCCGACCCUGCCAACAUUGUUGCAGCUGCACUCGCAAGCCUUAGCGUAGAUGAUAAUUUAUACAAUUUGCGUAAAAACAAAAUAAGAUCUACAAAUGAAUAGAAGCUAGAACGUACAUUGGCAUGCACACACAUUGCAAGCCAUACUAAGCUGAUAAGUGUUAAUAACUUGUAUAACAUAUACAACACUUAACACAAGUAAAAGCAAUUUGAUGAGUCAUGGUCUAUCAAAGCCACAUUACUAGUCUAAUCCAUCUUAACAGGUCACACAUGAUUAAAAUCUUGUUUGUGUGCAAGUCAAGCUUAUCUAGUUUACAUGUAACAACUUGUAGAACAUUACAAAAUUUAUGUUUGCUAAUAACUUCUAGAACACUACAACACUUGACAUGUAAAAGGAAUUUGAUGAGUCAUGGCCUACUAAAGCAAGUUAUAUUACUAGUCUUAUCUACCUUAACAGGCCACACAAGAUUACAAACCAAGUUCUGUGCCAGCCAUGCUUAUCUAGUUUAUGCGUAACAAUUUGCAGAAAAUUACAAACUUAGUUUCAGAAAAAUAGGCAAUCUAGAUUAGUGUUUGAGCUGUAAAGUGAAUAAAAUGAGUCAUGCGUGUUAUCACACCUUUUUGGUUGUGGAAUGAUAGUGCAACAACAAGGAACUUUAAUGACCAGUUCAAGAAUACACUUGUAAGUAGUGCCACCGAACACAACAUACCAAAUUAUGAUUUUGAGAAGCAUCCAAGCACUUCCACACAAGCAAAUGCCAAUUGUGAAAGAGAUCAUGCCAUGGCAGCUAUAAAUAGGCCCGUAGCAUGACGAUCAUCCUUCCUCAUCCAUCAUUCUCAUAAGUAGAGCGCAUCAUUUAAGCCAAGCAAGCAGUGCUCAAUACAAAUCCACCAUGAAGACCUUUCUCAUCCUUGCACUCCUUGCUAUUGUAGCAACCACCGCCACAAUUGCAGUUAGAGUUCCAGUGCCACAAUUGCAGCCACAAAAUCCAUCUCAGCAACAACCACAAGAGCAAGUUCCAUUGGUACAACAACAACAAUUUCCAGGGCAGCAACAACCAUUUCCACCACAACAGCCAUAUCCGCAGCCGCAACCAUUUCCAUCACAACAACCAUAUCUGCAGCUGCAGCCAUUUCCGCAGCCGCAACUACCAUAUCCGCAGCCGCAUCUACCAUAUCCGCAGCCGCAACCAUUUCGACCACAACAACCAUAUCCACAACCGCAACCACAGUAUUCGCAACCACAACAACCAAUUUCGCAGCAGCAGCAACAACAACAACAACAACAACAACAACAGAUCCUUCAACAAAUUUUGCAACAACAACUGAUUCCAUGCAGGGAUGUUGUAUUGCAACAACACAGCAUAGCGCAUGGAAGCUCACAAGUUUUGCAACAAAGUACUUACCAGCUGGUGCAACAAUUGUGUUGUCAGCAGCUGUGGCAGAUCCCCGAGCAGUCGCGGUGCCAAGCCAUCCACAAUGUUGUUCAUGCUAUUAUUCUGCAUCAACAACAACAACAACAACAACAACAACAACAACAACAACCGUUGAGCCAGGUCUCCUUCCAACAGCCUCAACAACAAUAUCCAUCAGGCCAGGGCUCCUUCCAGCCAUCUCAGCAAAACCCACAGGCCCAGGGCUCUGUCCAGCCUCAACAACUGCCCCAGUUUGAGGAAAUAAGGAACCUAGCGCUAGAGACGCUACCUGCAAUGUGCAAUGUCUAUAUCCCUCCAUAUUGCACCAUUGCUCCAGUUGGCUUCUUCGGUACUAACUGAGAAGAGAAGAACUCUAGUAGUAGACAUAUGAUACACCGUUUUCUUAGUCCAUGGUUUGGUCGUUGUAGCGGUGAAAAAAUAAAGUGACAUGCAGUAUCAUGUAAGAACCCGAACUAUACUAGUUCAAACAUGGGAAUAAAAGACAAACACAUGUCUUGUCUACAUAUGAUUGUUUGUUUGAGUUCCACUCAUGUGCCCACUCACAAGUUCACCCCUAAUUAUAUAUAUUAUGCAUUAAGUAGAUAUUUAUGUUGCAUUAAUCUAAAGAUAACAAAAUGAGUCUGAAAUUUGACUUAAAUUGAAGUAUUUCCUUGGACGUUCAAAUGGAGUAUUAUUAAAGUAGUAAGGACUAUCCACAUCCUUGGCUUGCCCUUGAUCAAUUAUUUCCAGAGAAGCAUUCAAUUCAUCAAUCAAUUACAUUGAUUUUUGUGGCUGGUACUUCUCCUCAACAUGAGUAUAUUCAUCGCGGCUACUCCAAAUAGGCAUGAAUGAGGUACCGGUGCUCUGGAGCACUGGUACCUAACUGCUUCUCAUGUGAAGGGGUGCGGGCGCGGGAGAGGUGUUUUUGGUGGGCCAGGGGAGUAAGAAUCGGCCGUGGCAGCGGUCCAGACGCCCACAAAGCCCCGUAGUUUGUUUUUGGUUUACAGGAAAAUGCACAUCCAGACCGGCCUGCGGGCCGAUAUAGGACCGUAUUGGAUGGCAAAACAUGUCCGGAUGGUCGCGAGCGGUUUAAGGGUUAGCUUUUGUAACGCCUGGUUAGUUAUGCUAUGGUAAUUCCCUGCUAAUGAUGUCACGUCAGCACGAUUACUGUUGUUAACCUCACAAUGAUUCAAUCCCAUUCAAAUUCAAAUUUAAAAUAAAGGCAAAAAUCAAAAGUCUCAAACAUUAAAACUAAAAUCUUCGAGAGGUGAAAAAUAAUGCAUAAGUAAUUAUGGUGGAGCAACCACACUUUUAUAAAAUGUUUAAAUACUCUAAAAAUAAUAAAACAGUGGCUUAAACUAUUAUUUAAAUGCUUUUAAAAUAGUAAAAAUGUUCUAACUAAAUUAAUUGGGUACCAAACUUUUGGUGGCAGUGGUAUAUUUAGUAGAACUAAUUUAGAUGCUAAUAAAACAUAAAAGGAAAGACAAAACAAAUAAAAGUAAAAGGGGGCAACCCCUCGCUGGGCCUCGGCCAAGCUGGCCACUGGGCUAGCUAGGUUGGCCCAACCGCCUCCCUUAACCCCCCACUCCCCAUCGAACCCUAGACCGAUCGCCCCACUUCCCCCACACCCCCUCGUCAGCCUCCCCACCUCUCGAUCCCAUCUGGAUCGGGGAGGGGAUCGCCCCCAUCGACCCCGUCGCGGUCGCUGGAUCGCCCGCUCGCCCAUCGCCCGCCGCCGUCGCGAGACCUCCUCCCCGUCGCACGUCUCCGACUCUCCUCCCCUCUCGCUCCUCUUCCCCGACCCGAUCUGGAUCGGGAAGGGCCAAUGAGCCAAACGCCCCCCUCCAUCGACGAUGUGCUCCAGCACCGCCGCCCGAAGACCUCGCCCUCGCCGGACCUCGCGUCGCCUCCUCGUAUCCCUCCCCGACUCGCCUCCUCAAGCCACGCCGACCCCCUUCUCGGCAACGCUGUGAGCUGCCCCCGUUUCCAUCCUUCUCUUUCCACCGUGUUCACCGCGCUGCCUGCCGUGCCCCUCGCUGCGCGCACGCCCACCACCGUGCCAGCCCCUGCUCCGAGCCCUCUCCUGCACGCUUGUGCGCGCAUGACCCUAGCCGCGCCCACGCCGUGAUCCCCUUGUCCCGCCCGCCUUCGUCCCGCGCUCGCCGCGGCCCCCAUGCUCCCAUGCGCCCUCUUUUGGGGGCGUCGGCUGCCCCUGUCCCGCAGCUCGCUGGCAUGCGUCCCCGCCCGCGCCUCGCCACCGCUCUACUGCUACGCUACUAUUGCGCUGUGGCCGCCGCCGCUUCCCGCUGCUCUGCCAGCGCCAAAGCUCCCGGUUGGCCCUGCCGCUGCUCGCGUUUAACCGCCGGCCUAAGCGGCCUAACCUCCCCCCUCGCUAAUGAACCCCCACCGACCCGCUGACACCGGGACCCACAUCCCCUAAUUAACCAUUUAAUAAAUUAAAACUCUUAAAUUAACAUUAGUGUAUGACAUGUGGGUCCCCUAUUAAUUAAACUGAUUUAAUUAAAAUCUAUUAACUUUGAGUCUAUGACAUAUGGGCCCCACUAAACAUUUGACCAGUCAACGGUCCAGUCAAAUGCUGACCGGACAGUUGACCAGAGGGCCCCGCCAGUCAGCCAAUGUGCUGUUCUGCUGGGUACCUUUCUAAGUACACCUAGCAUUUUACAUUUACAAUAUUUGUUUUAAAAUAAAUUAGAAUAAUUUCAAAAAAAUAUUAAAACUUUUAAAAUUAAAAUAAAAUAAUCCAUAACUCGGAUGAAAUUACUUUAUACAUGGAAGUUGCUCAAAAAACGAGACGAAUUCGAAUACACAGUCCGUUCGUCUGCCACGCGUCCCUAGCAUAGCGAACAUGCAACCAUCCCCCUCCGGUUCGACUCUCCGAAAAAUUAUUAUUGCACAUGCCCGCUAAGAGGUUGGCUGUAUAUGACAUGACAACUUCUUAUAGCCGACCCUUGGCUGUAAUAUUAACCAUGCUCUUAGUGAGGUAGCUAGUAUAUCAUAGACGACUAGCUAGUAUCAGACUAGCCAAAGUGGGAGUAACUUCAGCAGUAACAUCGACUCCAACUCAGCAAACUUGCUUAUGUGGGAGUAAACCCUGCCUAAUGCAAAAUACAAUCCCAGUCGUAAUUUUUUCAGGAAACGUGUGGGAUCCCAAACGAAAAGCACACGUCACUCUUGCGGCAACCGUCGGUGACACCCAAUAAAUCACAAACGGUAUGCAGCACUUGUAUGUGUGCAAAGGGGCUCCUGAACCGUUUGUGAUAGAACAUUAUCGCAGACGGUAAUUGUUGGCAAACGUGUGCGAUGGAGUCUAGCAUGGCAGACGGGUUACGCAGAAAACUCGUGUGCGAUGGGGCACAAAUCGCACACUGUUCAUAUGUUGGCCCAUGUGCCUUACAUACUAUUUCCCAAAUGGUUUGUUACGACAGACCGUAUCGUUUCAGUGCGUCAUUAGAAACGCUUAAUCACUGAUACCACACGUGCGAAAGAAUUUAGUGCGUGCUGCAUCGCACACGAUUACAUUUUGGAAGGCCUCUGGAUCACUGCUCCAUAUCCCCGACGGUUUCUGGGCCGUGUGGGAAGGACACCCUAUCACACACACUCACUUGGCGACGGCUCCAAAUGCUGUCGUGGAAAGGGGUUAAAAACAGUUUGUUUAGGACCGACGCGUACCAGUGUCUAUCUAUCUAUCUAUCUAUCUAUCCAUCUAUCUAUCUAUCUAUCUAUCUAUCUAUCUAUCAAUCUAUCUAUCCAUCUAUCCAUCUAUCCAUCUAUCCAUCUAUCCAUCUAUCUAUCUCAAUCCACCUAUCUAUCUAUCCAUCUAUCCAUCUAUCUAUCUCUCCAUCUAUCCAUCUAUCUAUCCAUCUAUCCAUCCAUCUACUAUCCAUCUAUCUAUCCAUCCAUCCAUCUAUCUAUCCAUCCAUCUAUCUAUCUAUCUAUCUAUCUAUCUAUCUAUCUAUCUAUCUAUCUAUCUAUCUGUCUGUCUAUCUAUCUAUCUAUCUGUCUGUCUGUCUAUCUAUCUAUCUAUCCAUCUAUUCAUCUAUCUAUCUAUGUAUCCAUUUAUCCAUUGAUCCAUCUAUCGAUCCAUCGAUCCAUCCAUCUAUCCAUCCAUCUAUCCAUCCAUCUAUCUAUCCAUAUAUCCAUGUAUCCAUGUAUCCAUCUAUCCAUCUAUCGAUCUAUCCAUCUAUCCAUCUAUCCAUCUAUCCAUCUAUCUAUCUAUCCAACCAUCUAUCGAUCUAUCGAUCUAUCGGUCUAUCCAUCUAUCGAUCUAUCCAUCUCUCCAUCUACCAAUCUAUCCAUCUAUUCAUUUACCGAUCUAUCUAUCCAUCUAUCUAUCUAGCUAUCUACCUAUCUAUCUAUCUAUCUAUCUAGCUAUCUAGCUAUCUAUCUAUCUAGUUAUUUAGCUAUCUAUCUGUCUACCUACCUACCUACCUAUCUAUCUAUCUAUCUAUCUAUCUAUCUAUCUAUCUAUCUAAAGGAAAUAUGCCCUAGAUGCAAUAAUAAAGUUGUCAUUUAUAUUUCCUUAUAUCAUGAUAAACUAGCGGAGUCACCCGCGCAUUUGCGCGGCUAGAUUGACUACAUAUAUUGUUAUAUUUGGGAUUAUUUUUCUAUGCCAAUUUUAUGGCCUCUUACUCAGAUAUUAUCUAAUUGAAUUUACCACCACCAUAUGUUAUAUCCAUAGAUUAUAAUUAAAAGGCAACUUCCGACGAAACAUGGACAGAUUAUUGAGUGCUUAGAAGACGGACGCAAUAUCAUAUAUAGACUUCUAUACCAAUCUUCAUGGUUCCCAUCUUUGAUCCUCUCCUCGUCCCUUGGUAUCUAUCUUUGCACCCAAUAUGUCUUUGGAGUUCCAAGAAUUGAAUCUUAGCAUGAAUGGCUUCAAUGUGUACCAAAUGUUCUCUUGUUCCUCCCAAAUUAAUUACUGGUUGCAUUCUUAGUUGCUUUGACAUUCUUGGUUAAUGCAAUGUCUUGCCUACCAAUAUAUGCAUCCACACACGAUAAUAUUUAUAUGACCACUUACCUUUGUAUUCUGGUAUUUGUGCUUCAGAAUUUUUCUCUCAUUCAGUUUAUUCAUAGAUUAAAAACGUCGAUCGUUUCUUUAUUGGUUUGCAUUAUCUUGUUUGCCGAACGUAAGCAUCCACACAUGCUCGUCAUGAUAUGAUUGGUCAUCAUUGUAUAUUUGUAUUUGUGUGUUGAUAGCUUAAGGAUUUUCUCGGAUUCACUUCAUAGUUUAAGGAUUUUCUCGCGUUCAAUUUAUUCUACCUUAUUCAUUUUCAUGUUUCUUUAUUGCAUUUAUAUCAAUUCUUACAAUAUAUUUUCCAAGAUAUGAACUCAACUGCUAAUUACGUAGUUUUUCAUCAAAAAUUACAUGUAAAAAUGUUACAAAUGCAUAAACAUGAUAAAAAUAUAUAUCAUAUUCCAUUGAGAGAUCGCCCAUUUAAAAAAAACACGUUGACUUACAAAAAGGACAAUUCAAGCUGCAUGUACGUCCGACUCAUGUUUACCUGACAAUGUCGAUGUUGAUUUCAGCAGUAAAUGAGCUGUGUGUGACCUUUGCGCUUUCCGGUAUUCUUCUAACCUGUGUGCUUUAUGAUCAGUUUGUUGUGCUUAGUACUGGACACUGGAGUAUACUAUCAUAUUUGGUACAAAUAAAUCUGAACUACUAUAGUUAUGAUCCACUCUAUAGUUAAUGGUGGUGGUAAUUAAUAUAUGUGGUUAAAUACUUGCGCUCCUUAGGUGGGGAGUUGAAUUUGUAUUUCCCUAAAAUAAAUUUCAGAUUUCGUAAUAGUGGUGAAGCCAGCCGGAAGAACCUCUGCGUCAUUAUUAAUUUUGGUGAUAUUUUUCUUCAUAGUGUAGAAUAAUUUUAGUGCUUAUUCCGCAAAAAAUAUGGCCUCAACUGACCCCAUAGCUUGUAUGUUGCGCCACCACUGUUUCCUAUAUCUUUUUACAUCCGUUGUUUUUAGAUCUUGAUGCAUAACUUUGACAAUAUUUAAUAGAUAUGUGUCUGUAUAAAAAAUUAUAAAUGCUAUGAUAAUUUGAUUAAUUAUGAUGAAUAAAAUGUUAUUGCUCUGACUUGAUCCCUCUAGAAUUUUCCAAAAUUUCACAUUACAGUUGUAGUAGUGCAUGCUACCUCUUGAGCACUGCAUUAGUUUUCCCUUGAAGAGGAAAGGGUGAUGCAGUAAAGCAGCGUCAGUAUUUCCCUCGGUUUUUGAGAACCAAGGUAUCAAUCCAGUAGGAGGCCACGCAUGAGUCCCUCGCACCUACACAAACAAAUAAAAUCCUCGCAACCAACGCAAUAAAGGGGUUGUCAAUCCCUUCACGGUCACUUACGAAAGUGAGAUCUGAUAGAUUUGAUAAGAUAAUAUUUUUGGUAUUUUUAUGAUAAAGAUGCAACGUAAAGAAAGCAAAAUAAAAAAAGCGCCAGAAAUAGCUUGUUGACGGGAGAUUAAAAUAGACCGGGGGGCCAUAGGUUUCACUAGUGGCUUCUCUCGAGAGCAUAAGUAUUUCGGUGGGUAGACAAAUUACUGUUGAGCAAGUGACAGAAUUGAGCAUAGUUAUGAGAAUAUCAAGGUAUGAUCAUGUAUAUAGGCAUCACGUCCGAGGCAAGUAGCCCGACUCCUGCCUGCAUCUACUACUAUUACUCCACACAUCGACCGCUAUCCAGCAUGCAUCUAGAGUAUUAAGUUCAAAAAACAGAGUAACGCUUUAAGUAAGAUGACAUGAUGUAGAGGGAUAAACUCAUGCAAUAUGAUAUAAACCCCAUCUUGUUAUCCUCGAUGGCAACAAUACAAUACGUGCCUUGCUGCCCCUACUGUCACUGGGAAAGGACACCGCAAGAUUGAACCCAAGCUAAGCACUUCUCCCAUCGCAAGAAAGAUCAAUCUAGUAGGCCAAACCAAACUGAUAAUUCGAAGAGACUUGCAAAGAUAACCAAUCAUACAUAAAAGAAUUCAGACAAGAUUCAAAUAUUGUUCAUAGAUAAACUUGAUCAUAAACCCACAAUUCAUCGGUCUCAACAAACACACCGCAAAAGAAGAUUACAUCGAAUAGAUCUCCACAAGAGAGGGGGAGAACAUUGUAUUGAGAUCCAAAAAGAGAGAAGAAGCCAUCUAGCUAAUAACUAUGGACCCGAAGGUCUGAGGUAAACUACUCACACAUCAUCGUAGAGGCUAUGGUGUUGAUGUAGAAGCCCUCCGUGAUCGAUGCCCCCUCCGGCGGAGCUCCGGAAAAGGCCCCAAGAUGGGAUCUCACGGGUACAGAAGGUUGCGGUGAUGGAAUUAGGUUUUUGGCUCCGUAUCUGGUAGUUUGGGGGUACGUAGGUAUGUAUAGGAGGAAGAAGUACGUCGGUGGAGCAACGUGGGCCCCACGAGGGCGCGCCCCCCUACCUCGUGCCUUCCUGGUAGAUUUCUUGACGUAGGGAACAAGUCCUCUAGAUAACGUUCGUUCCCAAAAUCACGUUUCCGAAGGUUUCAUUCCGUUUGGACUCCGUUUGAUAUUCUUUUUCUGUGAAACUCUGAACUAGGCAAAAAACAACAAUUCUGGGGUGGGCCUCCGGUUAAUAGGUUAGUCCCAAAAAUAAUAUAAAAGUGUAUAAUAAAGCCCAUUAAUGUCUAAAACAGAAUAUAAUAUAGCAUGGAACAAUAAAAAAUUAUAUAUACGUUGGAGACGUAUCAAGCAUCCCCAAGCUUAAUUCUUGCUCGUCCUCGAGUAGGUAAAUGAUAAAAACAGAAUUUUUAAUGUGGAAUGCUACUUGGCAUAAUUUCAAUGUAAUUCUCUUAAUUGUGGUAUGAAUAUUCAGACCCGAAAGAUUCAAGACAAAAGUUUAAUAUUGACAUAAAAAUAAUAAUACUUCAAGCAUACUAACUAAGCAAUUAUGUCUUCUCAAAAUAAAAUGGCCAAAGAAAGUUAUCCCUACAAAAUCAUAUAGUCUAGCUAUGCUCUAUCUUCACCACACAAAGUAUUUAAAUUAUGCACAACCCGGAUGACAAGCCAAGCAAUUGUUUCAUACUUUUGAUGUUCUCAAACUUUUUCAAUCUUCACGCAAUACAUGAGCAUGAGCCAUGGACAUAGCACUAUAUGUGGAAUAGAAUGGUGGUUGUGGAGAAGACAAAAAAGGAGAAGAUAGUCUCACAUCAACUAGGCGUAUCAACGGGCUAUGGAGAUGCCCAUUAAUAGAUAUCAAUGUGAGUGAGUAGGAAUUGCCAUGCAACGGAUGCACUAGAGCUAUAAGUAUAUGAAAGCUCAACAAAAGGAACUAAGUGGGUGUCCAUCCAACUCGCUUGCUCAUGAAGACCUAGGGCAUUUUGAGGAAGCCCAUCAUUGGAAUAUACAAGCCAAGUUCUAUAAUGAAAAUUUCCCACUAGUACAUGAAAGUGAUAUCAUAGGAGACUCUCUAUCAUGAAGAUCAUGGUGCUACUUUGAAGAACAAGUGUGGUAAAAGGAUAGUAACAUUGUCCCUUCUCUCUUUUUCUCUCUUUUUUUAUUUGGGUCUUUUAUUCUUUUUUUAUGGCCUCUUUUUUUUAGUCCGAAGUCUCAUCCCGACUUGUGGGGGAAUCAUAGUCUCCAUCAUCCUUUCCUCACUUGGGACAAUGCUCUAAAAAAAUGAUGAUCAUCACACUUUUAUUUACUUACAACUCAACAAUUACAACUCAAUACUUAGAACAAAAUAUGACUCUAUGUGAAUGCCUCCGGCGGUAUACCGUGAUAUGCAAUGAAUCAAGAGUGACAUGUAUGAAAGAAUUAUGAACGGUGGCUUUGCCACAAAUACAAUGUCAACUACAUGAUCAUGGAAAGCAAUAUGACAAUGAUGGAGUGUGUCAUAAUAAACUGAACGGUGGUAAGUUGCAUGGCAAUAUAUCUCAGAAUGGCUAUGGAAAUGCCACGGUAGGUAGGUAUGGUGGCUGUUUUGAGGAAGGUAUAUGGUGGGUGUAUGAUACCGGCGAAAAGUGCGCGGUAUUAGAGAGGCUAGCAAUGGUGGAAGGAAGAAAGUGCGUAUAAUCCAUGGACUCAACAUUAGCCAUAAAGAACUCAUAUACUUAUUGCAAAAAUCUACAAGUUAAUGAAAAUCUAGGGGGAUAGAUUGGUAGGAAAAGACCAUCGCUCGUCCCCGACCGCCACUCAUAAGGAAGACAAACAAUAAAUAAAUCAUGCUCCGACUUCAUCACAUAACGGUUCACCAUACGUGCAUGCUAAGGGAAUCACAAACUUUAACACAAGUAUUUCGCAAAUUCAAAACUACUCAACUAGCAUGACUGUAAUAUCACCAUCUCCAUAUCUCAAAACAAUUAUCAAGUAUCAAACUUCUCAUAGUAUUCAACACACUCAUAAGAUUUUUUUUACUAAUCUUGAGUGCCUAUCAUAAUUAAAGCAAAUUACCACGCUGUUUUGUAGGACUAUCAAAAUAAUCUAAGUGAAUCAUGAGAGAACAAUAGUUUCUAUAAAAAAAAACCACCACCGUGCUCUAAAAGAUAUACGUGAAGCACUAGAGCAAAAACUAUAUAGCUCAAAAGAUAUAAGUGAAGCACAUAGAGUAUUCUAACAAUUUCCGAAUCAUGUGUGUCUCUCUCAAAAGGUGUGUACUGCAAGGAUUAUUGUGGCAAACUAACAAAUAAAGACUUCAAAUAAUACAAGACGCUCCAAGAAAAACACAUAUCAUGUGGUGAAUAGAAAUAUAGCUCCAAGUAAAGUUACCGAUGGAAGUAGACGAAAGAGGGGAUGCCUUCCGGGGCAUCCCCAAGCUUUGGCUUUUAGGUGUCCUUAGAUUAUCUUGGGGUGCCAUGGGCAUCCCCAAGCUUAGGCUCUUGCCACUCCUUGUUUCAUAAUCCAUCAAAUCUUUCACCCAAAACUUGAAAACUUCACAACACAAAACUCAGCAGAAAAUCUCGUGAGCUCCGUUAGCAAAAGAAAACAAAACACCACUUCAAGGUACUGUAAUGAACUCAUUAUUUAUUUAUAUUGGUGUUAAACCUAAUGUAUUCCAACUUCUCUAUGGUUUAUAAACUAUUUUACUAGCCAUAGAUUCAUCAAAAUAAGCAAACAACACACGAAAAACAUAAUCUGUCAAACACAGAACAGUCUGUAGUAAUCUGUAACUAACGCAAUUUUCUGGGACUCCAAAAAUUGACCCAAAAUAGGAAGACCUAGACAAUUUUUUUAUUGAUCAGCAGCAAUUGGAAUCAAUAUUUUAGCACGUCCUGGUGAUUUUUAACAAUUAUUUUCAUGAACAGAAAGUUUCUGGAAUUUUCAGCAAGAUCAAAUAACUAUCAUCCUAGAAGAUCCUAUAGGUUAAACAUGGCACAAACACUAAUUAAAACAUAAAAACACAUGUAACCAGAGGCUAGAUCAAAUAUUUAUUCCUAAAAAAAAGAAAAAAGCAAAAAAACUAAAAAUAAAAUUGGGUUGCCUCCCAACAAGCGCUAUCGUUUAACGCCCCUAGCUAGGCAUAAUAGCAAGGAUAGAUCUAGGUAUUGCCAUCUUUGGUAGGCAAUCCAUAAGUGGCUCUCAUAAUAGAUUCAUAAGGUAAUUUUAUUUUCUUUCUAGGGAAGUGUUCCAUGCCUUUCCUUAAUGGAAAUUGGAAUCUAAUAUUCCCUUCCUUCAUAUCAAUAAUUGCACCAAUCGUUCUAAGGAAAGGUCUACCAAGAAUAAUAGGACAUGAAGGAUUGCAAUCUAUAUCAAGAACAAUAAAAUCUACGGGCACAUAAUUCCUAUUUGCAACAAUAAGAACAUCAUCAAUUCUUCCCAUAGGUUUCUUAAUGGUGGAAUCCGCAAGGUGCAAGUUUAAAGAGCAAUCAUCAAAAUCACGGAAACCUAGCAAAUCGCACAAAAUCUUUGGAAUCGUGGAAACACUACCACCCAAAUCACACAAAGCAUAGAAUUCAUGAUCUUUAAUUUUAAUUUUAGUAGUAGGUUCCCACUCAUCAUAAAGUUUUCUAGGGAUAGAAACUUCCAACUCAAGUUUUUCUUCAUAAGAUUGCAUCAAAGCAUCAACGAUAUGUUUAGUAAGGCUUUAUUUUGACUAUAAUCAUGUGGAGAAUUUAGCACGGAUUGCAACAAGGAAAUACAAUCUAUCAAAGAGCAAUUAUCAUAAUUAAAUUCCUUGAAAUCCAAAAUAGUGGGUUCAUUAAUAUCUAGAGUUUUGAUUUCUUCAAUCCCACUUUUACCAAUUUUUGCAUCAAGAUCUAAAAACUCUGAAUUUUUGGAACGCCUUCUAGGUAGAGGUGGAUCAUAUUCAGUCCCAUCAUUAUCAAGAUUCAUAUUGCAAAACAAAGAUUGAAUAGGGGACACAUCAAUAACUUUUAGAUCUUCAUCUUUAUUUUCAUAGAAACUAGAAGAACACGCUUUCACAAAACAAUCUUUCUUAGCACGCAUCCUAGCGGUUCUUUCUUUGCACUCAUCAAUGGAAAUUCUCAUGGCCUUGAGAGACUCAUUGAUAUCAUGCUUAGGAGAAAUUGUAUCAGCGUUCCUAGCCAAUUCAUCAACUUUAAGCAAUUUUUCUUGAAGCAAAGCGUUGAAAUUGUUUUGCGAAUUCAUAAAUUCUUUAACACUAGUCUCAAAUUCAGAAGGCAUCUUAUUAAAAUUUACAUAAUAAUUGUUGUAGGAAUUACCAUAAUUAUUAGAGGAAUUACUAGGAUACGACCUUGGAUUAAAGUUUCCUCUAUACGCGUUGUUACCAAAAUUAUUCCGACCAACAAAAUUCACAUCCAUAGAUUCAUUAUUAUUCUCAAUCAAAGUAGACAAAGGCAUAUCAUUAGGAUCAGAAGAAACACUUUUAUUAGCAAAUAAUUUCAUAAGUUCAUCCAUCUUACACUCAAAACAUUAAUUUCUUCUAUCGCAUGCACUUUUUUAUUAGUGGAUUUUUCGGUGUGCCAUUGAGAAUAAUUAACCAUAAUAUUAUCUAGGAGUUUAGUAGCUUCUCCUAAAGUGAUUUCCAUAAAAGUGCCUCCCGCGGCCGAAUCUAAAAGAUUUCUAGAAGAAAAAUUCAAUCCGGCAUAAAAAUUUUGUAUAAUCAUCCACAAAUUCAAACCAUGAGUAGGGCAAUUACGUAUCAUUAAUUUCAUCCUCUCGCAAGCUUGUGCAACAUGUUCAUGAUCAAGUUGCUUAAAAUUCAUAAUAUCGUUUCUGAGAGAGAUGAUCUUAGUGGGAGGAAAAUACUUAGAGAUAAAAGCAUCUUUGCACUUAUUUCAAGAAUCACUACUAUUUUUAGGCAAAGACGAAAACCAAGCUUUAGCACGAUCUCUAAGCGAAAAAGGAAAUAGUUUCAAUUUAACAAUAUCAUUGUCCACAUCUUUCUUCUUUUGCAUAUCACACAAAUCAACGAAGUUGCCAUGUCUAGGAAUGCUUGAAGCUUCAAAGAUUUCCUAUAAUACAACAUGCCUCUAACUAUUCACAAUAAGAAAAACAUGUAAAUGCGGAAUCAACCAAAUGAUGGUAAAUUGUAGUUGAUUUUGGCCAAGCAAACGUCAGAUGAAAGAAACAUACAUGAGUGAACAUCACUAUUGGAUGUUUUAUUCAAAUUUAAUAGGUUAAACUCACCAAAUCCAUCUGGAUAUUUAGUAUUAAACUUCAACAGAUGGUCAGUUGUAGCUAGAUUCACACCACUGAAGCAAAAUUCCAUCUGCCACGGUUACAUCACACCAUCUUUUCAUCGUUACUAUUUAAAUUCCAAAUGCCUGCAACUCAUUUUUUUUGUUACGAUGUAUGCAUGAUUUUUAACUCAAGAGGAAGAGGGGAAACUAAAUCCAAGAAAAGAACACCAAGGAAGCAUCCAAAAUAGAGAAAGGAAAAAAAUCCAAAAUAGAGGCAGAAUCGAAGGGAAGAAACCCCAUAAAAAAUAGGAGAUCAAACGGUGAAAAAAAUCUAAGAGUCAAACAAUUCUAGGUAAGACCAAAUCGACGGCAAAAUAGCACAAGAGGGACUCACAUUAACAGGUAUACCAGGUAUACCAAUUUAGAAAGAAGUGUAAAGCGAACAGUGCAAUGGACCACUAGUAUAAAUUGGAUGUACACAAACAUGGGACUUAAACAAGAACUGCGAGAUGCAGGGUUCACGUGCAAACCCAAAAAAUGGAAAACUGAAACCCACAACAAGAUUUUAUCUUCAUAUAUAUAUAUAUAUAUAUAUAUAUAUAUAUAUAUAUAUAUAUAUAUAUAUAUAUAUAUAUAUAUAUUCAAGGCUCGCCCUAUCUAUUAGUUGCUUCUUCCGAAUCCCCACCUAUCAAGCGUUUUCUCUGAAUAAACAAACACAAUAGUAUUCUUUGAAUUAUACUGUACAACGGUAAUUAACCAAGCGACUGGAAUUAACAAUAUUAUGAGCUAUUGGCUUUUUAGUCAGGUAAAUAUCAUUCUUAAGACUACGGAAAACAACAGGCGGCGAAGAAAACAUCUAUUUAUGAGAACUAUACACAUACUUAAGAAGGAAGUGACAUCUAUGGUAGCAGAACAUAUAUCAAGCUGUUGCAGCUACAUUAGCAGUUUAGCACAGUUCCUCCAUAAUACACAGGCUAGUGUAAUUUCACAAAUACAAUAAGCUAACAAUAUAUAUUUGGUAGAUGGAAAUGGCUGGAUCAUGAGCAAUAUACCAUUACACAUCCGAUGAUGCAAAUAAAGAAACGAGGCCCAACAAUAGUGGAAAAUAAACCACAAUAGAACAUGUAUUUGGCGAAACCUCCAUACUGCAAUAUCAAACAUGAAUUGAAAUUAACAAUCUAGCAAAAAAACAUGACAGAUGCAGUCUUGGUCAUUUUUCCUUUUGUGACAUCCCCUAAAAAAAGUAAAAACAAUGUUGUUCGUAUUUUACCAGAGAUACACUGAGCUGGGACAAAUCGGUCUGAAAUAAAAUAUGAUGGCUUCGGAGGAUUCGGAAGGCAAGAAAUUUGCUUUCUUCCAACAUAUAUGGUCUGCUGAACUAAACUUCGUUUCAACGGGCUUUGGCAAAAAUCUGUAACUGCAAACAUCAACUUGUGUGCCCUUCCUACGUCAAACUUUAAACUUGACGGAUUAAAUAUUUUAGGUUAGGCUGAGAUCAGUGUACUUUAUGAGUGUUAAGUGUACUUUCUAAAUAGCAGAGAAACCAUAACAUCUAAGCACAACCCAGCAACUUGUACAAGCUAACAUCAAAUCUGAAAGAGGAAAUGUCGAGAACAGGUGAAGGUACCAUGAUCCACGACUGAGCAAAGUUAUCUAUAAUCCUCGGUGAAUAUCAUAAAUUAGGAUCAACUACGCUAAAGAACAAACGGGAAAGGAACCUAGAAAGAUCUUCUGCCGGUAGAAUAUAACUGAUACACUAUCCUCGUUCUCGAGAUCAAGGUCGUUUCUUGAAUUGCAGUUUCCUCACUGUAGUAUGGGGUCAUUACACUGUGAAGAACAAAGUGUCAUAUGAAUCAUUUAGAGCCCAAUCUUUUUCACUGAAACUCUUAUGAUCACAUAACGAAUUUAAACAUAAGGUUUAUUAGAUAUUUGUUGUUGUGAACAGAUAAUAUAUUUCUGGUGUUGACAAUGUUUUGAUUAUGGAUGCACUUCAAGAUGGGUGGCACAGAUUCUGUUGUACAGGCCUCCACCUGGAAUUUCAUCACUUGUUAUUUUUGUUUUAGAAUGUCUAGGUGCAUUUUUCCUUUAAGGUGGAAACAGAUGUACUUGUAUAAGCAACAAGAAUACAAAGCGCCACUGCCAUACAUUGUGGAAGUUCAGUGCUUCUGUUUACAAAAUCUGCUUCCCAAAACAGAAGGAUUUAUAAUUUUUUAUUACAAUCAAGCGGACAUGAGCUGAUGAGUACAGAUGUAGACAUGUACUGAGAGCAGCACCCUUUCAAAAGUGGAUCAUUUACAAGUUGGAUAGUUUGAUGGUCUGAAAUUAGUGGUCGUGUUUCAGAAUUGUUAUCGAAUAGUAGGGGAUAUAUAUUAAAUUCUGAAAUUAGUGGUUGUUUGUCAGAACUGUUAUCGAAUAACAGAGCACAUAUAUUAACUUCAAUAAGUGGAGUAAUAUCUUUGGAUUCGCUGUGAGGAAAGAUUACCAAAACAAAACAGAAGUGAGCACUGGUAGAAAAUGGGCCUUUAGUCCCGGUUCGCAAAGGCCAUUAAUCCCGGCUGUGCAACCGGGACUAAANNNNNNNNNNNNNNNNNNNNNNNNNNNNNNNNNNNNNNNNNNNNNNNNNNNNNNNNNNNNNNNNNNNNNNNNNNNNNNNNNNNNNNNNNNNNNNNNNNNNNNNNNNNNNNNNNNNNNNNNNNNNNNNNNNNNNNNNNNNNNNNNNNNNNNNNNNNNNNNNNNNNNNNNNNNNNNNNNNNNNNNNNNNNNNNNNNNNNNNNNNNNNNNNNNNNNNNNNNNNNNNNNNNNNNNNNNNNNNNNNNNNNNNNNNNNNNNNNNNNNNNNNNNNNNNNNNNNNNNNNNNNNNNNNNNNNNNNNNNNNNNNNNNNNNNNNNNNNNNNNNNNNNNNNNNNNNNNNNNNNNNNNNNNNNNNNNNNNNNNNNNNNNNNNNNNNNNNNNNNNNNNNNNNNNNNNNNNNNNNNNNNNNNNNNNNNNNNNNNNNNNNNNNNNNNNNNNNNNNNNNNNNNNNNNNNNNNNNNNNNNNNNNNNNNNNNNNNNNNNNNNNNNNNNNNNNNNNNNNNNNNNNNNNNNNNNNNNNNNNNNNNNNNNNNNNNNNNNNNNNNNNNNNNNNNNNNNNNNNNNNNNNNNNNNNNNNNNNNNNNNNNNNNNNNNNNNNNNNNNNNNNNNNNNNNNNNNNNNNNNNNNNNNNNNNNNNNNNNNNNNNNNNNNNNNNNNNNNNNNNNNNNNNNNNNNNNNNNNNNNNNNNNNNNNNNNNNNNNNNNNNNNNNNNNNNNNNNNNNNNNNNNNNNNNNNNNNNNNNNNNNNNNNNNNNNNNNNNNNNNNNNNNNNNNNNNNNNNNNNNNNNNNNNNNNNNNNNNNNNNNNNNNNNNNNNNNNNNNNNNNNNNNNNNNNNNNNNNNNNNNNNNNNNNNNNNNNNNNNNNNNNNNNNNNNNNNNNNNNNNNNNNNNNNNNNNNNNNNNNNNNNNNNNNNNNNNNNNNNNNNNNNNNNNNNNNNNNNNNNNNNNNNNNNNNNNNNNNNNNNNNNNNNNNNNNNNNNNNNNNNNNNNNNNNNNNNNNNNNNNNNNNNNNNNNNNNNNNNNNNNNNNNNNNNNNNNNNNNNNNNNNNNNNNNNNNNNNNNNNNNNNNNNNNNNNNNNNNNNNNNNNNNNNNNNNNNNNNNNNNNNNNNNNNNNNNNNNNNNNNNNNNNNNNNNNNNNNNNNNNNNNNNNNNNNNNNNNNNNNNNNNNNNNNNNNNNNNNNNNNNNNNNNNNNNNNNNNNNNNNNNNNNNNNNNNNNNNNNNNNNNNNNNNNNNNNNNNNNNNNNNNNNNNNNNNNNNNNNNNNNNNNNNNNNNNNNNNNNNNNNNNNNNNNNNNNNNNNNNNNNNNNNNNNNNNNNNNNNNNNNNNNNNNNNNNNNNNNNNNNNNNNNNNNNNAUAUAGAGCUCAAAUGAUUGAAAAUAAUUACUUUUGCAGCAUUUUUCUCAUGUCGGCCCAACGCUUUGGAUCCGAAUCCAUAGAGUCCAUGAUUAGAACUCUGGAGGUGUGAAGUUCAAUAUUUAGCAGAAUCCAGUGGAACCUGCGGACACGUUACAUGCACAGUCAUGCAUAACUCAUCGAUUAGACAUACCAUGCAUGGAGUAAACAAAAGAGAAUGGGCACAAGAGAGAAACACUCACCCAAAAUGGUAAGGAAAUAGAAUAUGACUUUUGAGUUGAUGCUUUCUAAGAAACUUGUACAAGUCUUUCUCCAUGUCUUCGGGGUGAUUUUGUAACACAUGUCCAUUAACGAUAUGUGGGUCAAUGAACCCAACAUCAUGGAUGUUUCUUAUUUUGCAUUCCCAAAUCUUCAAUCUGCAUAAUAGCGUACGCAACAAUAUAGUUAGGACAAUAUAUAUAUAUAUAUAUAGUGCAGGCAAUGAAGAACGAGAUGAGGUAGAAAUAAAUCACUUACAUAACGUAGCAACUCAGGAUAGAUUUGUCGAGCUCGCGCAGAUUGAACAGCUGGAACAAUUCACUCAUAUGAACUUGUACAAAGUACCGUUUGGUGUGAUGCUCCUCUGUAACAUCCGCAUAAAUAUAUUCUUUGUCGGCCCAUGUUAUGAAUUGCUUGUACCAACGUAGAAGAUUUCGCAUUUGUGGUGGUAGACUCUUUUCCCGUGCAGGCUCGACGAGAGGCCCAUUCCGCACAUAUUGUAAUGCUAUCUCACAUACUGGCGCAUCCUCAAGGCCUAAGAUGGCACGAAGAGUCAAACCCAUCUCGGACGUUUGUUUCAUGGCACUCGCUACAGUCAAUCCAAGUGCUGCCGCAGCUCCUAUGAUCUCGGGGUCCUCUUCCGGACCGGCUUUCACUAUGAGCGGGGGGAUCGAUUGUUUAUUCUGCAUCCCGAGCUGGUCAACUUGUUUCCCGCUUUUUUUACUUUCUUCUUUCUCCUCCUUCAAUAUUUUUGCUUGCCAACGAAGUUCAUGUCAAUAGUCGUCAGGCAUAUUCAGCUCGGCUUGGGACGGUGUCGUCAAAAAAUCCUUAGCCCACUUCUUUUGCUUCUCAGUGAAUACUUGCUUGGGCUCAGGCUCUUUUUUCGAAUUCGUAUCCGCCUUCCAUUUCUCAUAAUGAGCAGACGCGGCCAAUUUGGUUUCAGCUUCACUAAGUUCCCAAGGCCUUGGGAGGAGAGGCUUCAGUGAUGGCUCCGGUACCCUUGUGGUCUUACGUACAUAAGGGUCCGGGUUAAUAGUCCAGGAGAGGGUUUCCUUGCUGUCCGCCUGCUUCUACUUCUUCGCCGGAGGUGGAUUGGGGGGCGUCGUACCCGCCGGAGGAGGAUUGGGGGGCGUCGUACCUGCCGGAGGAGGAUUGGGGGGCGGCGGCUGCUUACCCGCCGGAGGUUGUGGAUCGGGGGACGGCGUCGAAUGGCGUGAAGGAGGUGUAGGUGAACCACCACGACCACCACCACCACCACCACCAUCGGAGGGGGUGGACUUGUUAGCAUUGGCGCCUCGCCUGGAAACACUAUGUACUUCUUUUUCCAUAGAAUGAUCUGGCGCUUGACAUCUCCAAGUCUUCUCUCCCCUUCGGGUGUAGCUUUGUCAAUCUCCAGGUCCUCAAACUAUUGGACUAUGUCUUCCACCGUGACACGAGCAUAGCCAUAUGCAAUGGGGUUGUUGUGGUGGAGUGCUCCAGGUGUACAGGGUAAAGCACUGCCAGUAGCUACCUUCGUGGAAACGUUCCCCACGGGAUAAUGCAGAUCACAUUCUUUCAUCUCCUUUACAUCAUCCACGGGGUAGUGAGGCUCCGGUGCACGAAUCUCGAUCAUCGGUGCAUUAGCACCAGGCGGGGCAUCCGUGGAAGCCACGCUGCUUCUCCGCUGCUGGCUUCCGCGAUCCGCUUCAUGAUCUUCAUGCGGCCCUGCAGCCGAUUUUUCUUUUACUAGUUCAUGCACGGUCUGCUUCAACUCAUGGAGUUCCGAUGCAAACUUCACCAAAAGAUCUGCAUCCCGGUCCGUCUUUCUCUUACGGCUUCUGUAACAGUACGGGUCAUUGUCCUGGGAAAACCCUACUUUCCACGAAAUUCUGCCUUUGCCUCGUACACGUCCUCCGUGUUCAUCAUUCCGAGGGCUGUUGUCAGUGCGUCUUUCUCUCUGUUGAACUUGAUCAAGCCCUCUUGAGCUUGGGUCAUUGCGUCAAUAAGGGCUUGGGUGGGAGCAAACUUUUUCUUCCGGUGAACACACACCCCUGUCUCCGGGUCUAGCGAUCCCCCAUGCCCGUACCACCAGCUUUUGGCCCUUGGGUCCCAUCCCUCUGUACCUAGAGGGAUUCCUCGCACCCUCAGGUCCUCCUCCAUCUUCUGCCACUUAGGCUCCGAAAGGCGGUAUCCUCCUGGCCCCAUAAUAUGAUGGAACUUUUUCUUACUCGCAUUAUCCUUAUUUUUUCCGACAUUUCCUUGAAAUGCUCUGAUUUUUUUUGCCUCACAAAUUCUGGCCAAUCAUCUUUCAGUUUCUCAUGUUGUCCAUUGAAAUCCGGAGUCUUGCCCUUGUUGACAUAGUCACGGGUUAAAUUUUUCUUGAAGUUCCGGAAUGCUUCGCCCAUCUUCUCAAGAGCGAACUCUUUAACUAGCCUCCUCCUCUCACGUCCACCCGGAACCUCGUUACCGAAUUCAUCGACUUUGUUGUAUUCCGGAGGUAGAAUGAAAUGUUCCAUAAGCUUUUUCCAGCAAUCCUUUUUCGUUCUCUUGUCGACAAAACUGAAACCAAGACGUGCCUUCUUUGGCUCCUUCCAUUCCUGGACGGUGAUCGGGACGUUGUCUCUAACAACGACUCCACAUUGGUUGAUAAACUUUGAGGUGUGCUGUAGGGGCUUGCCGGUUUCACUGACAAAAUCAAUGGCAUAUGUUUCUCCUUUUUUCAUCGCCUUGGAUUUGCCACGCUUUGUCGUACUCGAUCCGGCCGAGGGUCGCGCACGUUAAUACAUAUGUAUUCGCAUUUCAGUAAGUUUGUAUCACGAGAGGCUCAAUGUAUAUAUAUACCUCGCCGGAGGUGGUUGCUACUUGCAAUUCGAGAUUGUCGUUUGUUGACGGUUGACCUCCGUUGACAAUGUCCGUUCCUUCACCUUCUUGAUCAUCGACAAUGUCUGUUCCACCGUCAAGGUUCAGAAAAGAAGAGACUACAUCCUCUUCUUGCUCAUAUUCUGAGCCCGGCACAUAAGGAAUCUCGUUGUUUAUGAUGCCCAUUAAAUAACGUUCAGCCUCCGGAUCCCUAAGCGGCUCGGCUCUAUCGUCCGCCAUAUGUCACUCCUGCAUGUAGUCAAAAUUAAUUAAGUAUAAAGGAAUUAAAAAAUAAGAUUAAGGGGACAUAGAGGAGGAGCAGCUACGGUUGAAUGAUUAAGAGCUAUUAAAAAAUAAAAUUGAUGUUUUUCCUUUUCUUUUUCCUUUUCUUUUUCCUCUCUACUCUCUCUUUCCUUUUCUUUUUCCUUUUCUUUUCCUUUUCUUUUUCCUUUAUACAAUUAUUCCCAAAUAAAUUUCCUUUUCUUUUUCCUUUUCUUUUUCCUCUCUGCUCUCUCUUUCCUUUUCUUUUUCCUUUUCUUUUUCCUUUAUACAAUUAUUCCCAAAUAAAUUUCCUUUUCUUUUUCCUUUUCUUUUUCCUCUCUGCUCUCUCUUUCCUUUUCUUUUUCCUUUUCUUUUUCCUUUUCUUUUUCCUCUCUACUCUCUCUUUCCGUUUGUUGACGGCAGGCGGCGGCGGGAGGCAGAGGAGGGCAGGCCNNNNNNNNNNNNNNNNNNNNNNNNNNNNNNNNNNNNNNNNNNNNNNNNNNNNNNNNNNNNNNNNNNNNNNNNNNNNNNNNNNNNNNNNNNNNNNNNNNNNNNNNNNNNNNNNNNNNNNNNNNNNNNNNNNNNNNNNNNNNNNNNNNNNNNNNNNNNNNNNNNNNNNNNNNNNNNNNNNNNNNNNNNNNNNNNNNNNNNNNNNNNNNNNNNNNNNNNNNNNNNNNNNNNNNNNNNNNNNNNNNNNNNNNNNNNNNNNNNNNNNNNNNNNNNNNNNNNNNNNNNNNNNNNNNNNNNNNNNNNNNNNNNNNNNNNNNNNNNNNNNNNNNNNNNNNNNNNNNNNNNNNNNNNNNNNNNNNNNNNGCAGGGCAGGGCAGGGGCGGCGGCGGCAGUGCAGGGCAAGGGCGGCGGCGUAGGGCAGGGGAAGUGGGGGGCGGCGGAGCUCACUGGGGGCAGGGCGCUGGUGUCGGGGCAGGGCGUCGGCGUCGAUCGGCGUCGGGGCAGCAGCCUGGCGGCGUCGGCGUCGAUCGGCGUCGGGGCAGGGCGUCGGCGUCGAGAGGAGAAUGAGAGGUGGGGGAAAAUUUACUAAGUGUUAUAUAUAUAGACAGAGCAUUAGUCCCGGUUGGGGACGCCAACCGCGACUAAAGGUACCUUUAGUCGCGGUUGGUCUCCCCAACCGGGACUAAAGGUUCUUUCGCGCCGCUUUCGUUCCCGCGCGGAAAGAGCCUUUAGUCGCGGUUCGUGUCACGAACCGCGACUAAAGGUCCUUUUUCAUAUACUUUUCAGAAAAUACAAAUAAUAUAUCAAAAAAUUCAGAAAAAUAAAACUAAUUCAUUUUAAAAUCUUAAAAAUAGAAAUAAUAUAUCAAAAAAUUCAGAAAAAUAAAANNNNNNNNNNNNNNNNNNNNNNNNNNNNNNNNNNNNNNNNNNNNNNNNNNNNNNNNNNNNNNNNNNNNNNNNNNNNNNNNNNNNNNNNNNNNNNNNNNNNNNNNNNNNNNNNNNNNNNNNNNNNNNNNNNNNNNNNNNNNNNNNNNNNNNNNNNNNNNNNNNNNNNNNNNNNNNNNNNNNNNNNNNNNNNNNNNNNNNNNNNNNNNNNUUAAAAUCUUAAAAAUAGAAAUAAUAUAUCAAAAAAUUCAAAAAAAUAAAACUAAUUCAUUUGAAAAUCUUAAAAAUACAUAUAAUAUAUCAAAAAAUUCUGAAAAAUAAAACUAAUUCAUUUUAAAAAUUCAGACCGAUUGUUUUGUUCUACAUCCUCGAUCCCUUGAAGGUUUGACAAAAGGUUUGAUACAUCAUUCAGUUCAUCGGCCAAAUACAAAUCAUCCGGAUUCGCCAUCGUACGUUUUAAUUCACAUGAUCCAUUCAACAAAGUUUGGUACAAUAAAUUAUUACACAUCAAUUCUUCCCGUGUGUCCCUGCUUGCUUACGAUUGUGCCGUAUCCAUGGAGCAUCCUCAUCAUUUAACUUAAUGCUUGGGUCAGUGUUCACUUUGAAGGGCGGAAUUUCACCAAACAUAUUAUAAUCUUCUGACAUGUCUGUCUUGUCCUCCACUCCCACAAUGUUUCUUUUCCCUGAAAGAACAAUGUGGCGCUUUGGAUCAUCGCAUGAUGUACUGAUCGUUUUCUUAUCUUUCCGUUUCCUCGGUUUGCUACUCAUGUCCUUCAAAUAAAAAACCUGAGCGACAUCUUUGGCAAGGACGAAUGGUUCGUCAAGGUAACCAAGAUUGUUGAAAUCCACCAUUGUCAUUCCGUAUUGCUCGUCCACCUUUACCCCACCUCCUGUUAGCUUGAACCAUUUGCACCGGAACAAAGGGACCUUAAAGGAGGGUCCAUAGUCAAGUUCCCAUAUCUCCUCUAUGUGACCAUAAUAUGUGACCUUUUGCCCAUUCUCGGUUGCUGCAUCAAAGCGGACACCACUGUUUUGGUUGGUGCUCUUUUUAUCUUGGGCGAUGGUGUAAAAUGUAUUCCCAUUUAUCUCGUACCCUUGGAAAGUCGUUAUAGUCGAAGAUGGUGUCUUGGCCAACAUGUACAGCUGAUCUCCAACAUCAUUGUCAUUCAUUAAAUGUUUUCGCAACCAACUGCCGAAAGUCUCCAUGUGGGCCUUUCUAAUCCAGGAUUCAGGUUUCCCCGGGUUGUCCGAGCGUAAAAUAUUCUUGUGUUGCUCGAACUACGGAGCCACCAAGCUGGAAUUUUGUAGAACUGUGUGGUGUGCUUCAGUCAUAGAAUGACCGUCCAUACAUAUCGUUGAUUUCCUUCCGAUCGUGCCUUUUCCACUUAGUCUCCCCUCGUGCCGCGAUUGAGGAAUACCAAUCGGCUUAAGGUCAGGAACAUAGUCAAUACAGAACUCAAUUACCUCCUCAUUUCCAUAGCCCUUGACGAUGCUUCCUUCUGGCCUAGCACGGUUACGAACAUAUUUCUUUAAUACUCCCGUGAACCUCUCAAAGGGGAACAUAUUGUGUAGAAAUACAGGACCGAGAAUGGAAAUCUCUUCGACUAGGUGGAGCAGGAGGUGCGUCAUAAUAUCGAAGAAGGAUGGUGGGAACACCAACUCAAAACUGACAAGGCAUUGGACCACAUCGUUCUGUAACCGUGGUAGAUCUUCUGGAUUGAUUACCUUCUGAGAGAUUGCAUUGAGGAAUGCACAUAGCUUCACAAUGGCUACUCGAACAUUUUCCGGUAAGAGCCCCCUCAAAGCAAUCGGAAGAAAUUGCGUCAUAAUCACGUGGCAGUCGUGAGACUUCAGGUUUAGGAACUUUUUGUCCGCCAUGUUUAUUAUUCCCUUUAUAUUCGACGAGAAGCCAGACGGGACCUUCAUACUGCUCAGGCAUUCAAAAAAUGACCUUCUCUUCUUUGGUAAGAGCGUAGCUGGCACGACCUUGAAACCAUUCCGGAUGCCGGUCAUCUGGGUCUUUCAAAAGUUGUUGGUCCUGCCGUGCUUCCUUUGUAUCAUUUGUCUUCCCAUACACGCCCAAGAAGCUUAGCAGGUUCACGCAAAUAUUCUUCGUAACAUGCAUCACGUCGAUUGCAGAGCGGACAUCUAGGACUUUCCAAUAUUCUAGCUCCCAAAAUAUAGAUUUCUUCUUCCACAUGGGUGCGUGCCCGUCAACUCCCCGCGGAACUGAUUGUCCGCCAGGACCCUUUCCAAAGAUGACUUUCAAAUCCUUGACCAUAUCAAAUAUCUCAGCACCAGUACGUUCCGCAGGCUUCGGCCGGUGAUCUGCCUUGCCGUUGAAAUGCUUGCCUUUCUUUCUUACGUUAUGAUUUCGGGGAAGAAAUCGACGAUGACCCAGGUACACGUUCUUCUUACAAUUACCCAAACGUACACUUUCAGUCUCAUGUAAGCAGUGCGUGCAUGCAUUGUAUCCCUUAUUUGUCUGUCCCGAAAGGUUACUGAGAGCAGGCCAAUCGUUGAUGGUUACAAAAAGCAACGCUCGUAGGUCAAAUUCCUCUUCUUUGUGCUCAUCCCAGACACGUACACCAGCUCUGCCCCACAACUGUAAAAGUUCAUCAACUAAUGGCCUUAGGUACACAUCGAUGUCGUACCCGGGUUGCUUUGGACCUUGGAUGAGCACUGGCAUCAUAAUGAACUUCCGCUUCAUGCACAACCAAGGAGGAAGGUUGUAGAUGCAUAGAGUCACGGGCCAGGUGCUAUGGCUGGAGCUCUGCUCGCCAAAAGGAUUCAUGCCAUCAGUACUUAGACCAAAUCUUAUGUUCCUUGCGUCAGCUGCAAAAUCUUUGAACACUCUGUCGAUCUUUCUCCAUUGCGUUCCAUCAGCGGUGUGUCCCAACUCCCCGUCGGACUUACGGUCCUCUUUGUGCCAUCGCAACGACUUGGCAUGCUUUUUGUUCCUGAACAGACGUUUCAACCGUGGUAUUAUAGGAGCAUACCACAUCACCUUGGCGGGAACCCUCUUCCUGGGUUUCUCGCCCUCAACAUCGUCACCAGGGUCAUCGCCUCUGAUCUUAUAACGCAAUGCAGUGCAUACAGGGCAUUCAUUCAAAUUCUCGUAUUCACCGCGGUAGAGGAUGCAGUCGUUAAUGCAUGCAUGUAUCUUCAGAACCUCUAAACCUAGAGGGCAGACAACCUUCUUUGCUUCGUACGUACUGGCGGGCAACUCGUUAUUCUUCGGAAACAUAUUCUUCAACAUUUUCAGCAAAUUUUCAAAUGAUGAGUCAGCUACACCUUCCUGUGCCUUCCAUUUUAGCAAAUCCAGUGUGCAACCCAACUUUUUCAGACUAUUAUCGCAUCCUGGGUACAACGACUUUUUGUGAUCCUCUAACAUGCGAUCCAAAUUCUCCCUCUCCUUGUCAGUUUCGCAGCGUCUCCGUGCAUCAGCAAUGGUCCGACCAAGAUCAUCAGCGGGCUCAUCAUGUGCCUCUUCUUCACCUUCACCUAACCCUUCCCCACCUUCAGCAUCAUCCUCCAUGAAAGUAUCACCGAAAUGAUCAUGAUAGUUGUCAUCGAUAUCAUCCCCUUCUUCAUCUUGUUCCAUUCUAACCCCUCUUUCUCCAUGCUUGGUCCAACAAUUAUAGCUUCGCAUGAAACCGUGCCGAAGCAGGUGCAUGUGAACGUCUCUUGAGGAGGAGUAACCCUUCUGAUUCUUACAGACACCACAUGGACAGAUAAUAAAACCUCGCUGCUUGUUCGCAUUUGCCACUACGAGGAAAUCUUUCAAACCCGUAGUGAACCGCCGGAGAGUCGGGGACCGUACAUCCAUUGCCGAUUCAUCUGCAUUAUUAUUAUAUAAAGUAUAUAAUUAACCAUCAUGCAUUUGUUAAACUAACUAGCUAGAAAUAAUACAAAUUAAACAAUGAACUACACACAUCCAUAUUUUAUCAAUGACACAUGAAAGGUUCAAGUUGCUAACCGCGAUCGCGGAGGAAAAAUAAAUGAGAAAGCUCAAGUGUGGCUCGGACACUUCAUAUCAUGUUUGUUUCAUGCUCUCGGGCAUUUCAUCGAACACCUUGUGUGCAUAGGAGGAACCAAAAGCAAACCCACCAGCCCCCUUCUGAAUUGUGGCUAAGUGAAGUGAGCUGAGUCCUAUAUAUAGGGAUGGGCCUUUAGUCCCGGCUGGCCUGGCCAACCGCAACUAAAGGCCUUCGGGCCAGCCUGAGGACCUUUAGUCCCGGUUGGCCAGGCCAACCGGGACUAAAGCCCCUCCCGUCCGCCAGCUGUCGACCGAGCGCGCUGGGCCCAGAUAGUUGGUCGCGGGUCUCCUCCCGAACCGCGACUAAAGACCCCUUUGGUCGCGGUUCGAUUAUUUUAGAGACUAAUGGGGGCGUAUGGAAGCCUCUGUUUCUACUAGUGGAGUGCGACGACCCAGAUGAGGGCGCUCUUGAGCUUCUUCCCGACCGACCUAGAUGCAGGAGCAGACCACGGCGGAUCUAAUCAGCCAACGAAUAAAACUGAGGCAGGUAGAGGAAGUAAGGGAGGAAGAAGACUGACUUGUCCUGGUCGCCCUCGUAGUAGAACCUGUGUUUUGAUUUUCGGCCAAAAAAGUGGAUUUCGGCCAUCUCGGCCUGGGGCAAAAAGUGUAUUUAGGCCGAAAUUGUUCAAAUUUAGCAAAUUUUGGUCAAAUUUAAGUCAAAUUGCAGUCAAAAUUUGGUCAAAUUUCAGCCGAAAUUUUUGAAAAUGGCCGAAAUUCGGCCAUCUCAGCCUAGGGAGAAAAAAAAGCUGAAACCAAAAAUCAAAACACAGAGUAGAACAUGGCGAACAGGAUGACGAGGACAGCGUCGAGGAUGUAGACGACGAGCCAGAGCAUGUUCAUGGGCAGGAUCAAGCAUGGGCAGGAUAAGGGUGCAGGCCCCGUUGUAGGCGGCAUGCUUGCAGGCCUGGCGGUUGGCGACGUCGGCGGGGAGCAUGAGGAUGGAGAGGACGGCGACGGUGAUGCCGAGCACGACGACGAGCUUGAGGAAGUAGGCCUGGUUGGCAUCAUCCGGGUGCUGGUAGUUGACGAGGAGCACCAGGAUGCUGACCACCGCCGCCACGAUCACUAGCGCCACGUUAAAAAAACCAUCUCCUCGGGGCUCCGGUCCCGGUUCCGGCCCGCCGCCUCGCCCCCUUGGUCGGUCAGAUCUCUCUGUCCCUAGAGGCGGGGGGAUACAGGCUAGGGUUUGGGCGUGGGCGGGGAAUAGGCUGCUAUGGUGCCGGCAGCGGGGCGUGUAGGAGAGAAGGAUUAGGAGGAAUAAUUCACCACACUUUGAUUAAGCUCUCGGCUGGUUCUUAUGUACAGAUUACAGGGCCAGCCAGGGAGAUCAUGGGGUGAUCCACUACCUGGGAUCGUGCGCCACGAUCACUACAUGCGUGCGCCACGAUCAUACACACACACGCUACACCUAGUGUCUACGCAACUACGGUAUAGCAGUACAGUACAGCCUAACACCCCCCGGAGUCGUGACGUCGGCGGCGGCGACGCAAAGACUGGACCGGAACUCAGAGAAAACAUCCGAUGGCAGGCCUUUGGUCAUGAUGUCGGUGUGUUGUUGGCGCGUGGGGAUGUGAAGAACACGGAAGUGGCCGAGGGCGACGCGCUCCCGCACGAAAUGGAUGUCCAGCUCCACAUGCUUAGUGCAGCGAUGAUGCACCGGAUUGGCUGACAGGUAGACUGCGGACACAUUGUCACAGUACACAAGUGCCGCCUUGGUCAUUGGAGCGGAGAGCUCGCCGAGAAGCUGGCGGAGCCAGAUGCAUUCAGCGACCGCGUUGGCGACGCCGCGGUAUUCAGCUUCGGCGCUGGAGCGCGAUACGGUCGCCUGGCGCUUGGAGGACCAGGAGACGAGAGCAUCGCCGAGGAAGACGCAGAAGCCCGACGUGGAGCGUCGGGUGUCGGGGCAGCCGGCCCAGUCCGCAUCGGUGAACGCACGGACGUCGAGCAUGGUCGAGGCGUGAAGAUGAAGCCCGAGUGCGCAGGUGCCCUUCACGUACCGGAGCACGCGCUUUACGAGCGCGAGGUGGCAUUCGCGCGGGUCAUGCAUGUGUAAGCAGAUUUGCUGGACGGCGUAGGCGAUCUCUGGACGCGUGAUGGUGAGGUACUGCAGGGCCCCGGCGAUGCUCCGAUAGGCCGAAGGGUCGUCGACGCAUGGCCCAUCGGCUGAGGGGAGUUUGCUCUUCGUGUCGAUGGGUGUCGGGGAAGGGCGGCAGGUGUCCAUGCCGGCGCGUUCCAGGAGCUCGUCGGCAUAUUGUUGUUGCGACAGGAAGAAGCCAGCUCGGGUGCGGGUGACGCGCAUGCCGAGGAAGAAGGCGAGCGAGCGCAGGUCCUUCAUGGCGAAUUCGCCUGUGAGGCGCUGGAUGACAUGGUGAAGCACGCGUGACGAGGACGCGGUGAGCACGAUGUCGUCGACGUAGAGGAGGAGGAACGCCAUGUCGUUGCCGUGCCGGAAGGUGAACAGCAACGAGUCCGAACGCGUAGCUGCGAAGCCAAUGGAGCGGACGAAGCCGGCGAAGUGGAGGAACCAGGCACGGGGCGCCUGCUUGAGCCCGUACAAGGACUUGGAGAGGCGGCAGACGUGCUCUGGUUUGUCGGGGUCGAUGAAUCCGGCGGGCUGGAGGCAGUAGACUUCCUCCUCAAGUUUCCGUGGAGGAAGGCAUUGGAGACGUCGAGGUGGUGCACCGGCCAGCCGCGCGACGCGGCCAUAGUGAGCACCAUGUGGAUCGUCACUGGCUUGACGACGGGGGAGAACGUCUCGCCGUAGUCGACGCCGGCACGCUGAUGAAAGCCCCGCACGACCCAGCAUGCUUUGUAGCGGGCCAGCACGCCGUCGGCGUCGUUUUUGUGCUUGAAGAUCCGCUUCCCUGUGAUCAGGUUGGCGCCGGGGGGGAGCGGGGCACCAGCUCCCACGUGCGAUUGCGCACGAGCGCAUCGUACUCAGCACACAUGGCAGCGAGCCAGUUCGGGUCGCGAACAGCAGCACGAACCGAACGCGGCACCGGCGACACCGAUGAUGAGCUAGAGGCGGUGGCCGCGUCGUAGUAGCGCGGCUUGGGGCGGAAGAUGCCGCGCUGGGCACGCGUGACCAUGGGCACAGGAGGCGCCGGUGCGCGGGGCGCCGCUGGUGGCGCGCUCGGAGACGAGCUGUCGGAGGAGCCACUGGGGAGUUGUCGGAGGAGGCGCUGGCGGAGGCGAAGACAAGCGGACCAGGCGCGGAUGGGCACGUCGAGGACGGAGCCGAGCCGCCAUCGGAAGCGCCCGCAGCGUACCGCGAGCUGACGCGGCGCGCCCCGCUGGUUGGCGAUGAUGAGCGGGGCAAGCCGGUGAUGGAGAUCAGGCGCGCCGGCAGCACGGGUGACAUGCUGCUGUCAGGCACCGGUGGAAGCGCGGGCAGCGCAGGAGGCCGGACGACGAGCGGGAUCUGCAGGUUAGAGGGUACGACGGGUGGCGUAGGCGACGGGGAAGAGGAUGCGAACGGGAAAACGUGUUCGUGGAAGAGAACGUGGCGAGACGUGAGGACGCGGCGAGAGGUGAGGUCAAAGCAGCGAAAACCACGAUGAUCGGGAGGGUACCCGAGGAAGACGCAGGCGAUAGAACGUGGCUCGAGCUUAUGGCGGGUGGUGGCGGUGACGUUCGGAUAGCAGAGGCAUCCAAAGACGCGGAGCUGCGAGUAAUUUGUGCGGGCAUGCGGUGACGUUCGGAUAGAUGCGGAGUAAUUUGUGCGACGCCGAGCAGGAGUUCAUGCGGAGUGCAGGGCGCCGAGGCGCGGCAGGGCCGACGAUUGAGCAGGUAGGUCGAGGUGUUGAGAGCCUCUGCCCAGAAGCGAGCGGGCAUGUGCGCAUGACAGAGAAGCACACGAACACCGUCGUUGAUCGUGCGGAGAACUCGCUCGUCCUUGCCGUUCUGCCGUGGCGAGCAAGCAGAGAGCGCGCGGCUGCACUGUCGAAUUCACGACCGUUGCCCGUUUCCAGUGCAAGUAUGGGUAACUGAAACUGAGUCUGAACAUAGGCAAAGAAAUCAACAAGUAUGGGAAGAACUUCAGACUUGUGUUUCAGAGGGAAAGUCCAGACAUAGUGACUGAAAUCAUCUAGUACAACUAAGUAAAACUGAUAGCCGGAUAUGCUUACAACGGGAGCGGUCCAUACAUCAAGGUGUAAAAGCUGGAAAGGAAAGAAACUAGCAGUGGUGGAUGUCUGAAACGUGUUGGAUCGAUGUCCGUGUAGCCCGCUUCUUUCUCUGUAGGAAGGACGCGGUUACGCUCGCGUUGACAUCGGAUGACUCGAUCACAUGCACGGGAGGGGCGGUACGACAUGGCACCGCCACGCCACCGUGCUCCCUCCCAGUGCCGACCUGGAGCAACUUGCCACUCCUCAGCUCGUGACCGGUGGGCUUGACGGGCCACCUAGCCAUUUUUUAUGCCAGACAACUCUUCUUCCUGCUCAUCAGAUGUCAUGGAUAAAACUGUUUAAGGAGGAAAAUGAUGAGUGGACGUGUGAUGCGGUUCUUGCCCAACAUCUGACAUUGUUUAAAUAGCGAGGGGACACGAGAGGAGCCAACUGGCGUUCUGUUUAAUGCCAACCGGCUCGUGAACGAACAUGUGGCCGGAGUAAUUAUCCUGGCACACACGAGGGUUUAAUGGUGGAAGGCGGGCAGUCUGCAGGAAUGAGGCGAGGAUGUGUGCUUAGCCGGCGUGCAGUAGGCGGCGCCCUCGGCCGGCGUGCUGCUUCCAUUGCGGAGGCAGUGAGAGGUCGCGUCCGCUCUGCAGCGCAUGAAUGCGGGCAGCUGGCGCAGAGCGGGAACGCGUGCGGGCGAGGGAGGAGGGGGUUUGGGCGGGUGGUCAGAAGAGGUCGUGGGUGUUGUCCGAACGCCUGCAAAUCCCCCCUCCAUAUUUGUCUCCAGUUUGCGGGAGAAAGUACGUCCGGACCGUCUCCAAUGGACCAAUACAGGCCCGCAUUAGAUGGCACAACACGUCCGGACCAUGUGGUCCGGAUGGUUGUGGACAGUUUAAUUGAGGGUCGGCGUUGGAGAUGCCUUAGAGUUUAUGAAUCCAUUGUGUUUUUCUAAUCAUAAAAAAGCACUUACAAUAAGUUAUAAGGAAAGACACGUUUAUAUGUUAGGUUCAGACUCCAGGUUUCGUUUUACAUAUGCUUUAUUCAUCCGACUGAUUCCAAUAGAGUGAGCCUAGCGUUGUUUUUCUGGAAACUCGCGGGAUAAGGAGACAUGCAUACACAUUCUUUCAAGCAAAUCACAUCCAUUCUUUUUAACUCAUUUUUCUUCUUUUAAUAAUAUAAUAGAUCAUUUAUAUUUUUUAUCUGAAACAGUUGACGUGUAAUUUAUAUUGUAAUCUGAGGAUAAUGUUUGGAUUUUACUUUCAAAUAUAUUUGAAAUGGCCAUGAUGGAAUCACAUCCAUUUAUUUUAUUAUUAUUUGAAUUUGAUCCAAAAGAUAAAUAAUGAGUUGAGGUCAUGUCAACUUUUCUGAGAACUUUGCUAAUCAAAAUAUAAAUUGUAUUUAAAAAAUCUAUUUUUUAGCACGCAUGAAAAACAUAACACGUAUCUUUUCACACAUAAUGAACGGUUGUCAUAAGAACUCAUGCCAUGCCACAACCUCCCUCCGACCCUGCCAACAUUGUUGCAGCUGCACUCGCAAGCCUUAGCGUAGAUGAUAAUUUAUACAAUUUGCGUAAAACAAAAUAAGAUCUACAAAUUAAUAGAAGCUAGAACGUACAUUGGCAUGCACACACAUUGCAAGCUAUACUAAGCUGAUAAGUGUUAAUAACUUGUACAACAUAUACAACACUUAAGACAAGUAAAAGCAAUUUGAUGAGUCAUGGUCUAUCAAAGCCACAUUACUAGUCUAAUCCAUCUUAACAGGUCACACAUGAUUAAAAUCUUGUUUGUGUGCAAGUCAAGCUUAUCUAGUUUACAUGUAACAACUUGUAGAACAUUAAAAAAUUUAUGUUUGCUAAUAACUUCUAGAACACUACAACACUUGACAUGUAAAAGGAAUUUGAUGAGUCAUGGCCUACUAAAGCAAGUUAUAUUACUAGUCUUAUCUACCUUAACAGGCCACACAAGAUUACAAACCAAGUUCUGUGCCAGCCAUGCUUAUCUAGUUUAUGCGUAACAAUUUGCAGAAAAUUACAAACUUAGUUUCAGAAAAAUAGGCAAUCUAGAUUAGUGUUUGAGCUAUAAAGUGAAUAAAAUGAGUCAUCUGUGUUAUCACACCUUUUUGGUUGUGGAAUGAUAGUGCAACAACAAGGAACUUUAAUGACCAGUUCAAGAAUACACUUGUAAGUAGUGCCACCGAACACAACAUACCAAAUUAUGAUUUUGAGAAGCAUCCAAGCACUUCCACACAAGCAAAUGCCAAUUGUGAAAGAGAUCAUGCCAUGGCAGCUAUAAAUAGGCCCGUAGCAUGACGAUCAUCCUUCCUCAUCCAUCAUUCUCAAAAGUAGAGCGCAUCAUUUAAGCCAAGCAAGCAGUGCUCAAUACAAAUCCACCAUGAAGACCUUUCUCAUCCUUGCCCUCCUUGCUAUUGUAGCAACCACCGCCACAAUUGCAGUUAGAGUUCCAGUGCCACAAUUGCAGCCACAAAAUCCAUCUCAGCAACAACCACAAGAGCAAGUUCCAUUGGUACAACAACAGCAAUUUCCAGGGCAGCAACAACCAUUUCCACCACAACAACCAUAUCCGCAGCCGCAACCAUUUCCAUCACAACAACCAUAUCUGCAGCUGCAACCAUUUCCACAGCCGCAACUACCAUAUCCGCAGCCGCAACUACCAUAUCCGCAGCCGCAACCAUUUCGACCACAACAACCAUAUCCACAACCGCAACCACAGUAUUCGCAACCACAACAACCAAUUUCGCAGCAGCAACAACAACAACAACAACAAAUCCUUCAACAAAUUUUGCAACAACAACUGAUUCCAUGCAGGGAUGUUGUAUUGCAACAACACAACAUAGCGCAUGGAAGGUCACAAGUUUUGCAACAAAGUACUUACCAGCUGGUGCAACAAUUGUGUUGUCAGCAGCUGUGGCAGAUCCCCGAGCAGUCGCGGUGCCAAGCCAUCCACAAUGUUGUUCAUGCUAUUAUUCUGCAUCAUCAUCAACAACAACAACAACAACAACAACCGUUGACCCAGGUCUCCUUCCAACAGCCUCAACAACAAUAUCCAUCAGGCCAGGGCUCCUUCCAGCCAUCUCAGCAAAACCCACAGGCCCAGGGCUCUGUCCAGCCUCAACAACUGCCCCAGUUUGAGGAAAUAAGGAACCUAGCGCUAGAGACGCUACCUGCAAUGUGCAAUGUCUAUAUCCCUCCAUAUUGCACCAUUGCUCAAGUUGGCAUCUUCGGUACUAACUGAGAAGAGAAGAACUCUAGUAGUAGAUAUAUGAUACACCGUUUUCUUAGUCCAUGGUUUGGUCGUUGUAGCGGUGAAAAAAUAAAGUGACAUGCACUAUCAUGCAAGAACCCGAACUAUACUAGUUCAAACAUGGGAAUAAAAGACAAACACAUGUCUUGACUACAUAUGAUUGUUUGUUUGAGUUCCACUCAUGUGCCCACUUACAAGUUCACCCCUAAUUAUAUAUAUUAUGCAUUAAGUAGAUAUUUAUGUUGCAUUAAUCUAAAGAUAACAAAAUGAGUCUGAAAUUUGAAUUAAAUUGAAGUAUUUCCUUGGACUUUCAAAUGGAGUAUUAUUAAAGUAGUAAGGACUAUCCACAUCCUUGGCUUGCCCUUGAUCAAUUAUUUCCAGAGAAGCAUUCAAUUCAUCAAUCAAUUACAUUGAUUUUUGUGGCUGGUACUUCUCCUCAACAUGAGUAUAUUCAUCGCGGCAACUCCAAAUAGGCAUGAAUGAGGUACCGGUGCUCUGGAGCACUGGUACCUAACUGCUUCUCAUGUGAAGGGGUGCGGGCGCGGGAGAGGUGUUUUUGGUGGGCCAGGGGAGUAAGAAGCGGCCGUGGCAGCGGUCCAGACGCCCACAAAGCCCCGUAGUUUGUUUUUGGUUUACAGGAAAAUGCACAUCCAGACCGGCCUGCGGGCCGAUAUAGGACCGUAUUGGAUGGCAAAACAUGUCCGGAUGGUCGCGAGCGGUUUAAGGGUUAGCUUUUGUAACACCCGGUUAGUUAUGCUAUGGUAAUUCCCUGCUAAUGAUGUCACGUCAGCACGAUUACUGUUGUUAACCUCACAAUGAUUCAAUCCCAUUCAAAUUCAAAUUUAAAAUAAAGGCAAACAUCAAAAGUUUCAAACAUUAAAACUAAAAUCUUCGAGAGGUGAAAAAUAAUGCAUAAGUAAUUAUGGUGGAGAAACCACACUUUUAUAAAAUGUUUAAAUACUCUAAAAAUAAUAAAACCGUGGCUUAAACUAUUAUUUAAAUGCUUUUAAAAUAGUAAAAAUGUUCUAACUAAAUUAAUUGGGUACCAAACUUUUAGUGGCAGUGGUAUAUUUAGUAGAACUAAUUUAGAUGCUAAUAAAACAUAAAAGGAAAGACAAAACAAAUAAAAGUAAAAGGGGGCAACCCCUCGCUGGACCUCGGCCAAGCUGGCCACUGGGCUAGCUAGGUUGGCCCAACCGCCUCCCUUAACCCCCCACUCCCCAUUGAACCCUAGACCGAUCGCCCCACUUCCCCCACACCCCCUCGUUAGCCUCCCCACCUCUCGAUCCCAUCUGGAUCGGGGAGGGGAUCGCCCCCAUCGACCCCGUCGCGGUCGCUGGAUCGCCCGCCGGCGUCGCCGGACCUCCUCCCCGUCGCACGUCUCCGGCUCUCCUCCCCUCUCGCUCCUUUUCCUCGACCCGAUCUGGAUCGGACAGGGCCAAUGAGCCCAACGCCCCCCUGCAUCGACGCUGUGCUCCAGCACCGCCGCCCGAAGACCUCGCCAUCGCCGGACCUCGCGUCGCCUCCUCGUAUCCCUCCCCGACUCGCCUCCUCAAGCCACGCCGACCCCCUUCUCGGCAACGCUGUGAGCCGCCCCCGUUUCCCUCCUUCUCUUUCCACCGUGUUCACCGCGCCGCCUGCCGUGCCCCUCGCAGCGCGCACGCCCACCACCGCGCCAGCCCCCGCUCCGCGCCCUCUCCUGCACGCUUGUGCGCGCAUGACCCUAGCCGCGCCCACGCCGUGAUCCCCUUGUCCCGCGCUCGCCGCGGCCCCCAUGCUCCCCUGUGCCCUCUUUUGGGGGUGUCGGCUGCCCCUGUCCCGCAGCUCGCUGGCAUGUGUCCCCGCCCGCGCCUCGCCACCGCUCUACAGCUACGCUACUAUUGCGCUGUGGCCGCCGCCGCUUCCCGCUGCUCUGCCAGCGCCAAAGCUCCCGGUUGGCCCUGCCGCUGCUCGCAUUUAACCGCCGGCCUAAGCGGCCUAACCUCCCCCCCCCCUCGCUAAUGAACCCCCACCAACCCGCUGACACCGGGACCCACAUCCCCUAAUUAACCAUUUAAUAAAUUAAAACUCUUAAAUUAACAUUAGUGUAUGACAUGUGGGUCCCCUAUUAAUUAAACUGAUUUAAUUAAAAUCUAUUAACUUUGAGUCUAUGACAUAUGGGCCCCACUAAACAUUUGACCAGUCAACGGUCCAGUCAAAUGCUGACCGGACAGUUGACCAGAGGGCCCCGCCAGUCAGCCAAUGUGUUGUUCUGCUGGGUACCUUUCUAAGUACACCUAGCAUUUUGCAUUUACAAUAUUUGUUUUAAAAUAAAUUAGAAUAAUUUCAAAAAAAUAUUAAAACUUUUAAAAUUAAAAUAAAUAAUCCGUAACUCGGAUGAAAUUACUUUAUACAUGGAACUUGCUCAAAAAACGAGACGAAUCCGAAUACACAGUCCGUUCGUCUGCCACGCGUCCCUAGCAUAGCGAACAUGCAACCAUCCCCCUCCGGUUCGACUGUCCGAAAAAUUAUUAUUGCACAUGCCCGCUAAGAGGUUGGCUGUAUAUGACAUGACAACUUCUUAUAGCCGACCCUUGGCUGUAUUAUUAACCAUGCUCUUAGUGAGGUAGCUAGUAUAUCAUAGACGACUAGCUAGUAUCAGACUGGCCAAAGUGGGAGUAACUUCAGCAGUAACAUCGACUCCAACUCAGCAAACUUGCUUAUGUGGGAGUAAACCUUGUCCAAUGCAAAAUAGAAUCCCAGUCGUAAUUUUUUCAGGAAACGUGUGGGAUCCCAAACGAAAAGCACACAUCACUCUUGCGGCAACCGUCGGUGACACCCAAUAAAUCACAAACGGUCUGCAGCACUUGUAUGUGUGCAAAGGGGCUCCUGAACCGUUUGUGAUAGAACAUUAUCGCAGACGGUAAUUGUUGGCAAACGUGUGCGAUGGAGUCUAGCAUGGCAGACGGGUUACGCAGAAAACUCGUGUGCGAUGGGGCACAAAUCGCACACAGUUCAUAUGUUGGCCCAUGUGCCUUACAUACUAUUUCCCAAAUGGUUUGUUACGACAGACCGUAUCGUUUCAGUGCGUCAUUAGAAACGCUUAAUCACUGAUACCACACGUGCGAUAGAAUUUAGUGCGUGCUGCAUCGCACACGAUUACAUUUUGGAAGGCCUCUGGAUCACUGCUCCAUAUCCCCGACGGUUUCUGGGCCGUGUGGGAAGGACACCCUAUCGCACACACUCACUUGGCGACGGUUCCAAAUGCUGUUGCGGAAAGGGGUUAAAAACAGUUUGUUUAGGACCGACGCAUACCAGUGUCUAUCUAUCUAUCUAUCUAUCUAUCUAUCCAUCUAUCUAUCUAUCUAUCCAUCUAUCUAUCUCAAUCCACCUAUCUAUCUAUCCAUCUAUCCAUCUAUCUAUCUCUCCAUCUAUCCAUCUAUCUAUCCAUCUAUCCAUCCAUCUACUAUCCAUCUAUCUAUCCAUCCAUCUAUCUAUCUCUCUCUCUCUAUCUAUCUAUCUAUCUAUCUAUCUAUCUAUCUAUCUAUCUAUCUAUCUAUCUAUCUAUCUGUCUGUCUAACUAUCUAUCUGUCUAUCUAUCUAUCCAUCUAUUCAUCUAUCUAUCUAUGUAUCCAUUUAUCCAUUGAUCCAUCUAUCGAUCCAUCCAUCUAUCCAUCCAUCUAUCCAUCCAUCUAUCUAUCCAUGUAUCCAUGUAUCCAUCUAUCCAUCUAUCCAUCUAUUGAUCUAUCCAUCUAUCUAUCUAUCUAUCCAUCUAUCCAUCUAUCGAUCUAUCCAUCUAUCUAUCUAUCCAUCCAUCUAUCCAUCUAUCGAUCUAUCGGUCUAUCCAUCUAUCGAUCUAUCCAUCUCUCCAUCUACCCAUCUACCCAUCUAUCCAUCUAUCCAUCUAUUCAUCUACCGAUCUAUCUAUCCAUCUAUCUAUCUAGCUAUCUAGCUAUCUAUCAAUCUAUCUAGCUAUCUAGCUAUCUAUCUAUCUAGUUAUCUAGCUAUCUAUCAAUCUACCUACCUACCUACCUACCUAUCUAUCUAUCUAUCUAUCUAUCUAAAGGAAAUAUGCCCUAGAUGCAAUAAUAAAGUUGUCAUUUACAUUUCCUUAUAUCAUGAUAAACUAGCGGAGUCACCCGCGCAUUUGCGCGGCUAGAUUGACUACAUAUAUUGUUAUAUUUGGGAUUAUUUUUCUAUGCCAAUUUUAUGGCCUCUUACUCAGAUAUUAUCUAAUUGAAUUUACCACCACCAUAUGUUAUAUCCAUAGAUUAUAAUUAAAAGGCAACUUCCGACGAAACAUAGACAGAUUAUUGAGUGCUCAGUAGACGGACGCAAUAUCAUAUAUAGACUUCUAUACCAAUCUUCAUGGUUCCCAUCUUUGAUCCUCUCCUCGUCCCUUGGUAUCUAUCUUUGCACCCAAUAUGUCUUUGGAGUUCCAAGAAUUGAAUCUUAGCAUGAAUGGCUUCAAUGUGUACCAAAUGUUCUCUUGUUCCUCCCAAAUUAAUUACUGGUUGCAUUCUUAGUUGCUUUGACAUUCUUGGUUAAUGCAAUGUCUUGCCUACCAAUAUAUGCAUCCACACACGAUCAUAUUUAUAUGACCACUUACCUCUGUAUUCUGGUAUUUGUGCUUCAGAAUUUUUCUCUCAUUCAGUUUAUUCAUAGAUUAAAAACGUCGAUCGUUUCUUUAUUGGUUUGCAUUAUCUUGUUUGCCGAACGUAAGCAUCCACACAUGCUCGUCAUGAUAUGAUUGGUCAUCAUUGUAUAUUUGUAUUUGUGUGUUGAUAGCUUAAGGAUUUUCUCGGAUUCACUUCAUAGUUUAAGGAUUUUCUCGCGUUCAAUUUAUUCUACCUUAUUCAUUUUCAUGUUUCUUUAUUGCAUUUAUAUCAAUUCUUACAAUAUAUUUUCCAAGAUAUGAACUCAACUGCUAAUUACGUAGUUUUUCAUCAAAAAUUACAUGUAAAAAUGUUACAAAUGCAUAAACAUGAUAAAAAUAUAUAUCAUAUUCCAUUGAGAGAUCGCCCAUUUAAAAAAAACACGUUGACUUACAAAAAGGACAAUUCAAGCUGCAUGUACGUCCGACUCAUGUUUACCUGACAAUGUCGAUGUUGAUUUCAGCAGUAAAUGAGCUGUGUGUGACCUUUGCGCUUUCCGGUAUUCUUCUAACCUGUGUGCUUUAUGAUCAGUUUGUUGUGCUUAGUACUGGACACUGGAGUAUACUAUCAUAUUUGGUACAAAUAAAUCUGAACUACUAUAGUUAUGAUCCACUCUAUAGUUAAUGGUGGUGGUAAUUAAUAUAUGUGGUUAAAUACUUGCGCUCCUUAGGUGGGGAGUUGGAUUUGUAUUUCCCUAAAAUAAAUUUCAGAUUUCGUAAUAGUGGUGAAGCCAGCCGGAAGAACCUCUGCGUCAUUAUUAAUUUUGGUGAUAUUUUUCUUCAUAGUGUAGAAUAAUUUUAGUGCUUAUUCCGCAAAAAAUAUGGCCUCAACUAACCCCAUAGCUUGUAUGUUGCGCCACCACUGUUUCCUAUAUCUUAUUACAUCCGUUGUUUUUAGAUCUUGAUGCAUAACUUUGACAAUUUUUAAUAGAUAUGUGUCUGCAUAAAAAAUUAUAAAUGCUAUGAUAAUUUGAUUAAUUAUGAUGAAUAAAAUGUUAUUGCUCUGACUUGAUCCCUCUAGAAUUUUCCAAAAUUUCACAUUACUGUUGUAGUAGUGCAUGCUACCUCUUCAGCACUGCGUUAGUUUUCCCUUGAAGAGGAAAGGGUGAUGCAGUAAAUCAGCGUCAGUAUUUCCCUCAGUUUUUGAGAACCAAGGUAUCAAUCCAGUAGGAGGCAACACACGAGUCCCUCGCACCUACACAAACAAAUAAAAUCCUCGCAACCAACGCAAUAAAGGGGUUGUCAAUCCCUUCACGGUCACUUACGAAAGUGAGAUCUGAUAGAUUUGAUAAGAUAAUAUUUUUGGUAUUUUUAUGAUAAAGAUGCAACGUAAAGAAAGCAAAAUAAAAACAACGCCAGAAAUAGCUUGUUGACGGGAGAUUAAAUAUGAUGGAAAAUAGACCGGGGGCCAUAGGUUUCACUAGUGGCUUCUCUCGAGAGCAUAAGUAUUUCGGUGGGUAGACAAAUUACUGUUGAGCAAUUGACAGAAUUGAGCAUAGUUAUGAGAAUAUCAAGGUAUGAUCAUGUAUAUAGGCAUCACGUCCGAGGCAAGUAGCCCGACUCCUGCCUGCAUCUACUACUAUUACUCCACACAUCAACCGCUAUCCAGCAUGCAUCUAGAGUAUUAAGUUCAAAAGAACAGAGUAACGCUUUAAGUAAGAUGACAUGAUGUAGAGGGAUAAACUCAUGCAAUAUGAUAUAAACCCCAUCUUGUUAUCCUCGAUGGCAACAAUACAAUACGUGCCUUGCUGCCCCUACUGUCACUGGGAAAGGACACCGCAAGAUUGAACCCAAAGCUAAGCACUUCUCCCAUCGCAAGAAAGAUCAAUCUAGUAGGCCAAACCAAAUUGAUAAUUCGAAGAGACUUGCAAAGAUAACCAAUCAUACAUAAAAGAAUUUAGACAAGAUUCAAAUAUUGUUCAUAGAUAAACUUGAUCAUAAACCCAUAAUUCGUCGGUCUCAACAAACACACCGCAAAAGAAGAUUACAUCGAAUAGAUCUCCACAAGAGGGGGGGAGAACAUUGUAUUGAGAUCCAAAAAGAGAGAAGAAGCCAUCUAGCUAAUAACUAUGGACCCGAAGGUCUGAGGUAAAGUACUCACACAUCAUCGGAGAGGCUAUGGUGUUGAUGUAGAAGUCCUCCGUGAUCGAUGCCCCCUUCGGCGGAGCUCCGGAAAAGGCCCCAAGAUGGGAUCUCACGGGUACAGAAGGUUGCGGCGAUGGAAUUAGGUUUCAUUCCGUUUGGACUCGGUUUGAUAUUCUUUUUCUGUGAAACUCUGAACUAGGCAAAAAACAGCAAUUCUGGGGUGGGCCUCCGGUUAAUAGGUUAGUCCCAAAAAUAAUAUAAAAGUGUAUAAUAAAGCCCAUUAAUGUCUAAAACAGAAUAUAAUAUAGCAUGGAACAGUUAAAAAUUAUAUAUACGUUGGAGACGUAUCAAGCAUCCCCAAGCUUAAUUCCUGCUCGUCCUCGAGUAGGUAAAUGAUAAAAACAGAAUUUUUAAUGUGGAAUGCUACUUCGAAUAAUUUCAAUGUAAUUCUCUUAAUUGUGGUAUGAAUAUUCAGACCCGAAAGAUUCAAGACAAAAGUUUAAUAUUGACAUCAAAAUAAUAAUACUUCAAGCAUACUAACUAAGCAAUUAUGUCUUCUCAAAAUCAUAUAGUCUAGCUAUGCUCUAUCUUCACCACACAAAGUAUUUAAAUUAUGCACAACCCCGAUGACAAGCCAAGCAAUUGUUUCAUACUUUUGAUGUUCUCAAACUUUUUCAAUCUUCACAGAAUACAUGAGCAUGAGCCAUGGACAUAGCACUAUAUGUGGAAUAGAAUGGUGGUUGUGGAGAAGACAAAAAAGGAGAAGAUAGUCUCACAUCAACUAGGCGUAUCAACGGGCUAUGGAGAUGCCCAUUAAUAGAUAUCAAUGUGAGUGAGUAGGAAUUGCCAUGCAACGGAUGCACUAGAGCUAUAAGUAUAUGAAAGCUCAACAAAAGGAACUAAGUGGGUGUCCAUCCAACUCGCUUGCUCAUGAAGACCUAGGGCAUUUUGAGGAAACCCAUCAUUGGAAUAUACAAGCCAAGUUCUAUAAUGAAAAUUUCCCACUAGUACAUGAAAGUGAUAUCAUAGGAGACUCUCUAUCAUGAAGAUCACGGUGCUACUUUGAAGAACAAGUGUGGUAAAAGGAUAGUAACAUUGUCCCUUCUCUCUUUUUCUCUCAUUUUUUAUUUGGGUCUUUUAUCCUUUUUUUAUGGCCUCUUUUUUUAGUCCGAAGUCUCAUCCCGACUUGUGGGGGAAUCAUAGUCUCCAUCAUCCUUUCCUCACUUGGGACAAUGCUCUAAAAAAAUGAUGAUCAUCACACUUUUAUUUACUUACAACUCAAUACUUAGAACAAAAUAUGACUCUAUGUGAAUGCCUCUGGCGGUAUACCGUGAUAUGCAAUGAAUCAAGAGUGACAUGUAUGAAAGAAUUAUGAACGGUGGCUUUGCCACAAAUACAAUGUCAACUACAUGAUCAUGGAAAGCAAUAUGACAAUGAUGGAGUGUGUCAUAAUAAACUGAACGGUGGUAAGUUGCAUGGCAAUAUAUCUCGCAAUGGCUAUGGAAAUGCCAUGACAGGUAGGUAUGGUGGCUGUUUUGAGGAAGGUAUAUGGUGGGUGUAUGAUACCGGCGAAAAGUGCGCGGUAUUAGAGAGGCUAGCAAUGGUGGAAGGAAGAAAGUGCGUAUAAUCCAUGGACUCAACAUUAGCCAUAAAGAACUCAUAUACUUAUUGCAAAAAUCUACAAGUUAUCGAAGCAAAGUAUUACCCGCAUCAUCCUAGGGGGAUAGAUUGGUAGGAAAAGACCAUCGCUCGUCCCCGACCGCCACUCAUAAGGAAGACAAUCAAUAAAUAAAUCAUGCUCCAACUUCAUCACAUCACGGUUCACCAUACGUGCAUGCUAAGGGAAUCACAAACUUUAACACAAGUAUUUCGCAAAUUCAAAACUACUCAACUAGCAUGACUCUAAUAUCACCAUCUCCAUAUCUCAAAACAAUUAUCAAGUAUCAAACUUCUCAUAGUAUUCAACACACUCAUAAGAUUUUUUUACUAAUCUUGAGUGCCUAUCAUAAUUAAAGCAAAUUACCACACUGUUUUGUAGGACUAUCAAAAUAAUCUAAGUGAAUCAUGAGAGAACAAUAGUUUCUAUAAAACAAAACCACCACCGUGCUGUAAAAGAUAUACGUGAAGCACUAGAGCAAAAACUAUAUAGCUCAAAAGAUAUAAGUGAAGCACAUAGAGUAUUCUAACAAUUUCCGAAUCAUGUGUGUCUCUCUCAAAAGGUGUGUACUGCAAGGAUUAGUGUGGCAAACUAACAAAUAAAGACUUCAAAUAAUACAAGACGCUCCAAGCAAAACACAUAUCAUGUGGUGAACAAAAAUAUAGCUCCAAGUAAAGUUACCGAUGGAAGUAGACGAAAGAGGGGAUGCCUUCCGGGGCAUCCCCAAGCUUUGGCUUUUAGUUGUCCUUAGAUUAUCUUGGGGUGCCAUGGGCAUCCCCAAGCUUAGGCUCUUGCCACUCCUUGUUUCAUAAUCCAUCAAAUCUUUCAUCCAAAACUUGAAAACUUCACAACACAAAACUGAGCAGAAAAUCUCGUGAGCUCCGUUAGCAAAAGAAAAGAAAACACCACUUCAAGGUACUGUAAUGAACUCAUUCUUUAUUUAUAUUGGUGUUAAACCUACUGUAUUCCAACUUGUCUAUGGUUUAUAUACUAUUUUACUAGCCAUAGAUUCAUCAAAAUAAGCAAACAACACACGAAAAACAUAAUCUGUCAAAAACAGAACAGUCUGUAGUAAUCUAUAACUAACGCAAUUUUCUGCGACUCCAAAAAUUGACCCAAAAUAGGAAGACCUAGCCAAUUUUUUUAUUUAUCAGCAGCAAUUGGAAUCAAUAUUUUAUCACGUCCUGGUGAUUUUUAACAAUUAUUUUCGUGAACAGAAAGUUUCUGGAAUUUUCAGCAAGAUCAAAUAACUAUCAUCCAAGAAGAUCCUAUAGGUUAACCUUGGCACAAACACUAAUUAAAACAUAAAAACACAUGUAACCAGAGGCUAGAUCAAAUAUUUAUUCCUAAACAAAAGAAAAAAGCAAAAAAACUAAAAAUAAAAUUGGGUUGCCUCCCAACAAGCGCUAUCGUUUAACGCCCCUAGCUUGGCAUAAUAGCAAGGAUAGAUCUAGGUAUUGCCAUCUUUGGUAGGCAAUCCAUAAGUGGCUCUCAUAAUAGAUUCAUAAGGUAAUUUUAUUUUAUUUCUAGGGAAGUUUUCCAUGCCUUUCCUUAAUGGAAAUUGGAAUCUAAUAUUCCCUUGCUUCGUAUCAAUAAUUGCACCAAUCGUUCUAAGGAAAGGUCUACCAAGAAUAAUAGGACAUGAAGGAUUGCAAUCUAUAUCAAGAACAAUAAAAUCUACAGGCACAUAAUUCCUAUUUGCAACAAUAAGAACAUCAUCAAUUCUUCCCAUAGGUUUCUUAAUGGUGGAAUCCGCAAGGUGCAAGUUUAAAGAGCAAUCAUCAAAAUCACGGAAACCUAGCAAAUCGCACAAAGUCUUUGGAAUCGUGGAAACAGUAGCACCCAAAUCACACAAAGCAUAGCAUUCAUGAUCUUUAAUUUUUAUUUUAAUAGUAGGUUCCCACUCAUCAUAAAGUUUUCUAGGGAUAGAAACUUCCAACUCAAGUUUUUCUUCAUAAGAUUGCAUCAAAGCAUCAACGAUAUGUUUAGUAAGGCUUUAUUUUGACUAUAAGCGUGUGGAGCAUUUAGCACGGAUUGCAACAAGGAAAUACAAUCUAUCAAAGAGAAAUUAUCAUAAUUAAAUUCCUUUAAAUCCAAAAUAGUGGGUUCAUUAAUAUCUAGAGUUUUGAUUUCUUCAAUCCCACUUUUACCAAUUUUUGCAUCAAGAUCUAAAAACUCAGAAUUUUUGGAAUGCCUUCUAGGUAGAGGUGGAUCAUAUUCAGUCCCAUCAUUAUCAAGAUUCAUAUUGCAAAACAAAGAUUUAAUAGGGGACACAUCAAUAACUUUUAGAUCUUCAUCUUUAUUUUCAUAGAAACUAGAAGAACACGCUUUCACAAAACAAUCUUUCUUAGCACGCAUCCUAGCGGUUCUUUCUGUGCACUCAUCAAUGGAAAUUCUCAUGGCCUUGAGAGACUCAUUGAUAUCAUGCUUAGGAGAAAUUCUAUCAGCGUUCCUAGCCAAUUCAUCAACUUUAAGCAAUUUUUCUUCAAGCAAAGCAUUGAAAUUGUUUUGCGAAUUCAUAAAUUCUUUAACACUAGUCUCAAAUUCAGAAGGCAUCUUAUUAAAAUUUCCAUAAUAAUUGUUGUAGGAAUUACCAUAAUUAUUAGAGGAAUUACUAGGAUACGGCCUUGGAUUAAAGUUUCCUCUAUACGCGUUGUUACCAAAAUUAUUCCGACCAACAAAAUUCACAUCCAUAGAUUCAUUAUUAUUCUCAAUAAAAGUAGACAAAGGCAUAUCAUUAGGAUCAGAAGAAACACUUUUAUUAGCAAAUAAUUUCAUAAGUUCAUCCAUCUUUCCACUCAAAACAUUAAUUUCUUCUAUCGCAUGCACUUUUUUAUUAGUGGAUUUUUCGGUGUGCCAUUGAGAAUAAUUAACCAUAAUAUUAUCUAGGAGUUUAGUAGCUUCUCCUAAAGUGAUUUCCAUAAAAGUGCCUCCCGCGGCCGAAUCUAAAAGAUUUCUAGAAGAAAAAUUCAAUCCGGCAUAAAAUUUUUGUAUAAUCAUCCACAAAUUCAAACCAUGAGUAGGGCAAUUACGUAUCAUUAAUUUCAUCCUCUCGCAAGCUUGUGCAACAUGUUCAUGAUCAAGUUGCUUAAAAUUCAUAAUAUCAUUUCUAAGAGAGAUGAUCUUAGCGGGGGGGAAAUACUUAGAGAUAAAAGCAUCUUUGCACUUAUUUCAAGAAUCACUACUAUUUUUAGGCAAAGACGAAAACCAAGCUUUAGCACGAUCUCUAAGUGAAAAAGGAAAUAGCUUCAAUUUAACAAUAUCAUUGUCCACAUCUUUCUUCUUUUGCAUAUCACACAAAUCAACGAAGUUGCCAUGUCUAGGAAUGCUUGAAGCUUCAAAGAUUUCCUAUAAUACAACAUGCCUCUAACUAUUCACAAAAAGAAAAACAUGUAAAUGCGGAAUCAACCAAAUGAUGGUAAAUUGUAGUUGAUUUUGGCCAAGCAAACGUCAGAUGAAAGAAACAUACAUGAGUGAACAUCACGAUUGGAUGUUUUAUUCAAAUUUAACAGGUUAAACUCACCAAAUCCAUCUGGAUAUUUAGUAUUAAACUUCAACAGAUGGUCAGUUGUAGCUAGAUUCACACCACUGCAGCAAAAUUCCAUCUGCCACGGUUACAUCACACCAUCUUUUCAUCGUUACUAUUUAAAUUCCAAAUGCCUGCAACUCAUUUUUUUUGUUACGAUGUAUGCAUGAUUUUUAACUCAAGAGGAAGAGGGGAAACUAAAUCCAAGAAAAGAACACCAAGGAAGCAUCCAAAAUAGAGAAAGGAAAAAUCCAAAAUAGAGGCAGAAUCGAAGGGAAGAAACCCCAUAAAAAAUAGGAGAUCAAACGGUGAAAAAAAUCUAAGAGUCAAACAAUUCCAGGUAAGACCAAAUCGACGGCAAAAUAGCACAAGAGGGACUCACAUUAACAGGUAUACCAGGUAUACCAAUUCAGAAAGAAGUGUAAAGCGAACAGUGCAAUGGACCACUAGUAUAAAUUGGAUGUACACAAACAUGGGACUUAAACAGGAACUGCGAGAUGCAGGGUUCAUGUGCAAACCCAAAAAACGGAAAACUGAAACCCACAACAAGAUUUUAUCUUCAUAUAUAUAUAUAUAUAUAUAUAUAUAUAUAUAUAUAUAUAUAUAUUCAAGGCUCGCCCUAUCUAUUAGUUGCUUCUUGCGAAUCCCCACCUAUCAAGCGUUUUCUCUGAAUAAACAAACACAAUAGUAUUCUCUGAAUUAUACUGUACAACGGUAAUUAACCAAGCGACUGGAAUUAACAAUAUUAUGAGCUACUGGCUUUUUAGUCAGGUAAAUAUCAUUCUUAAGACUACGGAAAACAGCAGGCGGCGAAGAAAACAUCUAUUGAUGAGAACUAUGCACAUACUUAAGAAGGAAGUGACAUCUAUGGUAGCAGAACAUAUAUCAAGCUGUUGCAGCUACAUUAGCAGUUUAGCACAGUUCCUCCAUAAUACACAGGCUAGUGUAAUUUCACAAAUACAAUAAGCUAACAAUAUAUAUUUGGUAGAUGGAAAUGGCUGGAUCAUGACCAAUAUACCAUUACACAUCCGAUGAUGCAAAUAAAGAAACGAGGCCCAACAAUAGUGGAAAAUAAACCACAAUAGAACAUGUAUUUGGCGAAACCUCCGUACUGCAAUAUCAAACAUGAAUUGAAAUUAACAAUCUAGCAAAAAAACAUGACAGAUGCAGUCUUGGUCAUUUUUCCUUUUGUGACAUCCCCUAAAAAAAGUAAAAACAAUGUUGUUCGUAUUUUACCAGAGAUACACUGAGCUGGGACAAAUCGGUCUGAAAUAAAAUAUGAUGGCUUCGGAGGAUUCGAAAGGCAAGAAAUUUGCUUUCUUCCAACUUAUAUGGUCUGCUGAACUAAACUUCGUUUCAGCGGGCUUUGGCAAAAAUCUGUAACUGCAUACAUCAACUUGUGUGCCCUUCCUACGUCAAACUUUAAACCUGAUGGAUUAAAUAUUUUAGGUUAGGCUGAGAUCAGUGUACUUUAUGAGUGUUAAGUGUACUUUCUAAAUAGCAGAGAAACCAUAACAUCUAAGCACAACCCAGCAACUUGUACAAGCUAACAUCAAAUCUGAAAGAGGAAAUGUCGAGAACAGGUGAAGGUACCAUGAUCCACGACUGAGCAAAGUUAUCUAUAAUGCUCGGUGAAUAUCAUAAAUUAGGAUCAACUACGCUGAAGAACAAACGGGAAAGGAACCUAGAAAGAUCUUCUGCCGGUAGAAUAUAACUGAUACACUAUCCUCAUUCUCGAGAUCAAGGUCGUUUCUUGAAUUGCAGUUUCCUCACUGUAGUAUGGGGUCAUUACACUGCGAAGAACAAAGUGUCAUAUGAAUCAUUUAGAGCCCAAUAUUUUUCACUGAAACUCUUAUGAUCACAUAACGAAUUUAAACAUAAGGUUUAUUAGAUAUUUGUUGUUGUGAACAGAUAAUAUAUUUCUGGUGUUGACAAUGUUUUGAUUAUGGAUGCACUUCAAGAUGGGUGGCAAAGAUUCUGUUGUACAGGCCUCCACCUGGAAUUUCAUCACUUGUUAUUUUUGUUUUAGAAUGUCUAGGUGCAUUUUUCCUUUAAGGUGGAAACAGAUGUACUUGUAUAAGCAACAAGAAUACAAAGCGCCACUGCCAUACAUUGUGGAAGUUCAGUGCUUCUGUUUACAAAAUCUGCUUCAAAAAACAGAAGGAUUUAUAAUUUUUCAUUACAAUCAAGCGGACAUGAGCUGAUGAGUACAGAUGUAGACAUGUACUGAGAGCAGCACCCUUUCAAAAGUGGAUCAUUUACAUGUUGGAUAGUUUGAUGGUCUGAAAUUAGUGGUCGUGUUUCAGAAUUGUUAUCGAAUAGUAGGGGAUAUAUAUUAACUUCUGAAAUUAGUGGCUGUUUGUCAGAACUGUUAUCGAAUAACAGAGCACAUAUAUUAACUUCAAUAAGUGGAGUAAUAUCUUUGGAUUCGCUGUGAGGAAAGAUUACCAAAACAAAACAGAAGUGAGUGCGACGAACCAGAUGAGGGCGCUCUUGAGCCUCUUCCCGACCGACCUAGAUGCAGGAGCAGAACAGGGCGGAUCUAAUCAGCCAACGAAUAAAGCCGAGGCAGGUAGAGGAAGUAAGGGGGGAAGAAGACUGACUUGUCCUGGUCGCCCUCGUAGUAGAACCUGUGUUUUGAUUUUCGGCCGAAAAAAGAGGAUUUCGGCUGAAUUUCGGCCAUCUCGGCCUGGGGCGAAAAGUGUAUUUAGGCCGAAAUUGUUCAAAUUUAGCAAAUUUUGGUCAAAUUUAAGUCAAAUUGCAGUCAAAAUUUGGUCAAAUUUCAGCCGAAAUUUUUGAAAAUGGCUGAAAUUCGGCCAUCUCAGCCUAGGGAGGAAAAAAAGCUCAAACCGAAAAUCAAAACACAUAGUAGAACAUGGCGAACAGGAUGACGAGGAAGACGAGGACAGCGUCGAGGAUGUAGACGACGAGCCAGAGCGUGUUCAUGGGCAGGAUCAAGCAUGGGCAGGAUAAGGGCGCAGGCCCCGUUGUAGGCGGCGUGCUUGCAGGCCUGGCAGUUGGCGACGUCGGCGGGGAGCAUGAGGAUGGAGAGGACGGCGACGGUGAUGCCGAGCACGACGACGAGCUUGAGGAAGUAGGCCUGGUUGGCAUCAUCCGGGUGCUGGUAGUUGACGAGCAGGUAGACGCUGACGAGGAGCACCAGGAUGCUGACCACCGCCGCCACGAUCACUAGCGCCACGUUAAAAACCCCAUCUCCUCGGGGCUCCGGUCCCGGUUCCGGCCCGCCGCCUCGCCCCCGUUGGUCGGUCAGAUCUCUCUGUCCCUAGAGGCGGGGGGAUACAGGCUAGGGUUUGGGCGUGGGCGGGGAAUAGGCUGCUAUGGUGCCUGCAGCGGGGCGUGUAGGAGAGAAGGAUUAGGAGGAAUAAUUCACCACACUUUGAUUAAGCUCUGGGAUGGGUCUUAUGUACAGAUUACAGGGCCAGCCAGGGAGAUCAUGGGGUGAUCCACUACCUGGGAUCGUGCGCCACGAUCACUACAUGCGUGCGCCACGAUCAUAUACACACACGCUACACCUAGUGUCUACGCAACUACGGUAUAGCAGUACAGUACAGCCUAACACCCCCCUCCCCCGGAGUCGUGACGUCGGCGGCGGCGACGCAAAGACUGGACCGGAACUCAGAGAAAACAUCCGAUGGCAGGCCUUUGGUCAUGAUGUCGGCGAGUUGUUGGCGCGUGGGGAUGUGAAGAACACGGAAGUGGCCGAGGGCGACGUGCUCCCGCACGAAAUGGAUGUCCAGCUCCACAUGCUUAGUGCAGCGAUGAUGCACCGGAUUGGCUGACAGGUAGACUACGGACACAUUGUCACAGUACACCAGUGCCGCCUUGGUCACUGGAGCGGAGAGCUCGCCGAGAAGCUGGCGGAGCCAGAUGCAUUCAGCGACCGCGUUGGCGACGCCGCGGUAUUCAGCUUCGGCGCUGGAGCGCGAUACGGUCGCCUGGCGCUUGGAGGACCAGGAGACGAGAGCACCGCCGAGGAAGACGCAGAAGCCCGACGUGGAGCGUCGGGUGUCGGGGCAGCCGGCCCAGUCCGCAUCGGUGAACGCACGGACGUCGAGCGUGGUCGAGGCGCGAAGAUGAAGCCCGAGUGCGCAGGUGCCCUUCACGUACCGGAGCACGCGCUUUACGAGCGCGAGGUGGCAUUAGCGCGGGUCAUGCAUGUGCAAGCAGAUUUGCUGGACAGCGUAGGCGAUCUCUGGACGCGUGAUGGUGAGGUACUGCAGGGCCCCGGCGAUGCUCCGAUAGGCCGAGGGGUCGUCGACGCAGGGCCCAUCGGCUGAGGGGAGUUUGCUCUUCGUGUCGGUGGGUGUCGGGGAAGGGCGGCAGGUGUCCAUGCCGGCGCGUUCCAGGAGCUCGUCGGCAUAUUGUUGUUGCGACAGGAAGAAGCCAGCUCGGGUGCGGGUGACGCGGAUGCCGAGGAAGAAGGCGAGCGAGCGCAGGUCCUUCAUGGCGAAUUCGCCUGUGAGGCGCUGGAUGACAUGGUGAAGCACGCGUGACGAGGACGCGGUGAGCACGAUGUCGUCGACGUAGAGGAGGAGGAACGCCAUGUCGUUGCCGUGCCGGAAGGUGAACAGCGAUGAGUCCGAACGCGUAGCUGCGAAGCCAAUGGAGCGGACGAAGCCGGCGAAGUGGAGGAACCAGGCACGGGGCGCCUGCUUGAGCCCGUACAAGGACUUGGAGAGGCGGCAGACGUGCUCUGGUUUGUCGGGGUCGACGAAUCCGGCGGGCUGGAGGCACUAGACUUCCUCCUCCAAGUUGCCGUCGAGGAAGGCGUUGGAGACGUCGAGGUGGUGCACCGGCCAGCCGCGCGACGCGGCCAGAGUGAGCACCGUGUGGAUCGUCGCUGGCUUGAUGACGGGGGAGAACGUCUCGCCGUAGUCGACGCCAGCACACUGAUGAAAGCCCCGCACGACCCAGCGUGCUUUGUUGCGGGCCAGCGCGCCGUCGGCGUCGUUUUUGUGCUUGAAGAUCCACUUCCCUGUGAUCAGGUUGGCGCCGGGCGGGCGGGGCACCAGCUCCCACGUGCGAUUGCGCACUAGCGCAUCGUACUCAGCACGCAUGGCACCGAGCCAGUUCGGGUCGCGAACAGCAGCGCGAACCGAACGCGGCACCGGCGACACCGAUGAUGAGGUAGAGGCGGUGACCGCGUCGUAGUAGCGCGGGUUGGGGCGGAAGAUGCCGCGCUGGGCACGCGUGACCAUGGGCACAGGAGGCGCCGGUGCGCGGGGCGCCGCUGGUGGCGCGCUCGGAGACGAGCUGUCGGAGGAGCCGCUGGCGGAGUUGUCGGAGGAGCCGCUGGCGGACACGAAGACAGGCGGACCAGGCGCGGAUGGGCACGUCGAGGACGGAGCCGAGCCGCCAUCGGAAGCGCCCGCAGCGUACCGCGAGCUGACGCGGCGCGCCCCGCUGGUUGGCGAGGAUGAGCGGGGCAGGCCGGUGAUGGAGAUCGGGCGCGCCGGCAGCACGGGUGACAUGCUGCUGUCAGGCACCGGUGGAAGCGCGGGCAGCGCAGGAGGCCGGACGACGAGCGGGAUCUGCAGGGUAGAGGGUACGACGGGUGGCGUAGGCGACGGGGAAGAGGAUGCGAACGGGAAAACGUGUUCGUGGAAGAGAACGUGGCGAGACGUGAGGACGCGGCGAGAGGUGAGGUCAAAGCAGCGAAAACCACGAUGAUCGGGAGGGUACCCGAGGAAGACGCAGGCGAUAGAACGUGGCUCGAGCUUAUGAUGGGUGGUGGCGGUGACGUUCGGAUAGCAGAGGCAUCCAAAGACGCGGAGCUGCGAGUAAUCUGGGGCGACGCCGAGCAGGAGUUCGUGCGGAGUGCAGGGCGCCGAGGCAGGGCCGACGAUUGAGCAGGUAGGUCGAGGUGUUGAGAGCCUCGGCCCAGAAGCGAGCGGGCAUGUGCGCAUGACAGAGAAGCACACGAACGCCAUCGUUGAUCGUGCGGAGAACUCGCUCGUCCUUGCCGUUCUGCUGACUGGCGUAUGGGCAGGUGAGACGGAAGUUUGUGCCGUGGCGAGCAAGCAGAGAGCGCAUGGCUGCGCUGUCGAAUUCACGACCAUUGCCCGUUUGCAGUGCAAGUACGGGUAACUGAAACUGAGUCUGAACAUAGGCAAAGAAAUCAACAAGUAUGGGAGGAACUUCAGACUUGUGUUUCAGAGGGAAAGUCCAGACAUAGUGACUGAAAUCAUCUAGUACAACUAAGUAAAACUGAUAGCCGGAUAUGCUUACAACGGGAGGGGUCCAUACAUCAAGGUUUAAAAGUUGGAAAGGAAAGAAACUAGCAGUGGUGGAUGUCUGAAACGGGAGCCAGGUGUGUUUGCCAACACGACAGGCAUGACAGACAGGCGGAUCACGGCAGAACUCCAGGGACUGAUCGGCAGCAACGGUGUGGAGUGCGGCAGCCCCUGGGUGGCCGAGACGUUGAUGCCACAGGUCGGUCGUGGCGGAGCCGGCGAAGAUGCCCGGGGAAUGGACGGAUGGCCGCACCACGGGAUAGAGAUCGCCGUCGGAGUCAGAUCGGAGAAUCACCACCCUGGUUCGUAGGUCCUUGACAGAGAAACCACGAGCGUCAAAUUCAACAGAAACGGGGUAGGAACGACAAAGCUGCCGAACUGAAAGUAGGUUUUUGACGAUAGAUGGAGAGACGAGAACGUUGCGGAGAGGAAUGGGGGAAGUGCUGGUGAUCAGUGCGCCCGUGCCAACGUGGGUGAUGGGCAGGCGCUCACCACUGCCCACGAUGAUAGAUGCAGCAGUAGAGGACGGGCGAGUGGAGAGGAGAUUACCAGGGGAGGACGUCAUGUGCGCCGCGGCGCCGGAGUCGAGGUACCACUCCGGUGCGCUGCCAGAGGAGGAAGGGCUGGCCGAGGCGCUGUGGAGGGCGGCCUGGAGCGAGGCCAUGUCCCAUGGCUGGUGGGUUGCAGUCGACGAGCUGGCGCCGGGGUGCCCGUAGCCUGACAGGACGCCGGAGACGGGUGGAGUGACGCCGUAGCCGGGGAGGGUAGCGCCGUAGCCGUAUGGUGCAGCCAGCGACGGGGCGGCGAACAUGGCCUGCUGGUGCGGCGUACCAGGGCGGGGGCCGAGCACUCCAGCUCCAGGCGCGCGCCAAGGCAUCGGCCAAGCCUGGACCAUGCCGGUCCAUGCGUUGGUGCCAGGUGCAGGCGUGGGGUACGCCGGGGGAGGGCGGGGAGCCUGGGAGGACGGCGUGGGCGGGCCACCACUGCCGUUGCCACGUCCGCGGCGGCAUCCGCGCCCACGCCCUUGGUUGGUGUUGCUGGGCGGGGGUGUGGGUGGUGUAGGAGAGCCGCCACGCCCGGCGACGAGAGCGUGCGCAGACUGCUGGCGAGCGGUCGACUGCUCUGCUCGGUGUUCCUCAAGCAGGAGGAAGGAGCGCACCUGCAGGAACGACGGGAGCGGGACCUGCGAGGUGAGGGAUGGCGGAGUGGAACUGCCGGUUCAGACCGCGGAGCAGGUUGAAGACCUGCCGCGAGUCGGUUACCGGCUGCCCGAGGUCGCAGAGUUGAUCCGUGAACGACUUCAUCUUGGUGCAGUACGCCAUGAUCGACAUGUCGCCCUGAACGACAGCGUGGUACUCGGCGUCGAGGUAGACAGCGCGAGCGAGGUGGUUGUCGCGGAAGAUUCCAUCGACCGCAGUCCAGACGGCCAGAGCAGUGUCGUCCGGCUGCAUGACGGCGUCGAGCAGGUCCGGCGAUAUGGUGGUGUAGAACCAAUGGACGACGACGUGAUCAGCCAUGCCCCACUUGGGAUCAUCGUGGCGGUGCAUGGCCGUGGUGUCGACGUGAGUGCGGAGGCCGAACAUGCCGAUGACGGUGUCGAAGUGGCGGCGCCACUGCGUGUAGUUGCCGGCGAGAAGGUCGAGGGUGACCGGGACAUGACGACGGAUGUCCACGGUCUGCAGGAUCGCGGAGGCGACAGGUGCUGUAGGAGGAGGAAGAGGGAUGACGGGCACUGCGGGCGCGACAGGUGCUAGAGCCGGCGGUGCGUUGGCCAGGGGGACAGCGUUGAGGACGCCGUCGGCGCCGUGCUGCGAGGAGCGAGGGAACACGACGGGGUUUUCAUCCAUGGCGGCGGAAGCGGGACUGGCGACCUGCGCGAAGGGAUUGAGCAGGUCGGGGGAGUCUGAUACCAUAUAGGAAAGAAGGAUUAGGAGGAAUAAUUCACCACACUUUGAUUGAGCUCUCGGUUGGGUCUUAUGUACAGAUUACAGGGCCAGGGAGAUCAUGGGGUGAUCCACUACCUGGGAUCGUGCGCCACGAUCACUAUAUGCGUGCGCCACGAUUAUAUACACACAUGCUACAACUAGUGUCUACGCAACUACGGUAUAGCAGUACAGUACAGUCUAACAGGGCGGCCACCGGCGGGGAGGGCGGGAUCCGCGCGGGGUGGCGGGAUUUGGGCAGGCGGUGGGCUCGGGGGAGGGCGGUGGCAGCGAAGCAGCAAGGAGGGGCUGGAGGAGAUGAAACGAAAGAGGUCGCGUGACACAGCGACAGCGUCGUCCAAUCCCCUCGCUGCCGAUUUAAAAAAAGGUAAUGAUAACUCCCGAACGUUCAGGAGUUAAGCAUGGCAACCCGAACGGGUUUAGAUGGCAAGUUUAGUUUGCGUGAGAUUAGGGAAACAUGGUAAUUUUCUGACAAAAGAAAUGAAAAAGGACGAAGUUGCCAUCCCCUAUCAACUAAAGUUGCCAUCCCCUAUGAACUAAAGUUGCCAUGUAAAAACGUUCGGGACGAAAUGCUCAAAAUCCGAACGUUCGGAAGUUAUUGGAUUCAAAAAAAAUCCCCUUGCUGCCAAUCGCUGGCCCGUUUCUUUUUUCGCCCAAUCGCUAGGUGAUGACGUGGCUAUCACGGGAAGGCGCCCUUGAUGCGUAGUCGAAUGGUUUUAAUUAAUAGGAAGCGAGUGCUUACUCUAGUUACUGAAUUAUGUACACCAAAUAAAGCCAUUUACACGUAGUUAAUGACAAAAAAAGUUGAUGUUUGCUGCGCAAACGUGUAGUACAAAUUAAGAAGUGCAAGAUAAAAAAAAUGCUGGUCCUUGAUUCGUUGUUGAUCGUCAGCAUGCCAUCAUCAAUUUGUAGUUAAUUAUCAUACAAAUUGGCUCUUUCAUAGAGUUGGAGGCUAGCUCCUUUGAUCAGCACGCGCUUAAACAUAAACAGCACGUAUAUGUUUUGUCUCCGGAGUUCAAUUCUUCAUCGGCCAGCAAAAAUGGCCCGACCGGGUAGAGGAAAAGGCAUGUUUGUUAGUACGCCUGGAGGAAAUGCCUUUGAUUAGGGCAUCUUCAACAGCGACCAGUAAAUUUCCUCCCGCGUUCGUCCACGGAUAGGGGAUCAGUCCGCGGAUACGGAUACAGGAAUCAUCCAUCCAACGCUGUCCGCGUAUAUUUCAAACACAUGUUUUUUUGAAAAUAGGAUGAAAUUCAUGCAAACACAAUGGAUUUCAUACAAACCGGACAAAAAUGUUUACAUUUUGGACAUAUUUUUUUUACUAAAAACUCUACAGCCGGUGCCGGCGAAUAUCCACUCCGGCGACAUGGAUACCCUUGACUAGUCUACUGCCGGCCGCAGCGGAUCUCCAAUGUCGUCCCCAUGUCCGGCAGCUAUGAGCCCUAGAGGUAUAUGCUUCAGCGCAAAGAGCGGCUCGCCUCCCUACCGCUCAUCGGAGUGGAACAACCAGCUGAUGCUUCUGCCGAUGGAAAGGGUCCCUACGCUACACAGAUUAGAGUUGGUUUUGGGCUGGGAACGGCGGUGGCCUGCCAGAGCGCAAGAUACCGACUGUGUAUGCUGGUGUCACCUGGUGUGGCAUUCGUGGGACCCAAGCGGCAGCGCCUCCUCGAUGAUGGCGGCGAGCGCGGACGUGUUGGACACCACCUCGUCGAUGUCCGUGCAGCCCGCUUCUUUCUCUGUAGGAAGGACGCGGUUACGCUCGCGUUGACAUCGGAUGACUUGGUCACAUGCACGGGAGGGGCGGUAUGACAUGGCACCGCCAAUGGCAGCCAUGAUGCCCGCGCCACCGUGCUCCCUCCCAGUGCCGACCUGGAGCAACUUGCCACUCCUCGGCUCGUGACCGGUGGGCUUGACAAGCCACCUAGCCAUUUUUUAUGCCAGACAACUCUUCUUCCUGCUCGUCAGAUGUCAUGGAUAAAACUGUUUAAGGAGGAAAAUGAUGAGUGGACGUGUGAUGCGGUUCUUGCCCAACAUCUGACAUUGUUUAAAUAGCGAGGGGACACGAGAGGAGCCAACCGGCGUUCUGUUUAAUGCUAACCGGCUCGCGAAUGAACAUGUGGCCGGAGUAAUUAUCCUGGCACACACGAGGGUUUAAUGGUGGAAGGCGGGCAGUCUGCAGGAAUGAGGCGAGGAUGUGUGCUUAGCCGGCGUGCAGCAGGCGGCGCCCUCGGCCGGCGUGCUGCUUCCAUUGCGGAGGCAGUGAGAGGUCGCGUCCGCUCUGCAGCGCAUGAAUGCGGGCCACUGGCGCAGAGCGGGAACGCGUGCGGGCGAGGGAGGAGGGGGUUUGGGCGGGUGGUUAGAAGAGGUCGUGGGUGUUGUCCGAACGCCUGCAAAUCCCCCCUCCAUGUUUAUCUCCAGUUUGCGGGAGAAAGUACGUCCGGACCGUCUCCAAUGGACCAAUACAGGCACGCAUUGGAUGGCACAACACGUCCGGACCAUGUGGUCCGGAUGGUUGUGAACAGUUUAAUUGAGGGUCGGCGUUGGAGAUGCCUUAGAGUUUAUGAAUCCAUUGUGUUUUUCUAAUCAUAAAAAAGCACUUACAAUAAGUUAUAAGGAAAGACACGUUUAUAUGUUAGGUUCAGACUCCAGCUUUCGUUUUACAUAUGCUUUAUUCAUCCGACUGAUUCCAAUAGAGUGAGCCUAGCGUUGUUUUUCUGGAAACUCGCGCGAUGAGGAGACAUGCAUACACAUUCUUUCAAGCAAAUCACAUCCAUUCUUUUUAACUCAUUUUUCUUCUUUUAAUAAUAUAAUAGAUCAUUUAUAUUUUUUAUCUGAAACAGUUGACGUGUAAUUUAUAUUGUAAUCUGAGAAUAAUGUUUGGAUUUUACUUUCAAAUAUAUUUGAAAUGGCCAUGAUGGAAUCACAUCCAUUUAUUUUGUUAUUAUUUGAAUUUGAUCCAAAAGAUUAAUAAUGAGUAGAGGUCAUGUCAACUUUUCUGAGAACUUUGCUAAUCAAAAUAUAAAUUUUAUUUAAAAACAUCUAUUUUUUAGCACGCAUGAAAAACAUAACACGUAUCUUUUCACACAUAAUGAACGGUUGUCAUAAGAACUCAUGCCAUGCCACAACCUCCCUCCGACCCUGCCAACAUUGUUGCAGCUGCACUCGCAAGCUUUAGCGUAGAUGAUAAUUUAUACAAUUUGCGUAAAACAAAAUAAGAUCUACAAAUGAAUAGAAGCUAGAACGUACAUUGGCAUGCACACACAUUGCAAGCCAUACUAACCUGAUAAGUGUUAAUAACUUGUACAACAUAUACAGCACUUAAGACAAGUAAAAGCAAUUUGAUGAGUCAUGGUCUAUCAAAGCCACAUUACUAGUCUAAUCCAUCUUAACAGGUCACACAUGAUUAAAAUCUUGUUUGUGUGCAAGUCAAGCUUAUCUAGUUUACAUGUAACAACUUGUAGAACAUUACAAAAUUUAUGUUUGCUAAUAACUUCUAGAACACUACAACACUUGACAUGUAAAAGGAAUUUGAUGAGUCAUGGCCUACUAAAGCAAGUUAUAUUACUAGUCUUAUCUACCUUAACAGGCCACACAAGAUUACAAACCAAGUUCUGUGCCAGCCAUGCUUAUCUAGUUUAUGCGUAACAAUUUGCAGAAAAUUACAAACUUAGUUUCAGAAAAAUAGGCAAUCUAGAUUAGUGUUUGAGCUGUAAAGUGAAUAAAAUGAGUCAUGCGUGUUAUCACACCUUUUUGGUUGUGGAAUGAUAGUGCAACAACAAGGAACUUUAAUGACCAGUUCAAGAAUACACUUGUAAGUAGAGCCACCGAACACAACAUACCAAAUUAUGAUUUUGAGAAGCAUCCAAGCACUUCCACACAAGCAAAUGCCAACUGUGAAAGAGAUCAUGCCAUGGCAGCUAUAAAUAGGCCCGUAGCAUGACGAUCAUCCUUCCUCAUCCAUCAUUCUCAUAAGUAGAGCGCAUCAUUUAAGCCAAGCAAGCAGUGCUCAAUACAAAUCCACCAUGAAGACCUUUCUCAUCCUUGCCCUCCUUGCUAUUGUAGCAACCACCGCCACAAUUGCAGUUAGAGUUCCAGUGCCACAAUUGCAGCCACAAAAUCCAUCUCAGCAACAACCACAAGAGCAAGUUCCAUUGGUACAACAACAGCAAUUUCCAGGGCAGCAACAACCAUUUCCACCACAACAGCCAUAUCCGCAGCCGCAACCAUUUCCAUCACAACAACCAUAUCUGCAGCUGCAACCAUUUCCGCAGCCGCAACUACCAUAUCCGCAGCCGCAACCAUUUCGACCACAACAACCAUAUCCACAACCGCAACCACAGUAUUCGCAACCACAACAACCAAUUUCGCAGCAGCAGCAACAACAACAACAACAACAACAACAACAACAACAAAUCCUUCAACAAAUUUUGCAACAACAACUGAUUCCAUGCAGGGAUGUUGUAUUGCAACAACACAACAUAGCGCAUGGAAGCUCACAAGUUUUGCAACAAAGUACUUACCAGCUGGUGCAACAAUUGUGUUGUCAGCAGCUGCGGUAGAUCCCCAAGCAGUCGCGGUGCCAAGCCAUCCACAAUGUUGUUCAUGCUAUUAUUCUGCAUCAACAACAACAACAACAACAACCGUUGAGCCAGGUCUCCUUCCAACAGCCUCAACAACAAUAUCCAUCAGGCCAGGGCUCCUUCCAGCCAUCUCAGCAAAACCCACAGGCCCAGGGCUCUGUCCAGCCUCAACAACUGCCCCAGUUUGAGGAAAUAAGGAACCUAGCGCUAGAGACGCUACCUGCAAUGUGCAAUGUCUAUAUCCCUCCAUAUUGCACCAUUGCUCAAGUUGGCAUCUUUGGUACUAACUGAGAAGAGAAGAACUCUAGUAGUAGAUAUAUGAUACACCGUUUUCUUAGUCCAUGGUUUGGUCGUUGUAGCGGUGAAAAAAUAAAGUGACAUGCACUAUCAUGUAAGAACCCGAACUAUACUAGUUCAAACAUGGGAAUAAAAGACAAACACAUGUCUUGUCUACAUAUGAUUGUUUGUUUGAGUUCCACUCAUGUGCCCACUCACAAGUUCACCCCUAAUUAUAUAUAUUAUGCAUUAAGUAGAUAUUUAUGUUGCAUUAAUCUAAAGAUAACAAAAUGAGUCUGAAAUUUGAAUUAAAUUGAAGUAUUUCCUUGGACUUUCAAAUGGAGUAUUAUUAAAGUAGUAAGGACUACCCACAUCCUUGGCUUGCCCUUGAUCAAUUAUUUCCAGAGAAGCGUUCAAUUCGUCAAUCAAUUACAUUGAUUUUUGUGGCUGGUACUUCUCCUCAACAUGAGUAUAUUCAUCGCGGCUACUCCAAAUAGGCAUGAAUGAGGUACUGGUGCUCUGGAGCACUGGUACCUAACUGCUUCUCAUGUGAAGGGGUGCGGGCGCGGGAGAGGUGUUUUUGGUGGGCCAGGGGAGUAAGAAUCGGCCGUGGCAGCGGUCCAGACGCCCACAAAGCCCCGUAGUUUGUUUUUGGUUUACAGGAAAAUGCACAUCCAGACCGGCCUGCAGGCCGAUAUAGGACCGUAUUGGAUGGCAAAACAUGUCCGGAUGGUCACGAGCAGUUUAAGGGUUAGCUUUUGUAACGCCCGGUUAGUUAUGCUAUGGUAAUUCCCUGCUAAUGAUGUCACGUCAGCACGAUUACUGUUGUUAACCUCACAAUGAUUCAAUCCCAUUCAAAUUCAAAUUUAAAAUAAAGGCAAACAUCAAAAGUUUCAAACAUUAAAACUAAAAUCUUCGAGAGGUGAAAAAUAAUGCAUAAGUAAUUAUGGUGGAGAAACCACACUUUUAUAAAAUGUUUAAAUACUCUAAAAAUAAUAAAACAGUGGCUUAAACUAUUAUUUAAAUGAUUUUAAAAUAGUAAACAUGUUCUAACUAAAUUAAUUGGGUACCAAACUUUUGGUGGCAGUGGUAUAUUUAGUAGAACUAAUUUAGAUGCUAAUGAAACAUAAAAGGAAAGACAAAACAAAUAAAAGUAAAAGGGGGCAACCCCUCGCUGGGCCUCGACCAAGCUGGCCACUGGGCUAGCUAGGUUGGCCCAACCGCCUCCCUUAACCCCCCACUCCCCAUCGAACCCUAGACCGAUCGCCCCACUUCCCCCACACCCCCUCGUCAGCCUCCCCACCUCUCGAUCCCAUCCAGAUCGGGGAGGGNNNNNNNNNNNNNNNNNNNNNNNNNNNNNNNNNNNNNNNNNNNNNNNNNNNNNNNNNNNNNNNNNNNNNNNNNNNNNNNNNNNNNNNNNNNNNNNNNNNNNNNNNNNNNNNNNNNNNNNNNNNNNNNNNNNNNNNNNNNNNNNNNNNNNNNNNNNNNNNNNNNNNNNNNNNNNNNNNNNNNNNNNNNNNNNNNNNNNNNNNNNNNNNNNNNNNNNNNNNNNNNNNNNNNNNNNNNNNNNNNNNNNNNNNNNNNNNNNNNNNNNNNNNNNNNNNNNNNNNNNNNNNNNNNNNNNNNNGAGGGGAUCGCCCCCAUCGACCCCGUCGCGGUCGCCGGACCUCCUCCCCGUCGCACGUCUCCGGCUCUCCUCCCCUCUCGCUCCUCUUCCCCGACCCGAUCUGGAUCGGGAAGGGCCAAUGAGCCCAAGCCCCCUCCAUCGACGCUGUGCGCCAGCACCGCCGCCCGAAGACCUCGCCGUCGCCGGACCUCGCGUCGCCUCCUCGUAUCCCUCCCCGACUCGCCUCCUCAAGCCACGCCAACCCCCUUCUCGGCAACGCUGUGAGCCGCCCCCGUUUCCCUCCUUCUCUUUCCACCGUGUUCACCGCGCCGCCUGCCGUGCCCCUCGCCGCGCGCAUGCCCACCACCGCGCCAGCCCCAGCUCCGCGCCCUCUCCUGCACGCUUGUGCGCGCAUGACCCUAACCGCGCCCACGCCGUGAACCCCUUGUCCCGCCCGCCUUCGUUCCGCGCUCGCCGCGGCCCCCAUGCUCCCCUGCGCCCUCUUUUGGGGGCGUCGGCUGCCCCUGUCCCACUGCUCGCUGGCAUGCUGAAGGAAAUAUGCCCUAGAGGCAAUAAAUAAAGUAUUAUUUAUUUCCUUAUAUCAUGAUAAAUUUUUAUUAUUCAUGCUAGAAUUGUAUUAACCGGAAACAUAAUACAUGUGUGAAUACAUAGACAAACAGUGUGUCACUAGUAUGCCUCUACUUGACUAGCUCGUUAAUCAAAGAUGGUUAUAUUUCCUAGCCAUAGACAUGAGUUGUCAUUUGAUUAACGGGAUCACCUCAUUAGGAGAAUGACGUGAUUGACUUGACCCAUUCCGUUAGCUUAGCACCCGAUCGUUUAGUAUGUUGCUAUUGCUUUCUUCAUGACUUAUACAUGUUCCUAUGACUAUGAGAUUAUGCAACUCCCGUUUACCGGAGGAACACUUUGUGUGCUACCAAACAUCACAACGUAAAUGGGUGAUUAUAAAGGUGCUCUACAGGUGUCUCCAAAGGUACUUGUUGGGUUGGCGUAUUUCGAGAUUAGGAUUUUUCACUCCGAUUGUCGGAGAGGUAUCUCUGGGCCCACUCAGUAAUGCACAUCACUAUAAGCCUUGCAAGCAUUGUGACUAAUGAGUUAGUUGCAGGAUGAUGUAUUACGGAACGAGUAAAGAGACUUGCCGGUAACGAGAUUGAAAUAGGUAUCGAGAUACCGACGAUCGAAUCUCGGGCAAGUAACAUCCCGAUGACAAAGGGAACAACGUAUGUUGUUAUGCGGUCUGACCGAUAAAGAUCUUCGUAGAAUAUGUAGGAACCAAUAUGAGCAUCCAGGUUCCGCUAUUGGUUAUUUACCGGAGAGGUGUCUCGGUCAUGUCUACAUAGUUCUCAAACCCGUAGGGUCCGCACGCUUAAAGUUACGAUGAUAGUUAUAUUAUGUGUUUAUAUGUUUUGAUGCACCGAAGGUUGUUCGGGGUCCCGGAUGUGAUCACGGACAUGACGAGGAGUCUCGAAAUGGCCGAGACAUAAAGAUUGAUAUAUUGGACGACUAUAUUCGGACACCGGAAGUGUUCCGGAGAAGUUUCGGAUAAAACCGGAGUGCCGGAGGGGUUACCGGAACCCCCCGGGGAAGUAUUGGGCCUUAGUGGGCCUUCAGGGGAGAGAGAGGGCAGCAGCGAGGAGGUGGCGCGCCCCCUCCCAUGAGGAGUCCGAAUUGGACUAGGGGAGGGGGCGCAGCCCCUCUUUCCCUCUCCCUCUCCCUCUCUUUCCUUCCCCCCCUCUCUUCCUAGUUGGACUAGGAAAGGGGAGUCCUACUCCUACUAGGAGGAGGACUCCCCUCUCUCUCCUUGGCGUGCCAAAGGGCAGCCGGCCUCCCCCUUGCUCCUUUAUAUACGGGGGCAGGGGGCACCUCUAGGCACACUUGAUAUACGAUAUUUUAGCCGUGUGCGAUGCCCCCCUCCACCAUAUUACACCUCGAUAAUACCGUUGCGGAGCUUAGGCGAAACCCUGCGUCGGUGGAACAUCAUCAUCGUCACCACGCCAUCAUGCUGACGAAACUCUCCUUCAACACUCGGCUGGAUCGGAGUUCGAGGGAUGUCAUCGAGCUGAACGUGUGCUGAACUCGGAGGUGCCGUGCGUUCGGUACUUGAUCGGUCGGAUCGUGAAGACGUACGACUACAUCAACCGCGUUGUGAUAACGCUUCCGCUGUCGGUCUACGAGGGUACGUGGACAACACUCUCCCCUCUCGUUGCUAUGCAUCACCAUGAUCUUGCGUGUGCGUAGGAAAUUUUUUGAAAUUACUACAUUCCCCAACACAUGUGUCCCCGCCCGCGCCUCGCCACCGCUCUACUGCUACGCUACUAUUGCGCUGUGGCCGCCGCCGCUUCCCGCUGCUCUGCCAGCGCCAAAGCUCCCGGUUGGCCCUGCCGCUGCUCGCGUUUAACCGCCGGCAUCCCCUAACCUCCCCCCCUCGCUAAUGAACCCCCACCGACCCGCUGAUACCGGGACCCACAUCCCCUAAUUAACCAUUUAAUAAAUUAAAACUCUUAAAUUAACAUUAGUGUAUGACAUGUGGGUCCCCUAUUAAUUAAACUGAUUUAAUUAAAAUCUAUUAACUUUGAGUCUAUGACAUAUGGGCCCCACUAAACAUUUGACCAGCCAACGGUCCAGUCAAAUGCUGACCGGACAGUUGACCAGAGGGCCCCGCCAGUCAGCCAAUGUGUUGUUCUGCUGGGUACCUUUCUAAGUACACCUAGCAUUUUGCAUUUACAAUAUUUGUUUUAAAAUAAAUUAGAAUAAUUUCAAAAAAAGAUUAAAACUUUUAAAAUUAAAAUAAAAUAAUCCGUAACUGGAUGAAAUUACUUUAUACAUGGAAGUUGCUCAAAAAACGAGACGAAUCCGAAUACACAGUCCGUUCGUCUGCCACGCGUCCCUAGCAUAGCGAACAUGCAACCAUCCCCCUCCGGUUCGACUGUCCGAAAAAUUAUUAUUGCACAUGCCCGCUAAGAGGUUGGCUGUAUAUGACAUGACAAAUUCUUAUAGCCGACCCUUGGCUGUAUUAUUAACCAUGCUCUUAGUGAGGUAGCUAGUAUAUCAUAGACGACUAGCUUGUAUCAGACUAGCCAAAGUGGGAGUAACUUCAGCAGUAACAUCGACUCCAACUCAGCAAACUUGCUUAUGUGGGAGUAAACCGUGCCCAAUGCAAAAUACAAUCCCAGUCGUAAUUUUUUCAGGAAACGUGUGGGAUCCCAAACGAAAAGCACACGUCACUCUUGCGGCAACCGUCGGUGACACCCAAUAAAUCACAAACGGUCUGCAGCACUUGUAUGUGUGCAAAGGGGCUCCUGAACCGUUUGUGAUAGAACAUUAUCGCAGACGGUAAUUGUUGCCAAACGUGUGCGAUGGAGUCUAGCAUGGCAGACGGGUUACGCAGAAAACUCGUGUGCGAUGGGGCACAAAUCGCACACAGUUCAUAUGUUGGCCCAUGUGCCUUACAUACUAUUUCCCAAAUGGUUUGUUACGAUAGACCGUCUCGUUUCAGUGCGUCAUUAGAAACGCUUAAUCACUGAUACGACACGUGCGAAAGAAUUUAGUGCAUGCUGCAUCGCACACGAUUACAUUUUGGAAGGCCUCUGGAUCACUACUCCAUAUCCCCGGCGGUUUCUGGGCCGUGUGGGAAGGACACCCUAUCGCACACACUCACUUGGCAACGGUUCCAAAUGCUGUCGCGGAAAGGGGUUAAAAACAGUUUGUUUAGGACCGAAGCGUACCAGUGUCUAUCUAUCUAUCUAUCUAUCUAUCUAUCUAUCUAUCCAUCCAUCUAUCUAUCUAUCUAUCUAUCUAUCCAUCUAUCCAUCUAUCUAUCUCAAUCCACCUAUCUAUGUAUCCAUCUAUCCAUCUAUCUAUCUCUCCAUCUAUCCAUCUAUCUAUCCAUCUAUCCACCCAUCUACUAUCCAUCUAUCUAUCCAUCCAUCCAUCCAUCUAUCCAUCCAUCUAUCUAUCUAUCUAUCUAUUUAUCUAUCUAUCUAUCUAUCUACCUAUCUAUCUAUCCAUCUAUUCAUCUAUCUAUCUAUGUAUCCAUUUAUCCAUUGAUCCAUCUAUCGAUCCAUCGAUCCAUCCAUCCAUCCAUCUAUCCAUCCAUCAAUAUAUCCAUGUAUCCAUGUAUCCAUGUAUCUAUCUAUCGAUCUAUCCAUCUAUCUAUCUAUCUAUCCAUCUAUCCAUUUAUCGAUCUAUCCAUCUAUCUAUCUAUCCAUCGAUCUAUCGAUCUAUCGAUCUAUCGGUCUAUCGGUCUAUCCAUCUAGCGAUCUAUCCAUCUCUCCAUCUACCCAUCUAUCCAUCUAUUCAUCUACCGAUCUAUCUAUCCAUCUAUCUAUCUAGCUAUCUAGCUAUCUAGCUAUCUAGCUAUCUAUCUAUCUAUCUAUCUAGCUAUCUAGCUAUCUAUCUAUCUAGUUAUCUAGCUAUCUAUCUGUCUACCUACCUACCUACCUACCUACCUAUCUAUCUAUCUAUCUAUCUAUCUACCUAUCUAAAGGAAAUAUGCCCUAGAUGCAAUAAUAAAGUUGUUAUUUAUAUUUCCUUAUAUCAUGAUAAACUAGCGGAGUCACCCGCGCAUUUGCGCGGCUAGAUUGACUACAUAUAUUGUUAUAUUUGGGAUUAUUUUUCUAUGCCAAUUUUAUGGCCUCUUACUCAGAUAUUAUCUAAUUGAAUUUACCACCACCAUAUGUUAUAUCCAUAGAUUAUAAUUAAAAGGCAACUUCCGACGAAACAUGGACAGAUUAUUGAGUGCUCAGAAGACGGACGCAAUAUCAUAUAUAGACUUCUAUAGCAAUCUUCAUGGUUCCCAUCUUUGAUCCUCUCCUCGUCCCUUGGUAUCUAUCUUUGCACCCAAUGUCUUUGGAGUUCCAAGAAUUGAAUCUUAGCAUGAAUGGCUUCAAUGUGUACCAAAUGUUCUCUUGUUCCUCCCAAAUUAAUUACUGGUUGCAUUCUUAGUUGCUUUGACAUUCUUGGUUAAUGCAAUGUCUUGCCUACCAAUAUAUGCAUCCACACACGAUCAUAUUUAUAUUACCACUUACCUCUGUAUUCUGGUAUUUGUGCUUCAGAAUUUUUCUCUCAUUCAGUUUAUUCAUAGAUUAAAAACGUCGAUCGUUUCUUUAUUGGUUUGCAUUAUCUUGUUUGCCGAACGUAAGCAUCCACACAUGCUCGUCAUGAUAUGAUUGGUCAUCAUUGUAUAUUUGUAUUUGUGUGUUGAUAGCUUAAGGAUUUUCUCGGAUUCACUUCAUAGUUUAAGGAUUUUCUCGCCUUCAAUUUAUUCUACCUUAUUCAUUUUCAUGUUUCUUUAUUCCAUUUAUAUCAAUUCUUACAAUAUAUUUUCCAAGAUAUGAACUCAACUACUAAUUACGUAGUUUUUCAUCAAAAUUUACAUGUAAAAAUGGUACAAAUGCAUAAAGAUGAUAAAAAUAUAUAUCAUAUUCCAUUGAGAGAACGCCCAUUUAAAAAAACACGUUGACUUACAAAAAGGACAAUUCAAGCUGCAUGUACGUCCGACUCAUGUUUACCUGACAAUGUCGAUGUUGAUUUCAGCAGUAAAUGAGCUGUGUGUGACCUUUGCGCUUUCCGGUAUUCUUCUAACCUGUGUGCUUUAUGAUCAGUUUGUUGUGCUUAGUACUGGACAUUGGAGUACACUAUCAUAUUUGGUACAAAUAAAUCUGAACUACUAUAGUUAUGAUCCACUGUAUAGUUAAUGGUGGUGGUAAUUAAUAUAUGUGGUUAAAUACUUGCGCUCCUUAGGUGGGGAGUUGGAUUUGUAUUUCCCUAAAAUAAAUUUCAGAUUUCGUCAUAGUGGUGAAGCCAGCCGGAAGAACCUCUGCGUCAUUAUUAAUUUUGGUGAUAUUUUUCUUCAUAGUGUAGAAUAAUUUUAGUGCUUAUUCCGCAAAUAAUAUGGCCUCAACUGACCCCAUAGCUUGUAUGUUGCGCCACCACUGUUUCCUAUAUCUUAUUACAUCCGUUGUUUUUAGAUCUUGAUGCAUAACUUUGACAAUUUUUAAUAGAUAUGUGUCUGUAUAAAAAAUUAUAAAUGCUAUGAUUAAUUAUGAUGAAUAAAAUGUUAUUGCUCUGACUUGAUCCCUCUUGAAUUUUCCAAAAUUUCACAUUACAGUUGUAGUAGUGCAUGCUACCUCUUGAGCACUGCGUUAGUUUUCCCUUGAAGAGGAAAGGGUGAUGCAGUAAAGCAGCGUCAGUAUUUCCCUCAGUUUUUGAGAACCAAGGUAUCAAUCCAGUACGAGGCCACGCACGAGUCCCUCGCACCUACACAAACAAAUAAAAUCCUCGCAACCAACGCAAUAAAGGGGUUGUCAAUCCCUUCAUGGUCACUUACGAAAGUGAGAUCUGAUAGAUUUGAUAAGAUAAUAUUUUUGGUAUUUUUAUGAUAAAGAUGCAACGUAAAGAAAGCAAAAUAAAAACAGCGCCAGAAAUAGCUUGUUGACGGGAGAUUAAAUAUGAUGGAAAAUAGACCAGGUGGCCAUAGGUUUCACUAGUGGCUUCUCUCGAGAGCAUAAGUAUUUCGGUGGGUAGACAAAUUACUGUUGAGCAAUUGACAGAAUUGAGCAUAGUUAUGAGAAUAUCAAGGUAUGAUCAUGUAUAUAGGCAUCACGUCUGAGGCAAGUAGCCCGACUCCUGCCUGCAUCUACUACUAUUACUCCACACAUCGACUGCUAUCCAGCAUGCAUCUAGAGUAUUAAGUUCAAAAGAACAGAGUAACGCUUUAAGUAAGAUGACAUGAUGUAGAGGGAUAAACUCAUGCAAUAUGAUAUAAACCCCAUCUUGUUAUCCUCGAUGGCAACAAUACAAUACGUGCCUUGCUGCUCCUACUAUCACUGGGAAUGGACACCACAAGAUUGAACCCAAAGCUAAGCACUUCUCCCAUUGCAAGAAAGAUCAAUCUAGUAGGCCAAACCAAAAUGAUAAUUCGAAGAGACUUGUAAAGAUAACCAAUCAUACAUAAAAGAAUUUAGACAAGAUUCAAAUAUUGUUCAUAGAUAAACUAGAUCAUAAACCCACAAUUCAUCGGUCUCAACAAACACACCGCAAAAGAAGAUUACAUCGAAUAGAUCUUCAUAAGAGAGGGGGAGAACAUUGUAUUGAGAUCCAAAAAGAGAGAAGAAGCCAUCUAGCUAAUAACUAUGGACCCGAAGGUCUGAGGUAAACUACUCACAAAUCAUCGGAGAGGCUAUGGUGUUGAUGUAGAAGCCCUCCAUGAUCGAUGCCCCCUCCGGCGGAGCUCCGGAAAAGGCCCCAAGAUGGGAUCUCACGGGUCCAGAAGGUUGCGGAGAUGGAAUUAGGUUUUUGGCUCCGUAUCUGGUAGUUUGGGGGUACGUAGGUAUAUAUAGGAGAAAGAAGUACGUCGGUGGAGCAACGUGGGCCCCACGAGGGCGCGCCCCCCUACCUCGUGCCUUCCUAGUAGAUUUCUGGACGUAGGGUCCAAGUCCUCUAGAUCACGUUCGUUCCCAAAAUCACGUUUCCGAAGGUUUCAUUCCGUUUGGACUCCGUUUGAUAUUCUUUUUCUGUGAAACUCUGAACUAGGCAAAAAAUAGCAAUUCUGGGGUGGGCCUCCGGUUAAUAGGUUAGUCCCAAAAAUAAUAUAAAAGUGUAUAAUAAAGCCCAUUAAUGUCCAAAACAGAAUAUAAUAUAGCAUGGAACAAUAAAAAAUUAUAUAUACGUUGGAGACAUAUCAAGCAUCCCCAAGCUUAAUUCCUGCUCGUCCUCGAGUAGGUAAAUGAUAAAAACGGAAUUUUUGAUGUGGAAUGCUACUUGGCAUAAUUUCAAUGUAAUUCUCUUAAUUGUGGUAUGAAUAUUCAGACCCGAAAGAUUCAAGACAAAAGUUUAAUACUGACAUAAAAAUAAUAAUACUUCAAGCAUACUAGCUAAGCAAUUAUGUCUUCUCAAAAUAACAUGGCCAAAGAAAGUUAUCCCUACAAAAUCAUAUAGUCUAGCUAUGCUCUAUCUUCACCACACAAAGUAUUUAAAUUAUGCACAACCCCGAUGACAAGCCAAGCAAUUGUUUCAUACUUUUGAUGUUCUCAAACUUUUUCAAUCUUCACGCAAUACGUGAGCAUGAGCCAUGGACAUAGCACUAUAUGUGGAAUAGAAUGGUGGUUGUGGAGAAGACAAAAAAGGAGAAGAUAGUCUCACAUCAACUAGGCGUAUCAACGGGCUAUGGAGAUGCCCAUUAAUAGAUAUCAAUGUGAGUGAGUAGGAAUUGCCAUGCAACGGAUGCACUAGAGCUAUAAGUAUAUGAAAGCUCAACAAAAGGAACUAAGUGGGUGUGCAUCCAACUCGCUUGCUCAUGAAUACCUAGGGCAUUUUGAGGAAGCCCAUCAUUGGAAUAUACAAGCCAAGUUCUAUAAUGAAAAUUUCCCACUAGUACAUGAAAGUGAUAUCAUAGGAGACUCUCUAUCAUGAAGAUCAUGGUGCUACUUUGAAGAACAAGUGUGGUAAAAGGAUAGUAACAUUGUCCCUUCUCUCUUUUUCUCUCAUUUUUUUAUUUGGGUCUUUUAUCCUUUUUUUAUGGCCUCUUUUUUUUAGUCCGAAGUCUCAUCCCGACUUGUGGGGGAAUCGUAGUCUCCAUCAUCCUUUCCUCACUUGGGAAAAUGCUCUAAAAAAAUGAUGAUCAUCACACUUUUAUUUACUUACAACUCAACAAUUACAAAUCAAUACUUAGAACAAAAUAUGACUCUAUGUGAAUGCCUCCGGCGGUAUACCGUGAUAUGCAAUGAAUCAAGAGUCACAUGUAUGAAAGAAUUAUGAACGGUGGCUUUGCCACAAAUACAAUGUCAACUACAUGAUCAUGGAAAGCAAUAUGACAAUGAUGGAGCGUGUCAUAAUAAACUGAACGGUGGUAAGUUGCAUGGCAAUAUAUCUCGGAAUGGCUAUGGAAAUGCCAUGGUAGGUAGGUAUGGUGGCUGUUUUGAGGAAGGUAUAUGGUGGGUGUAUGAUACCGGCGAAAAGUGCGCGGUAUUAGAGAGGCUAGCAAUGGUGGAAGGAAGAAAGUGCGUAUAAUCCAUGGACUCAACAUUAGCCAUAAAGAACUAAUAUACUUAUUGCAAAAAUCUACAAGUUAUCGAAGCAAAGUAUUACCCGCAUCAUCCUAGGGGGAUAGAUUGCUAGGAAAAGACCAUCGCUCGUCCCCGACCGCCACUCAUAAGGAAGACAAUCAAUAAAUAAAUCAUGCUCCGACUUCAUCACAUAACGGUUCACCAUACGUGCAUGCUAAGGGAAUCACAAACUUUAACACAAGUAUUUCGCAAAUUCAAAACUACUCAACUAGCAUGACUCUAAUAUCACCAUCUCCAUAUCUCAAAACAAUUAUCAAGUAUCAAACUUCUCAUAGUAUUCAACACACUCAUAAGAUUUUUUUACUAAUCUUGAGUGCCUAUCAUAAUUAAAGCAAAUUACCACGCUGUUUUGUAGGACUAUCAAAAUAAUCUAAGUGAAUCAUGAGAGAACAAUAGUUUCUAUAAAACAAAACCACCACCAUGCUCUAAAAGAUAUACAUGAAGCACUAGAGCAAAAACUAUAUAGCUCAAAAGAUAUAAGUGAAGCACAUAGAGUAUUCUAACAAUUUCCGAAUCAUGUGUGUCUCUCUCAAAAGGUGUGUACUGCAAGGAUUAUUGUGGCAAACUAACAAAUAAAGACUUCAAAUAAUACAAGACGCUCCAAGCAAAACACAUAUCAUGUGGUGAAUAAAAAUAUAGCUCCAAGUAAAGUUACCGAUGGAAGUAGACGAAAGAGGGGAUGCCUUCCGGGGCAUCCCCAAGCUUUGGCUUUUAGGUGUCCUUAGAUUAUCUUGGGGUGCCAUGGGCAUCCCCAAGCUUAGGCUCUUGCCACUCCUUGUUUCAUAAUCCAUCAAAUCUUUCACCCAAAACUUGAAAACUUCACAACACAAAACUCAGCAGAAAAUCUCGUGAGCUCCGUUAGCGAAAGAAAAAAAAACACCACUUCAAGGUACUGUAAUGAACUCAUUCUUUAUUUAUAUUGGUGUUAAACCUACUGUAUUCCAACUUCUCUAUGGUUUAUAAACUAUUUUACUAGCCAUAGAUUCAUCAAAAUAAGCAAACAACACACGAAAAACAGAAUCUGUCAAAAACAGAACAGUCUGUAGUAAUCUGUAACUAACGCAAUUUUCUGGGACUCCAAAAAUUGACCCAAAAUAGGAAGACCUAGAAUUUUUUUUUUAUUGAUCAGCAGCAAUUGGAAUCAAUAUUUUAUCACGUCCUGGUGAUUUUUAACAAUUAUUUUCGUGAACAGAAAGUUUCUGGAAUAUUCAGCAAGAUCAAAUAACUAUCAUCCAAGAAGAUCCUAUAGGUUAAACUUGGCACAAACACUAAUUAAAACAUAAAAACACAUGUAAACAGAGGCUAGAUCAAAUAUUUAUUCCUAAAAAAAGCAAAAAGCAAAAAAACUAAAAAUAAAAUUGGGUUGCCUCCCAACAAGCGCUAUCGUUUAACGCCCCUAGCUAGGCAUAAUAGCAAGGAUAGAUCUAGGUAUUGCCAUCUUUGGUAGGCAAUCCAUAAGUGGCUCUCAUAAUAGAUUCAUAAGGUAAUUUUAUUUUCUUUCUAGGGAAGUGUUCCAUGCCUUUCCUUAAUGGAAUUUGGAAUCUAAUAUUCCCUUCCUUCGUAUCAAUAAUUGCACCAAUCGUUCUAAGGAAAGGUCUGCCAAGAAUAAUAGGACAUGAAGGAUUGCAAUCUAUAUCAAGAACAAUAAAAUCUACGGGCACAUAAUUCCUAUUUGCAACAAUAAGCACAUCAUCAAUUCUUCCCAUAGGUUUCUUAAUGGUGGAAUCCACAAGGUGCAAGUUUAAAGAGCAAUCAUCAAAAUCACGGAAACCUAGCAAAUCGCACAAAGUCUUUGGAAUCGUGGAAACACUAGCACCCAAAUCACACAAAGCAUAGCAUUCAUGAUCUUUAAUUUUAAUUUUAAUAGUAGGUUCCCACUCAUCAUAAAUUUUUCUAGGGAUAGAAACUUCCAACUCAAGUUUUUCUUCAUAAGAUUGCAUCAAAGCAUCAACGAUAUGUUUAGUAAGGCUUUAUUUUGACUAUAAGCAUGUGGAGAAUUUAGCACGGAUUGCAACAAGGAAAUAAAAUCUAUCAAAGAGCAAUUAUCAUAAUUAAAUUCCAUGAAAUCCAAAAUAGUGGGUUCAUUAAUAUCUAGAGUUUUGAUUUCUUCAAUCCCACUUUUACCAAUUUUUGCAUCAAGAUCUAAAAACUCCGAAUUUUUGGAACGCCUUCUAGGUAGAGGUGGAUCAUAUUCAGUCCCAUCAUUAUCAAGAUUCAUAUUGCAAAACAAAGAUUUAAUAGGGGACACAUCAAUAACUUUUAGAUCUUCAUCUUUAUUUUCAUAGAAACUAGAAGAACACGCUUUCACAAAAACAAUCUUUCUUAGCACGCAUCCUAGCGGUUCUUUCUUUGCACUCAUCAAUGGAAAUUCUCAUGGCCUUGAGAGACUCAUUGAUAUCAUGCUUAGGAGAAAUUCUAUCAGUGUUCCUAGCCAAUUCAUCAACUUUAAGCAAUUUUUCUUCAAGCAAAGCAUUGAAAUUCAUUUGCGAAUUCAUAAAUUCUUUAACACUAGUCUCAAAUUAAGAAGGCAUCUUAUUAAAAUUUCCAUAAUAAUUGUUGUAGGAAUUACCAUAAUUAUUAGAGGAAUUACUGGGAUACGGCCUUGGAUUAAAGUUUCCUCUAUACGCGUUGUUACCAAAAUUAUUCCGACCAACAAAAUUCACAUCCAUGAAGGAAAUAUGCCCUAGAGGAAAUAAUAAAGUUAUUAUUUAUUUCCUUAUAUCAUGAUAAAUGUUUAUUAUUCAUGAUAGAAUUGUAUUAACCGGAAACAUAAUACAUGUGUGAAUACAUAGACAAACAGAGUGUCACUAGUAUGCCUCUACUUGACUAGCUCGUUAAUCAAAGAUGGUUAUGUUUUCUAGCCAUAGACAUGAGUUGUCAUUUGAUUAACGGGAUCACCUCAUUAGGAGAAUGACGUGAUUGACUUGACCCAUUCCAUUAGCUUAGCACUCGAUCGUUUAGUAUGUUGCUAUUGCUUUCUUCAUGACUUAUACAUGUUCCUAUGACUACGAGAUUAUGCAACUCCCGUUUACCGGAGGAACACUUUGUGUGCUACCAAACGUCACAACGUAACUGGGUGAUUAUAAAGGUGCUCUACAGGUGUCUCCAAAGGUACCUGUUGGGUUGGCGUAUUUCGAGAUUAGGGUUUGUCACUCCGAUUGUCGGAGAGGUAUCUCUGGGCCCACUCGGUAAUGCACAUCACCAUAAGCCUUGCAAGCAUUGUGACUAAUGAGUUAGUUGCGGGGUGAUGUAUUACGGAACGAGUAAAGAGACUUGCCGAUAACGAGAUUGAACUAGGUAUCAAGACACCGACGAUCGAAUCUUGGGCAAGUAACAUACCGAUGACAAAGGGAACAACGUAUGUUGUUAUGCGGUCUGACCGAUAAAGAUCUUCAUAGAAUAUGUGGGAACCAAUAUGGGAAUCCAGGUUCCGCUAUUGGUUAUUGACCGGAGAAGUGUCUCGGUCAUGUCUACAUAGUUCUCAAACCCGUAGGGUCCGCACGCUUAAAGUUACGAUGACAAUUAUAUUAUGAGUUUAUAUGUUUUGAUGCACUGAAGGUUGUUCGGAGUCCCGGAUGUGAUCACGGACAUGACGAGGAGUCACGAAAUGGUCGAGACAUAAAGAUUGAUAUAUUGGACGACUAUAUUCGGACACGGAAGUGUUCCAGAGAAGUUUCGGAUAAAACUGGCGUGCCGGAGGGGUUACCGGAACCCCCCGGGGAAGUAUUGGGCCUUAGUGGGCCUUGAGGGGAGAGAGAGGGCAGCAUCCAGGAGGUGGCGCCCCCCCUCCCAUGAGGAGUCCUAAUUGGACUAGGAGAGGGGGGCGCAGCCCCUCUUUCCCUCUCCCUCUCCCUCUCCCUCUCUUUCCUUCCCCCCUCUCUUCCUAGUUGGACUAGGAAAGGGGAGUCCUACUCCUACUAGGAGGAGGACUCCCCCCCUCUCCUUGGCGCGCCCAAGGCAGCCGGCCUCCCCCUUGCUCCUUUAUAUACGGGGGUAGGGGGGCACCUCUAGACACACUUGAUAUACGAUAUUUUAGCCGUGUGCGGUGCCCCCUCCACCAUAUUACACCUCGAUAAUACCGUUGCGGAGCUUAGGCGAAGCCCUGCGUCGGUGGAACAUCAUCAUCGUCACCACGCCGUCGUGCUGACGAAACUCUCCCUCAACACUCGGCUGGAUCGGAGUUCGAGGGAUGUCAUCGAGCUGAACGUGUGCUGAACUCGGAGGUGCCGUGCGUUCGGUACCUGAUCGGUCGGAUCAUGAAGACGUACGACUACAUCAACCGCGUUGUGAUAACGCUUCCGCUGUCGGUCUACGAGGGUACGUGGACAACACUCUCCCCUCUUGUUGCUAUGCAUCACCAUGAUCUUGCGUGAGCGUAGGAAAUUUUUUGAAAUUAAUACGUUCCCCAACAGUGGUAUCAGAGCCUGAUUUUAUGCGUUGAUGUUAUGCACGAGUAGAACACAAGUGAGUUGUGGGCGAUAUAAGUCAUACUGCUUACCAGCAUGUCAUACUUUGGUUCAGCGUUAUUGUGAGAUGAAGCGGCCCGGACCGACAUUACGCGUACGCUUACGCGAGACUGGUUUCACCGUUGCGAGAACUCGUUGCUUAAAGGUGACUGGCGGGUGUCUGUUUCUCUCACUUUAGUUGAACCGAGUGUGGCUACGCCCGGUCCUUGCGAAGGUUAAAACAACACCAACUUGACAAACUAUCGUUGUGGUUUUGAUGCGUAGGUAAGGACGGUUCUUGCUAAGCCCGUAGCAGCCACGUAAAACUUGCAACAACAAAGUAGAGGACGUCUAACUUGUUUUUGCAGGGCAUGUUGUGAUGUCAUAUGGUCAAGACAUGAUGCUAUAUUUUAUUGUAUGAGAUGAUCAUGUUUUGUAACCGAGUUAUCGGCAACUGGCAGGAGCCAUAUGGUUGUCGCUUUAUUGUAUGCAAUGCAAUCGCCAUGUAAUUGUUUUACUUUAUCACUAAGCGGUAGCGAUAGUCGUAAAAGCAAUAAGUUGGCGAGACGACAACGAUACUACGAUGGAGAUCAAGGUGUCGCGCCGGUGACGAUGGUGAUCAUGACGGUGCUUCGGAGAUGGAGAUCACGAGCACGGUGCUUCGGAGAUGGAGAUCACAAGCACAAGAUGAUGAUGGCUAUAUCAUAUCACUUAUAUUGAUUGCAUGUGAUGUUAAUCUUUUAUGCAUCUUAUCUUGCUUUGAUUGACGGUAGCAUUAUAAGAUGAUCUCUCACUAAAAUUUCAAGAUAAAAGUGUUCUCCCUGAGUAUGCACCGUUGCGAAAAUUCUUCGUGCUGAGACACCACGUGAUGAUCGGGUGUGAUAGGCUCUACGUUCAAAUACAAUGGGUGCAAAACAGUUGCACACGCAGAAUACUCAGGUUAAACUUGACGAGCCUAGCAUAUGCAGAUAUGGCCUCGGAACACGGAGACCCAAAGGUCGAGCGUGAAUCAUAUAGUAGAUAUGAUCAACAUAGUGAUGUUCACCGUUGAAACUACUCCAUCUCACGUGAUGAUCGGACAUGGUUUAGUUGAUAUGGAUCACGUGAUCACUUAGAGGAUUAGAGGGAUGUCUAUCUAAGUGGGAGUUCUUAAAUAAUAUGAUUAAUUGAACUUAAAUUUAUCAUGAACUUAGUCCUGAUAGUAUUUUUGCAAAUUAUGUUGUAGAUCAAUAGCUCGCGUUGUUGCUUCCCUGUGUUUAUUUUUGAUAUGUUCCUAGAGAAAAUUAUGUUGAAAGAUGUUAGUAGCAAAGAUGCGGAUUGGAUCCGUGAUCUGAGGAUUAUCCUCAUUGCUGCACAGAAGAAUUAUGUCCUUGAUGCACCGCUAGGUGACAGACCUAUUGCAGUAGCAGAUGCAGACGUUAUGAACGUUUGGCUAGCUCAAUAUGAUGACUACUUGAUAGUUUAGUGCACCAUGCUUAACGGCUUAGAAUCGGGACUUCAAAGACGUUUUGAACGUCAUGGACCAUAUGAGAUGUUCCAGGAGUUGAAGUUAAUAUUUCAAGCAAAUACCCAAGUUGAGAGAUAUGAAGUCUCCAACAAGUUCUAUAGCUAAAAGAUGGAGGAGAAUAGCUCAAGCAGUGAGCAUGUGCUCAGAUUGUCUGGGUACUACAAUCGCUUGAAUCAAGUGGGAGUUAAUCUUCUAGAUAAAAUAGUGAUUGACAGAAUUCUCUAGUCACCAUCACCAAGUUAGUAGAACUUCGUGAUGAACUAUAGUAUGCAAGGGAUGACGAAAGUAAUUCCCGAGCUCUUCGUGAUGCUGAAAUUGACGAAGGUAGAAAUCAAGAAAAACAUCAAGUGUUGAUGGUUGACGAGACCACUAGUUUCAAGAAAAGGGCAAAGGGAAGAAGGGGAACUUCAAGAAGAACGGCAAGCAAGUUGCUGCUCAAGUGAAGAAGCCUAAGUCUGGUCCUAAGCCUGAGACUAAGUGCUUCUACUGCAAAGGGACUGGUCACUGGAAGCGGAAUUACCCCAACUAUUUGGUGGAUAAGAAGGAUGGCAAAGUGAACAACGGUAUAUUGGAUAUACAUGUUAUUGAUGUGUACUUUACUAGUGUUUAUAGCAACCCCUCGGUAUUUGAUACUGGUUCAGUUGCUAAAGUAGUAACUCGAAACGGGAGUUGCGGAAUAAACAGAGACUAGUAAAAGGCGAGGUGACGAUGUGUGUUGGAAGUAGUUCCAGGAUUGAUAUGAUCAUCAUCGCACAGUCCCUAUACUUUCGGGAUUAGUGUUGAAACUAAAUAAGUGUUAUUUGGUGUUUGCGUUGAGCAUGAAUAUGAUUUGAUCAUGUUUGUUGCAAUACGGUUGUUCAUUUAAAUUAGAGAAUAAUUGUUGUUCUGUUUACAUGAAUAAAACCUUCUAUGGUCAUACACCCAAUAAAAUGGUUUGUUGGAUCUCGAUCGUAGUGAUACACAUAUUCAUAAUAAUGAAGCCAAAAGAUGCAAAGUUAAUAAUGAUAGUGCAACUUAUUUGUGGCACUGCCGUUUAGGUCAUAUUGGUGUAAAGUGCAUGAAGAAACUCCAUACUGAUGGGAUUUUGGAAUCACUUGAUUAUGAAUCACUUGAUGCUUGCGAACCGUGCCUCAUGGGCAAGAUGACUAAAACGCCGUUCUCCGGAACUAUGUGGAGAGCAACAGAUUUGUUGGAAAUCAUACAUACAGAUGUAUGUGGUCCGAUGAAUAUUGAGGCUCGUAGCAGGUAUCAUUAUUUUCUGACCUUCACAGAUGAUUUGAGCAGACAUGGGUAUAUCUACUUAAUGAAACAGAAGUCUGAAACAUUUGAAAAGUUCAUAUAAUUUCAGAGUGAAGCGGAAAAUCAUCGUAACAAGAAAAUAAAGUUUCUACGAUCUGAUCGUGGAGAAGAGUAUUUGAGUUACGAGUUUGGCCUUCAGUUAAAACAAUGUGAAAUAGUUUCACUACUCACGCCACCUGGAACACCACAGCAUAAUGGUGUGUCCGAACGUCAUAACCGUACUUUAUUGGAUAUAGUGCAACCUAUGAUGUUUCUUACCGAUUUACCACUAUAGUUUUGGGGUUAUGCAUUAGAGACAGCUACAUUCACGUAAAAAAAA